rnacentral:lncRNA from 1 species
UUUUUUUUUUUGGUUAAUUAUAAUAACAGGGCAAAACUCGAAUAAUCAAUACGACUAGUACGACCCGAAUCUAGGCCACACCUAGGGCGGUGAACACACUUGACCAUCAUGUCAUCACAUGAGGUUCAAUGUAUCUUUCACGUUACACGAUUAGUGAAGAUUAAUUUUAUUGGAGUUAAUGAUUACUCAUUUCAAUAAUGUCAAUUUUAAUAUUAGAAUAAUUUUUUAUCUGAGAGUACAAUAUAAUUAAUUAUUGUAUCAAAUACUUGUUAAUAAAACAUUUAGUAUUAACUUAAAAAACAUAAAAAAUAAAAUUCGCUCUUUUAGGGUUUACCAGUUUUUUUACAAUAAAAAAAAAACUAACGUCAACUGGUUUUCAACAUGGUGCCACACAACAUUAAUGACAUUUUUGAAUAAAUUUUAUAAAAAAAUAAAAAAAAUAAAAAAAAGGCUUGAAUGGUUAAAAGAACAAAUGUAAAAUAAAUUGACAUCCAAUUUCUCGAAAUUAUCUCAUCUGUUGAAACCCCUAAGGUGUAUAAUUUAAUUGCAAAUGAAAGUUUUUUUUAUUGUUAUUCUUUUAAUUAUACAUUAAUAAAUUGAAUAAUUUUAUUUUGCAAUAAUUACAUAAAAUAGAAACACUGUAUUCAAUUUCUAUUUGCGAGUAUGUUUUGGCUCCCUUAUUUUCCUUGAAUUUUUAACCAAUUUUGUGGUGGUUUUUGUGAUGGAUUAAAUCAACUCGUUAAUAUCAAAUCCGUAAUAAUUGGUUUUGUACAUCCUUUUCUGGAAACUUUUGGCAUUCAUUAUGUAUCUCUCUCUCAUCCAGUGCGCUUUUAUGAUGUGCAAGCAGCUGUGAGAAAUCACAUUUUCAUUUUGAUUUUUUUAAAAUCUACUGCUUUUAUUUUUUUGUUGUUGUUGUUCAGUGAAUUGUGUUGGGUAGUAGUUAUUAUUUCUCCAAAAGAAAUACAAAUAGUAUUAUAUUAUUACCUCCAUUGACUUGGCGCCGCGGUGAGAAAGAAAACCCUAAUUUCCUCUUCUACAUUGAGGUCAAGGGCGAAGGGUGAUCCAGAGAGAGGGCCGGGUUUUUCACAAAUGGUCACUUUCCGGGUAAGAGCCAAAUCGUUUCUCUUUUCUCGCUACCCUGCAUCCCUAUUGAUUUCCCUGUUUUACCUUCAGAAUUUCACGAUUAUUCCUCGUUUUGGGCCUUUUUUUUUGUUUUUUAAAGAACUUUAUUUGAUGUUAUGCUUGGUUUUUAAAGUAUGGCGUAAAACAGAUUUGUUUUCAAUUCUUUUGAUGAGUUUAAUAGCAACCAAAGGCAGGAAUAAUGAAUAAUGUAAGGCGAAAAUGGAAGUUUUGAUUUACGUUUUUGUUUAAGGAUGCAGUUCCACCAGUAUCAAGUUGUUGGGAGGGCUCUCCCAACGGACAGCGAUGAGCAUCCCAAGAUUUACAGGAUGAAGCUUUGGGCCACCAAUGAGGUUCGGGCCAAGUCCAAGUUCUGGUUAGUGAUUAUUAUGAUUGCCGUCUUUUGCUUUUGGGUUUGAUUUAAUUCCAAAUUUGAGGGUUUUUGACGGUUGCAUUUCUCCUUGGAUAUCAUCAGGUACUUCCUGAGGAAGCUGAAGAAGGUUAAGAAGAGCAAUGGCCAGGUCCUUGCCAUCAAUGAGGUAUGUGCUCAAUGUUAUUUUUUGAUGGUUCACCAUUCAAUCUGUAUGAAGUAAUUUAUCAUGGAAUGAUACGUUGAAAUUUGAAUGAGACGAUCCUUUUAUUUGUAUGUUCUGACAUUUUUGUGAGAAAUAGGGUUUAUGUUGGUUAGUGCCUUAAACUAUUGUGUGUGGGAUUCCCCACAUUUAGCUUAUGAUUGUGCUAUUAAGAUGGAAAUUUGUUUUGAUCAACUUGUCUCUAGUAUUUCCUGUGAAAAACUGCGAAUUAGAUGGCAAAGAAAAAUCUAAUCUUAAAGAGUCUUUUUUGCCAUUUUGUUAACAUUUGUAGGAUUUUCAUGCAUCUUGAAUAUGAAGUUUCUGGUCUUUUGUGCUAUUUGCUUCUCUUUGUAGUAAUGCAUUUUAUAUAACAUGUUUGUGUUUUUUGAAUGUCCUUUGCACUGAGUGAUUUAAUAACUUCACUUUUUGGGACUACAUAUUUAAGGUUUUGAAUGUGAAUGCUGAUCUUGGAAUUGAAAUUGGUUUGUAAUCUUUGGAAACAAGAUGCUGCAGCUUUCUGAUACAUUCUUCAAUUUCUUUCUGAUUCCCCUUGCCCAAAUGAAAUCCUCGGCAGAUUUUUGAAAAGAAUCCAACCAAGAUAAAGAAUUAUGGUAUUUGGCUUCGCUAUCAAAGCCGUACCGGUUAUCACAACAUGUACAAGGAGUACCGUGACACUACUUUGAAUGGAGCUGUUGAACAGAUGUACACUGAGAUGGCUUCUCGGCACAGAGUCAGGUUCCCUUGCAUUCAGAUUAUCAAGACUGCAACCAUCCCAACUAAGCUAUGCAAGAGGGACAACACCAAGCAGUUCCACAACUCUAAAAUCAAGUUCCUCUUGAUGGUCAAGAAGGUGAGGCCACCUACCAGGAAGCUGAAGACAACCUAUAAGGCAUCAAGGCCCAACCUGUUUAUGUAACUUGUAUGUUUUGAUGAAGGAGAGUUAAGAGGUUGUUCGAUUUUUGGAAUUUUUGGUAAGUGAAUCUCCAUUAGUUUGUUGAUCAGAUAUUGUUUCAUUCGAGAAGCCUAGGUUGUCAGACAAGUUGAACCUGGGUUCUUUUUUGGGGCUCAUUUUUGUUCUUAUAAAUGUUGGUAUUGUUAAGUUUUUAUCUUUCAGAUGAAGUAUAAUUUAAUGUUAAAAUUCUUUUUGGUGGGGUUGGAAUUUCCCAAGGCAACUUGCGCAAGUCCAGAAACAAUUUACUUUUUUGAGAAUGGUUGGAAGCCAUUUAGUUUUAUAUAAGGAAACAAAUGUGAUCGCUCAUAAAUGAAGAGGCUAAUAUUUCUUAACCACAACCGUUCCCAUCUCAAGCAUGAACAUUUGCUAUGAAUCACUCAAUUCAAUAGCAUUUUUGUCAAGUAUUUCACCCUCUUAAAAGUAGUUUCUGGUAAGCCAAGUGGCUCUUUUUGUUGCUUUAUAACUUGUUACAAUAUUAAUUUUCCAUCAAAUACUUCACCUACCCACCAAGAAAACAAGUAUUAACCAUAAGCAUGAUCAUAUUACAUCCAUCUAACAAUUAAAAGCUGCUCCUCUCAUAAAAUGUUCCUAGUAAUAAUAAUGUUGUUCUUGGUUUUGAACUAGUACGAGAUAAGCAGGUAAUGGAGCACCAAGACUAGUGCCCCAGAAAAUUAAUAAGUAAUAUAACAUUUCAUAAUAUAGGUGAUAAACAGGACUGAUCAUGCACCCUGCAAUUGGAGGGACUUGGGGUGGGAAUGGAACUUCAGAAAGAAAAGAAUCCAAGACAGUGGGACUCGCGACAAGUCGGCUAAUCUACGUGCAAUUCAUGUAUCGGUGUGUUCUCCUAUAAUUAUGAACCACCCGACCUGGAAACUUUUAUUGGGUGGACGAUUCGAGAUCUUUAGGAGGAGAGGAGACAACAUCUGCAGCAGAACAUAUUGUUGCUUUCAAAUAAUUUGGAAAGAAAGGUACAGUGGAUAUCUGAACUGUAUAGAAAUUGAAUAAGAUGGCGGAGGAAGAAAAAAAGAAGAGGGUGGUGGUCGAAUCCCUAGGAUGGCUAACGGAAUCUUCCAUCAUGCCCAAGUUCGUAGGGCCUGGAAGAACUGCUGGAAUCCUUGACAAUGAUGAGCAUAAGCAUUUCGUAAGGUCAGGAUUUUACUUCUCUUCUCGCUAAUGUUAUGUUAAUUCACGUUAACUUAAGAUUAAAUGUUCGAUGGAGUUCACAAUUCACGGGGGUUUGCAUUUUUCCUGUUGUGCCACAGUUUGUAUAGUUGCCUAUAGCAUUUGGUUACAAGGUUAUUUGAGGUCUAAGAGAUUUAGCCACAUGGCAUAGUGAAACAAUCUCCUAGUAUCAUGCUGUUUCAUCCAUUUUCAUCAUUAGCCUUUCAUUCACCUCCCAUUAUACAUUGUUGAGUGUUCAUGGAUUUGAGGUGAAAUUCUCUUAAUAGUUUUUUAUAAUGUUGUUGAAAAUUACCUACAAAUUUGCUACGAAUUUGAGUUAAUGUCCCUUUUCGAAUUUAUUGCUACAACCACUAGUUGGCUGCCUGUUUUCAACUUGCUUAUUUUUAUGAUUUAUUUGCCUGAUGGAGUGAGAUAUAUCUGAAUAUGAUAGUCACUAGUCCAUGGAUUGUGCACAAUGUAGAGAAGUUUAUGUGUGAAUAUGGUAAUCUAAGACAUUACUGGAGGUCCUUAAGAUUGGAAAUAAUAUUAAAAAUCUGAAGUUCAAAGUCAAGAUAAAAAAUAUAAUGUAUUUGGAUUGCUUGUGAAACUGAAAGUGAAGGCCCUAAAUGAUUUAAUUGAUGUUUGUUCACAGAGAAGUUCAUGAAGAAGUCAAUCAAGCAAGGGAGAGAUUGUCUGAACUAAAAUUGCGAAGGCAAGAGCAAGCAGCAGCUGAUCGUGAGAAACUCAGGCAGGCCUAUCUUCGGAAACAAGUGGAGAAGUUGAAGUCUGCGUCAAAAACAGAACAGGCAUGAGUAGUAGAGCUGGAAAGGUGAUAUGUGACUAUGCAAAUGGAAACAGAGAGAAACCCCCAUUGUAUUAUUUACUAACUUGCAUUGAUUUCGUCCUCUGUGCAUAACAAAAUUUAGUUACAAAUCAACUCACCGGUUUUGCUCACUAGAAUAUAUUUAUUCACUGUUUUUUACCCCAUCAUUCUUAUCGAACAUAUAGCAAUUGCAGUCGUACCGCCCUCGUUUAUCUGUCAUUUUUGGUUGAGGCUGAUUGCAGCAUCAGCGUAGAAAAUGAGUGAGUUCUCUUUCCUAUUGUACAAAAUACGUUUUAGCCAAUUAACAUGUAGGAUUCUGAAUCAUUCUAGACUGUCAGCAGUUAGCUUGUUUAGAAGUAGAAUUUGGGGGGGGGGGUUAGCUAUGUUUUACUCUUUUAACUGUAAAUAUCAGCAGUUGAAGUAUUUGCUGGUAUUGUUGAUUUGAUUUAUAUGGGAAUGGCUCUUUGUUAUGAAGUUUAUUUUUGAGUAAAACAGCAGAAUGUUGGAAGUUUGGAAAUAUAAUAGAAAAAUGCGUGUGAACAAGUCAGAUGGGAAGAUCCAAUGGAAACUACAACUGCCUUUUAAAAUCAUUGUUUUCUUAAGAUUUGCACAAAUUUUCGCCCAUGUAAGAGCUCUUGCCCAUCGUGUUUAUAAACAUAUGAAACAAGGGGCCAUCUUUUCCUUGAGUGCUGUUUGGCUUGGCUCUUCCUUUGGGUAUAAAGGAUUUUAUUCUCCUGGUCCUGGAGGUCCUCCAUCAAUCAGGAUCCUGUCAAAGGGGGUAUGUGGGUGCAAAGGAACGAGGUUGUCUUCAGAAAAGGGAAUACUAAUCCUAUCUCUCGGUUAUUCUUUCAAGUAAAAUCUUUUGGUGAGGUAUGGUUAUUAGCUUUUGACAUGAAGGGCUAGAGGAGAUCAGAUUGACUCGCCUUCUUCAGGAGAAGAGCCUAAAAGGAAAAUGUGGCUAUGGCAUUGCUUUUUGCUUUAAUUCUCAAGGACAGUGGUUAUCUGCUUUAUCGAAGCAGAACCUUGAGCAUCAAGUGGCAGCCCUCAUUUUGCUGAGAGAAAAUUUCCUUCAAGUCGCAAAGAAAAACCUGAAGCUUUUUAAUUGGCAAUCCUGUUGAAAAAUUAAGAAAAACGACUCCGCUGGGGAUCGAACCCAGAAUCUCUGGUUCCGUAGACCAGCGCCUUAUCCGUUGGGCCACGGAGUCAAUUUUUGGAAUAAAGUGGCUAUUUUCAAUAUAUCAUCAAAAGUGAGAUCUAAGGUCCGAUACAAGGUUGAUCCAUAUGGGUCAAAAGACGAGAAAACACCUGAUGACCCUAAAACAUGAUUAAUACAUCUUCACACUCUCAUUAUCAACCCAUACAACUGCCAAGCAUAGCCCAUACAUCAACCAUGAUUUGUUUAUACUCGUAUCAAGUAUACAAGGGCUUGUUUAUUAGUUGGAAUGGAAAUAAGUUUUAUGUUUUUAAAAUAAGUUUGCGAUUCAGGUAAAAAAUAAUGGUGGAGUUUAGGGUUUAGAGUCCCAUAACUUAUUAUGAUAUGGCAAAACACGAUCUAAAAUUAACUGUUAGGAUAGAUUGUCCAACACUUCAAAAUUCUAUUGUAUUUAUAAACAAGGUUCAAAAUUAACUCUUCAGAUCUUGAGAUUAUUACUUCAAUUUAAACAAAAUUUAAAUUGGAUUAAGAUAACUGUGUAAUAAAAAAAUAGAAGAAAGGCUUUCUUUUUCUUUAAAUUUUGCAUUAUUUUUAACCUACACUUUGUUAUACUCCAUGUCCAUGAAAAAAAAAAAACACAAAAUUGAGAAACAUAGCAUAAAGCAACUCUACUAAACAACGAAGCCCCUAUUUUGACACACGUCUUACAUGCAUAAGAGAACAGCAACCCAUUGUCACCGCCACUAGUCGCUCCUCCUCUCCACCGCCGCUCCACCACCUCCGAGCGACGUUGCCACCUCUCUUUCGACCAUUUCUCCAUCCGCCACCUCCUUCACGCUAAACGACAAAGACUCUCUCCUCAUCAAGAACCUCCCAGUUGGCGGAACCCACAAGUUAAGCAACCCUUGUGGCCUACCCGAACUCCUCCAAACCUGCACCGUCAAGCACUGAAUCGGGUUAUCCACCGGAUCCGAAGCAUCCCCUCCUUUCAAGACAUCGCAAAGUAAAACCCUGGCACUCACCACUGGCUUCUCCCUCACGUGCCCAUGCUCGUAUAUGUCGACGUUCACCGCGGCCAACACGUCCUUCUCCGCCAGCUUGGCGUGGAACUUCACCUUCACCAAUUGGUUCCUUGUGGGGUUGGUCCCUCCAUGCUCGUCCACUUGGGUUUUGGCCAUGUGGAAGUCCUUUUCCACGUAGACAACCGCGUAGGCUCUCAUUUUGGUCAAGUGCUUCACGUUCUUGAGGUCUUGAGCUGAGAUUAUGAGAACCUCAAUCUCUCUUAGCUCAUCUUCCCCUCGUUGAAAUGUUGUCCAGCGAUCCGACAUGAUGCAGGAACAUAAAUAAUUUCUCUUUUAUUUUGCUGAACUAAACAAAAAAAAUUCCAAUUUAUCCAAUUUACUAUUGGGCUCUCUGUCAAUGUCAUGGCCCAAACUUCACAAUGUUUUGAACUUUUUUGGGUUUGGGCUUUCGAGUUUCCACCAUUUGUUAUUUUUUAAUAAAUUUAAAAUUUUAACAUUGUAAUUAAUAUUUGAUGGUUGAAUUUGAUUUUUUUUUUAAGGUUGAGGACUAAAUUAAUAAAAAAGAAGUAAAAAGUAUUAUGCUUUUUUUCAAACAUUCCUCAAAAUUUUAACAGAACAAAUUACAGCAAAGGUUUGGAACCCAAUUCGCCAGGCAUGGUUCAGCAAUCCAAUGAAGGACAGAAGUAGCCGCAUUGGUAAUAACCCAAAAACAACAUUGGCCUCACUGGGGAUUCAAGCUAUGUCCUAUGAGUAUGAUAUCAUCAUUACAGAAAUCUCUCAUGGACCCAUUCAAAGCAUGUAUGAUGUUUAUGCAGUUAAAUUUGGGGCACAUUACAAAGUUCCUCCUACACUGGAACAUGCUCUUUAUCCCCAAUAUUCCAUCCACUCAAAGUCUCUCUUUGGUGUUUUGAUUCAAGUAUUUCCAUAAUUGAAUUACUUUGAACUUUUCCCCACUUUAUUACAAUUUUCUUUUAAUAAAGGAUGAUCAUCACCAUUUUUAUUCUUUAAUAAUAUAUUAAAAUUGUGUAAAAAUUAUGAUCCAGCUAUGGGUAAAGUGCAUAGUGCUUCCAAAAGGAAUUACAAAGAAGAUGCUUAACAAACCAACCACUGCCAAUCUAAUAAUUAAUUUAUAGGUUUAGGCUACUAACCAUGUUACUUUUAUGUUAACUAAUGUCUUAAGCCUUGAGAUACCCAUAUAAUGCCCUAUUUUCUCAUGGUGAACAAUCUUUAAGCUGAUUCUCUAACAUGCUCCUCAUUUCCAAAUUCCCAACAUACUGUUUCAAAAUGAGUGAAACUUAUUGAAAUAUAUAAUAAUGGCGGCGUAAAGUUUAAGUUUCAAAAAAUAAUUCAACCAAAACCCAAAUUAUGGGAAUGAGAAUAAGCAAAAAAGCUUGGUUAGAAUGAGUUAUCAGUCCAGGCUGGUAUACAGUUUACAAAGGAAAUUAAAAUAAAAUAAUGAGAUGACAGUGCCUUGAAAUGAUUUUGUUUGUGGUUAAACCAGCAAAACAAAGCUGGCAAUUAGUUUGAAUAUUAGAGCUUCGUCUAUAAAAGAGUUCCAUUGCAGUUAAAAGAUUCUGUUCAAUAUAUACAUAUAGCUUCUCUCACUUGGGUAACUUGUGAGAAAUGGAGGGAAGCAAAAUGAGCAUGAUUUUGAUUGCCUACAUCACACUUGUUGCGAGCGGAGCGAUGGGUUUGAGGGAGGACCAAGGAGCGGUUGCACCCUCACCAAUGGAAAGUGGCGGAGUGGCUCUGGGUGUUCCGGCCGCACUUGCUGCUGCCUUAGCUUCUAUGCUUGCAUUUGGCUGCUUCUUUUGAUUUUAAUUCCUUUGGUGAAUACUGUUUUCCAGUUUCCAUUUCCUUUCAUUUGCCAACUAGUUUCUUUCUCUGUAAAUUUCAUUGUUAUUUUUAAGAAAUUGAAUAAAAUCUUGAUUUAUUUAUUCUUUUUUGUUGUUUAGCUUUCUCAUAGCAAAUCUGGAACAGGUACCGUGCUGAAAAGGGGAUGUUAAAAACAAAACACACUAACCAGAAGAAUAAAUAAGAGAAAUUUUGUUCAAGUGUUAAAACAGUUGAAUUUAUGUAGAUUUUUUCAAUCUUGUUUUUUUCUUCCGUUUCUUCAUACAACAACUCCUAUAGGCGUUUUGUGCCCAAGGCAGUAAGGGUUUUUUUCCCUCUUAGUUUUUGCGUAUGUCUAAAACUAAAUAUAUGAAUGGUCUGAAUUUUUUAUUUAAAAUUCGAAUUUGGUGUCAUACAAAUAUUUCAUGUCAAAAAUAAUUUUGCUGAAAACAACUCUUAAAUUUUAUCAUAUACAUAACAGGAAACAAACAUAAAUGUAUUAGUUAAUUUUAACUAAAAAAAAUAAAGGUCAAAUUGAUAAUAAAAAACAAUUGUAUACAUUAAUUAAUAAAGAAAACGUUUCAAAUCAGGUUCCAAAGAACCAACUUAUAAGUACUUCAUUAAAGCAUUGAUCUCAACUUUCUGCAUCUUCAGUCUCCAAAGAAUACAUGUUACAUCAAAUUCUGGAAUAUGUAAGAUUCUGAGCACUUCACAGUUCACCUAAUAUCAGCUACACGACAUGAUCAUUCUUUUAAGAUCUUAGACUAAAUCAUGAGUAUUAUAACUUUCAUGUCACAAUGAAGCAGAACCAUCAUAGAAGAUCAGCUCCAUACCUGCUUAUUUUGGUUGAUCCUGGUCUUCUCUUACAUCUUAAACUAUCAUAUGCACGGUUUCUCCAGCUAUCAUCAAUAUAUUCUCAUCUUGCAAUUUCUGAAAAUUGUGAAAAAAAAAAAAACAAAAAACUGGCUGUUAUUGCAUACCCUUCCUGUAUAUUGGCAAGUUGGAGUCCAAAACAUGAAAAUUGCUGGUGCCAGCUUCAAAAUGUUACACCAAAUAAGGGGAUAAAAAAUUGUCAAACAUCAUUUAGAAUACGAAAACUUCAUGCUAAUAUUCUCGUCUCAAACAACGAUAUCUGAACAUUACCUCUAAUAUAGACAUGAUCUCAACCCUUGAGUAAUGGAUGUCAGCUCCUACGUUGACAAUAUCCUCCACUUCUGCAAUAGAUACGGUUUCCUUGUGGUUUACACGCAUAUGCUGACCAAAUAUAGUUUUAAAAGCUUCUAUUCUGCAAUCCAUCAACAAGGAGAUACAAAAAGGAAAAUCAAAGGAACCCAUGAAACUGUAGAGCUGAUUUGGAGGGAAAACAUGUGUGAACUUGUAAUUGAAGUGUUUAGUAGGACACAGACCUUUCGACAGAACCAGUAGCAGUGGCCUGCUGGGCUAGUGGAGGAUCAUCUACUUCCAUAGCAUCUGCAGUUUGGCUAAUUUAAAGCAAAAUAAGAUAAGGUGAGCCACAUCUGGAAACAUUUUAAGCCUUUACUAAUUUGCUGAUCAAAUUUACAAAUGGAGAAGUAUCUACACUAUUCAGAUAAUCCAAUAGCUAAUAAUAAGUAAUGUUUGUUUGUAAAAUUAAGCAUUGGGCAAUUGUAAAAUCCACAUUUCUUGAAAGGCUUAUUGCGUUCUCACCCUCGACGGUCAGCUCUUUGUUUUCUCUGUUGUUCUCUUUCCCGUUCUUGUUCGCGAUCCUCCAUCUCAGUCAAUUCUUUAUGAUAAAUAGCAAAAUUUAGAACUUUCAGAGCAGCUUCGACAUCAACUUUCGUAAUCUGCCAUGAUAAAUUAUCAUGCAAUCGAAGUGUGAAUAAACACAUAAGCCCAAAAGGAAAUAUAAUGAAGCAGCCACAAGGGCCAAACAUGCAAUUGAAAGACAAACAUGAAAUCACCAUAAUAGUUUUGAUUACGGUUGACCCUAAAGAAUAAAAAUGGAAAUUAAAGAGAAAUAAAAGCAAGUUUCAGAAAAGAAAACUAUAUGAACAUUGCCACAAAUCCCAAUACCAUCAGAUUACAAGUAGAGGGCUGCUUUCUUUUUAAGAAAUCAUUACCUUUCUGCUUAACUUCAACUUUGCAUGAGCAGUUGACAGACGAAUAAUGGUUUCCAAGGUUCUAGCUGUUAUUGGAAGGGUUCCACCAGUCUACAAAUGCCAACCACAUAUCAGACUUGCCAAUUGAGGUAACUAUAUCAAGAUAUGUCAGCUGAUUAUAAAAUCAAACCUUUGCAUUUGAACUGGCAUUUCUGAGAUCUGCAUAAGCUGUUGCAAUUUGUUCUGAAGCCUGCAGAUGAGAAAACUUUAGAGUAAGCUGAGGAUAAGUAUGUUAAGAAUGGUAGGGAUCUUGGGGAGACAAGUUAACAUGUAAUGAAUGUUUCUUCCUGAGAAGACACUGCAGAAUUACCACAGUAUUUCUAAUGAUUAAAACUGAAGAAAGAGGAAGAAACUAGAAAGUAAUUCAAAUGGGAGGAUAAUCUAAAUGGAUUAAGUAAAAGAAAAGAAUAUCCACAACCUCAUCAGUUAGCUCAGGUUGAAUCCUAUGCUUUGCGUAAUGAAUAUACUUUUUGAGGAACUUUAUAGUAAGAGUAUCACGCUUCCGACCUCUUUCAGUCUUCCUCCCAUGCAGCAUUCGAUUAUACUUGACAAAAACAGAUGAGUCGGUGUCAGCUUCAUCUUCUCUUCCAUAUCUUGAACUUUCAUCAAGAGCUGCCUCACCUGCAUCAUUAACUACCUUAGUAGGUAUAUGUGCCAGUCUUAGGAACACAAGAAAACUCUUUGCCUACCUCCAUCAAUAGCAGAGCGAAACCGAUGCAUUCUCAAGACAUGCUCAGAGAUGUGACGAUCAAUAUCAGCAUCCAUUUGAUCCAAUACAAUAAACAGCAGAUCGAAACGAGAAAGCAAAGAGUCCGGAAGUCCAAUGUUCUUUGUUGGAGUCAACGAACGAUCAUACUGCAUAUUGAACCGUUAACUAGUAUAAACUCAAGAUGUACAUCCUUUCUAGCAGAGUGAAAAUGCAUCUUAGCAACCAAUAUACGCUUACAGUUCCAUAUAUAGGGUUUGCAGCAGCCACUACACUGCACCGAGCAUUCAAUGAUGCAUGGAUACCAGCUUUGGCGAUAGUUACAGUCUGCUGCUCCAUGACUUCAUGUAUCGCAACACGAUCUUGAUCAUUCAUCUUGUCAAACUCAUCAAUGCAUACAACACCUCUAUCACCAAGGACCAUGGCACCUGCUUCCAGUCUUCUUUCUCCUGAACACAGAGAUGUUUAAUUUCAUCAAAAGCACCAAAAUUUGGACUAUAAGCAGCAAGGCUAUAACAAUUGAAAUGCUUUACCUGUUUCUUGGUCGGAGGUAACAGCGGCUGUCAAACCAACACCGGAAGAACCUCUACCGGUGGUUGAAAUAGCCAAUGGUGCAAUGUUCAUGAUUGCUCUUAAAAGUUGGGAUUUUGCAACAGAUGGAUCUCCAACCAUCAUCAUGUUAAUGUCCCUGGAAAAGAGCAAGACUUUAGCUUAUGUUUAGCAUUUACCUAAUCUUAAGACAUAGUGGUAAAGCUGCAUAAAGCAUACAAUCAGAAAAAUCAAGAUGCAGUUGAAAGGAAGGAAUAACAAUCAGUGGGGCAACUAUUUAUCAGAUAUAAUAUAUAACUUCAAAGACACUUAAAUAGUAAGAGUACAACUAACCCUCUUAAAUGAGUGCCAUUCUUCAAAUUCUUUUCCACUCCACCAAGCAUCAGUAAAACCACAGCUUUUUUUAUCCACGAAUGCCCAUAUAUUGAAGGUGCAAGGGAGUUACCAAGCAAAUCAAAUGUGUCAUCUCUCUCUGCUAUCUUCUUAAUAUUUUUCAGGUCCUCUGGGCUGUAGAUAGGUGCAUUAGCUUCUUUGUUGAGCAGAGAGACAUUAUUAGCUAUAAGAACAGUCCUGCAUUGAAAAAUUACUCAGUCAGGAUUUGCAUAUUGGAAAAACUGAGUUAUAAUGAUUAAAAUUUUCUUCCAAAUGAUGCACUACAUAUGUGAUACCUGAAAACACCGUUCACACUGCCCUUACUUUUUCCUGGAAGAGCUUUAUAUAUCCCUACAAUAGCCACACGAUCUCCAGGCUUGCAUGAAUCAACCAGGUCAUCCUCAACUAUGGCAUCAACGGUUCGAGGAAGCUGACCAGGAGCAGCAUUUUCAGGUACUUCUUGAAUCGACAAGGUCUGGUGAUCUUUAUAUUGGCACAAACCAUAUUCAGUCACCAAUAAGUUUCCAUUUUCAUCCUGAAAGAAUAUUCCCCACGAGACAAUGCUUAAUCCAAUAGCCAUACAGAUAUGAGGAGAUCUAGACAAUGGAAAUUACCCUGGUAGGAUACACGGAUCCGGUUGGCAAACCAUUGUUGGAGGUGAUGUCUCGAUAUUCCCUAACGGUGAAGUUUUCAGUGGCAGGACAAAAGUGAACACUUUUAACAACCUUCGGUCUUACCAGAGAACCUAAAUUGAGAUAGGAUCAUGUUAAUACAAAGCAAAACAAAGAAAAAUCAUUUAUAGGGGGAGUUCCCAAAAGCAUUUAGCGAAUUUUCAAUACCCAAACUAAUCAGUUUUUAAAGCAUGUGCCUCCUUUUAACAAAAUCCUAGAUUCAACUUUUAGCACAUUAUAUGAACAAACAAAUAGUAGUGUAAUUAUGCUUCAACUUGAAAGGAAGCAAAAAGAGCGGAGUAUUCGAGAGUAACGAUACAUUUGGUAACAAUGCCAACGACGCAGACCAUGGAGCCAAUAAAUUCGGAAAGGAGCUCUCUGGGUGUGACGCGACGAGAAACAAAAGGACCUUCAAAUCCCACAUGAACUAUUUCCCCUUCUUUCAAGUACUUUGGGUCAAUACUUUUAGCAGCUUCAGUCACCGCAUCGAAAAAUGGUUGCAUAUAUUCACUCGGAUUCUUCAGAAUCCUAAAAACUCAAAACAAUGAAGAAAAAACUCAAAUCAGUUUAAACAAGCCAACGCUUAAAAUGAUGAGGAGAAAAAGAAAAGGAAGUUCUGCGAGAAGAGAGCGAACCUAGUAGCCAAGUUGUUAAAAGAGUGUAGAUCGGAGAUGUUGACGAUGAGACGGCGACGCUUGUGAUUUAUCAUUGCCUUGAUUUCAUCUUGGUAAAUCUGAUCGAACAAACAAACAAAAAUGAAACCGUUAUUAACAUUGAUAGUGUUUAAAAAAAAAAAACAGAGAACGACUAGAAGAGAAGGUAAUGGGGGAAAGUACAUCUUGAGACAGGAAUUGGCUGAUAUCUUUCUUCCUAUCAGCAUAAUCUUGAGCUCCCAACUCCAUUUUUUUUUCCUUCUUACUGUACUACAGUAUUGAGACCAAAGUGCUAAUUCGAUGAGCUACUUUUCCUUUUUCUUCUUCAGCCCUAGACCCUGGUUUUGGCGGGAACAAGUGAGAUGAUGGCUGUUUUGGCGGGAAUUUAGUCUUUGUAUAUAUAUUAUAAAUAUUGUGCGAAGCGUAUAACAACUAGGACUUCAUGACCCAAUGAGUAUGGCGCUGGUCUACGGAUGAAGGGGUUCUGGGUUCGAUCCCCAGUGGAGGUGGAUUUGCUUAUUUUACUUUGAUUUUUGGUAUUGUAAUCCAAAAUAAAUAUUGGGCUCCCAUAAAACCCAUCUGUUAUGAAAAUCCGGAGGCAGAGGGCUUACUGUUAUUUCGCUGAUUAUUUGAGAGUUAAUGAGUCUUAUUUUAUCAUUUUAAUUCGAUUGAUAUUGAGUUAAAUUUAAAAUUUUAACAUUCUUUAGAUUUUUUAAAAUUUUUAUAUAUUUUUUUAAAAAAUAAAAAUUUUGGAAUUUUUAUAAAUAUUUAAAUAUUGUUUUUUAUUUUUGUUAAGGCUUGAGAGUGACCAAUUUGCUAAUUUUAAAAAUCGACGGGAACUAAAAAGAUAUUUACACUAAUCUGUUAUUCGACUCGAACUCAAAACAAGACUUGAAUAAUUCAAAAUUUAAAAUCUUUUUCUUAAUUUGAGUUUUACUCACCCCUAAUUAUUAUCAUGAACUAUUACCUCAAAUAUAUGGUGAUUAAUCAUAUCUAGUUAUUUAUUAAACUUCACAACCAUUCCAACAGAACCACAAAUUACAUUGAAUAUGUUUCAAUUUAAUUUAACACCAGUAAAGGUCGAUUGUGCAUUAAAUUAUAGUGUUAUUGCUUUUGCAGAGAUUGGGGGUUCAAAUGCUGUCGAGGGAAUAAAGAAAUCAGACGAUGGUCUGCGAAGAGAUGUAAGAGGGAUGUUAAGGAGUCUUUGGUCUGGUAAGGAGGUAAAAGGAGGAGGAGAAGAUCCCUCCCCAAGGUUAAAGGGCUUAACUUAGAUCGGUCACUUAAAGCAGCACAGCCAGAGAGGUUCUGUUUAGGCGGGAAUUUACCCAAUAGUUUAUAAAUCCAAUCAAAGUAGUAAUGAAGAGCAACCCAGUUCACAUGAUACGUAUUUAAAACAGAACAAAAUCUCUCCUUCAUUAAUUGCCUCGUCAAAUAUUGUCGUGUUGGUGUUGAAAAUAUACGAGUUCACCAAUUCCUAGGCUAAAGCUAGAAUUCAACUCAAAAUCAUUCCGAAACUGACAAAAUCACAAAUUGGCUCUCACGAAAAGUUACACAAGGAUUGAAGCAGCCUCCACAUCCACAAACAAAUACCUGACUCGCUCUUUUAACGAUCAAUAUUCUCUAUCAUCAUCUUUCCUAACAAAUGCAGAACACGUAAGUAACAGACUUUCAUGGCUUGAAGGCUGAAAAUGCCACCACCGAGUUGUGUCCUCCAAAUCCAAAUGAAUUUGAGAUUGCUGAAUCCACAAGAACAAGUCGAUUAGAAUUACAGAACACACAGGUUCUGGAUGAUCCGGAUCUAUCAAAAUGUAAGUAUAUAGACAGAGAUGGUGUGCUUCCCAAGAAAGGAUAAAGAGUCUUACCAACAUUAACCUCGUGCUGCUGCUUUUUGUUGGCAACAGUGUCAAACUCAACUGAUGGCUCUGGAUUCUGCAUUCAAAAAAUUUAGCACUUCAAGGUAUCUAAAGAGAUCUAGCAUUUAAACAUGAAGUAGAGGAAAGAACCAAAUAUAUUUUAAACACUCCCAAAAUGUUCUUUUCCAAGUAGUAAAAAAAUAUUGAGUUACCAAAAAGGGGUGCCAUAAAUAAACAUAAAAAUUUGAAAAAACAAAACAGAGUUCAGGCGGGGUUUGGUCCCCAUUAAAUCAAAUAUUCGAGACUUGGUAGACAAUUUGAAGAAAAAUUAGUAAUGGGGAAUUACUGUAAAUAAAAGUUUUAAAGAAAAAGGAAAACCGAUAAAUGACCAAGACUCGCACACACUAUCUUAAGUUAGUUUUAAUACACUUUACAGAACAAACAAGGUGCAUUAAACAGGAAACUGGCACAUACAAAUUGGUUUAUGGAGGGAUGCAGCCAUCCCGUGGUAAUGGCUUUCACAGUGGCAAUGGCUUCUAAACCGCCUGCUGCACCCAGACAGUGCCCUAUCAUCGACUGAAACAAAAAGCAAAACAUUUAGCCAAUAGCAAAAGCGUAACAUCACAGCAUGGUAAUCUCAAAUUUUGCAAGAGAAAGAAAAGGUACCUUUGUUGCAUUGAUUUUGAUGCCAGAUGUAUUCUUGAAUACCUUUUUAAUAGCGUUUAUCUCAGCCAGAUCACCAGCAAGAGUAGAAGUUGCAUGUGCAUUUAUGUAGUUUACCUGAAAUACGGAACUUACUUAGUUCGCUAAUUUUUCCACCUUUGGAACCAUGCAUAAAUUUUAGAAAACACAUAUAUUCUUAAACCUAUUAUUGAUGUGAAGUCAACAACACUGUGUUAACUAGUCACUAUAAUGAUUUAUGAACCGCAACCAUUAGAACGGUUCUCUACAAUCUCACUUAAAAUUGGAACCUGGAUCUAAUAGAUAAAAUAGAAGUUAACUCGAUACAGAUUUUGUGAAGACAAGCCAAAGACAAACAUUAAAUGCACCAUAAAACAUAGAAUUUGGAGUGCUAUCGAUUCACCCCCGCCCCCCAAACUCUAAAUGCCUGCACAGGAGUCAGCAAACCUAGAUAGAAAGAAACAACAUAACAUGGGAGAAGAGGAAUAUCUAGAAACCAGAACAACCUAACUGGAUUUUCGCACCAUAUAUUAAGAGAAUUGGUUGAAAAAGCAUAGAAUCACCUCUUCAGGAGACACACCAGCAUCUUCAAGGCUUCUCUCAAUGCAUGAAGACACCCCAAGACCAUCAGAUCUUGGAUCAGUCAUAUGAUAAGCAUCACAAUUAACAGCUCCACCUAAGUACUCAGCAAUAAUUGGUGCACCUCUUUUCAUGGCAUGUUCCAAGCUUUCCAUUACCUGGAAAGCAAAAUAAACAACUCAUUAUAAAAGGCUAUGGCAUUUCCCCCAGUUCAAGAUCAGUAAGCAAGUAACAAUCAAGCCAAGAAUCUAUAUGGAAAAGCAGCAUCCACUGACUCAAGACCAUGUCUCAUUAAUCAAGUAGUUCAAAGUGAUAAAAAGAGGGGGAAAGUAUGCAAGUAUAACUGGAAAACUUUUCAUGAAUUCCCAAGUCGGUGAAAAUUUAUACUUCAUUCCUACAAAAGACCACAAUAAUGCGUAUAAAAGUUUACAUAGAUAGUGAAUUAGGUUCCAUCAGUAUAAAACAACACAAUACAAUGGCAAAGAUUUUGAUAUUGUAAAGGAAGUGUUCAGCCCCCUCCCUUCACCCCCACAUAGUCAGACUCCCCAUCAGGCCACAAAGCAUCUCUUAACAACAGUAUCAAGGAUCACCAAUGGAGGCAAAACAAGGUGCUAAACAGGCAUAAACAACAUAACAACUAAAAAAGAAGUCAAAUGAUGCAUAUAAAGGAUUAGUAUGUAAACUUACCAAUACUCCAGCACCCUCACCCAUAACAAAGCCAUCUCGGUCUUCGUCCCAUGGUCUUGAAGCAGUUUGAGGGUCAUCAUUUCUUUGAGACAAUGCCCUGCAGGCAACAAAGCCCCCCAGCCCAAUAGGAAUAAUUGCAGCCUCAGUUCCACCAGCAAUCAUCAUUUCAGCCUCACCUCGACGGAUGUGGUUGGCAGCAGCAUAGAAGCAAUAAUUGGAGGUAGCACAAGCAGUUGAAAUUGAAUAAUUUGGACCCAUGAGACCAAGAUCAAUGGCUAGCAAGGCAGAUGACAUGUUUGUUAUAGCAUAGGGAAUGAAGAAUGGUGUUAUUUUUCUAUAGCCUUUCUCUAUCAGAUUUUGGACGCCAUCAGAGAACACCGUUAGACCACCCAUACCAGUUCCAACUAGCACUCCAGCUCGCUCUUUAUCGAUCUGCAACGUAUACAAAAUUCUGUAAGCAUUACAGGGAGAAAAAGUAGUAAAGGAACAUUAUUUAACGAAGCACCGCUAACAAGAGCCGAAGCUAAAUCACAAAAUAAAAAGUGAGUUGAUAAUCUAAAAACCAGACGAGAGAAAUAAUGAAUCCACCGUCCUGUAAGCACUCAUGUAAUUCUAAGAACAGAUUUCACUCUCAACAUAUCUUUUUCAUUCUGUAGGGUAGGAUUGAUGCAGGCGACUAUACCGAUGCUAUAAAACAUAAAACCCCAGUAAAUAUGCUCACAAAAAAUAGAAAUCAAAUAAAAUCAAUAAUGCUAAAAGAACAAUCGGGUAACAAGCACAAAAAGCAUCAGGGUUUGUAAAGUUAAAUUAAAUCUUGCUGAGGUUCGAAAGUCAUGCAAAUAAAGAAGCAACUCUUUCUUGUGAAAAUCGCACAUCAAGGCAAGCCAAGCCAAUAAAGGAAUAAACUUUGGGUCUCUAGUUCAGGAAUAAAACAUACAAAAAUGCAAAUCACUAGCAAAACAGCCCAAGUAACAAAACCCAACAAGCAAGAACCACUGAAAAACCCACCUUGGAUAACUUAUCGCCCCCGAGAUCAGCAUCUUCCAAAGCCUUCUUUCCUGCAACAAUGCAGUACCUCAAGCAAUCGUCAAGUCGCCUAUCGUUCUUUCCGUCAAUGUAACCCUGAGAAGAGAAACCCCGGAUCUGACCGGCGAACCGGGUAGGAAACUUGGAAGCAUCGAACCGGUCGAUGAGUCCGAUCCCGCUUUCCCCAGCCAGCAACUUAUCGUAAUAAGCAUCGACAUCAUUCCCAAAAACGGAAACCAAUCCCAUACCCGUAAUAACGACCCGUUUUUUGGGGUCCUUCUCGCGCUUGGGAGCAGAUACGGUGGGGGAUGAAGCGGUGAUGGAAGAGAAUUUCUUGGUUGGCCUGGGAACGAGUCUCGAUGCAUUGGGGAAAUGGAUAUUGAGUUUGGGUUUUUGGAGAGGUUUUAGAGGGGAAGCUCGAAGAGAUGAGGCUUGAAGAGCUUCCAUGACUCGUGGGAACUGGGGAAAGUGCUUAGGGCGAUAAUAACAAAGUGACACUGAGCAACCAAUAAAAACGAAAGCUUUACUGUAUAUAUAGUCAGAGCCUCAAAUCUGGAUUGUGGAACUACUUAGAGGGCUGCCUCCAACUGCACUUAUGACUCACCUUACCGGCCGCCCAGCCACUGGGACGAGUUUAUAUAGCGAGGCUAUUAUCCACACGUUAUUUUAUUUUUAUUUUUGUUCAUUCGUGUAAAUCCAACUUCAUAAAUUCACUGGAAGGUGCAACUAAUCCUUAUACAUUCCGGAUUUCAAUCCUUUGGAAUGUCAAAUUAUUUCAUCCUUACACUAUAAAAAUGUUUAUUUUAUUUUAAAAUAUGGCUUUUUCAGUUUGAUUAUAAAUUAUAAUGAAUAUUUAUAAUUAUUUCAAUAUACAUUAUUUCUAAUUAUGCUCGUAUUUUUUAUUCUUUAAUAAUUAUUAUUAUCUUAAUAAAGAAAGUUUUACAGUUCUAUCCAAUCAUUUUUCUCAUAUAAUUUAUCUUAAGAAAUAUUUAAUGGAUCGUAAGUGCAUAAAUUUUAUGUACCUUUCUAGAAUAAUAUCAUAAUAUUUCUUUAUUAAAUGAAAAACAGUAGAGAAAUGUCAAUUGAGUCUUAAUUUAAUUGGUAUGGGUAAUAUUAUCAAUACAAAAAGAUAUUGUUUCGAGUGCACUGAAACACAAUAUCUUUUUAUUCAUGAGUUGGGAGGGGUUAUACCUAAUUAUAGGCAUUGUGUGGUGGAAAACUUAUAAAUAAAUCUUGAUAACUUUAUUUAAACACAAUUAAAUAAUAAUUAAUUAUAAAUAAAUACUAAAACCUUGAACUUUAUUUACAAGUCCUUCGUAGGCUUUUGUUUAACUUAAUGAUAAUGUAUCAUAUUAUUAUUCACGAAUAGUGCAUGAGAUUUAUACACCAAUUAUGUGAGUAAAUUAAAAAAAAUGUUUGUUUUAAAACAUAUUUAGCAAAAUAGGUCGUUUUUUUUUUCAAAUUUAGAAAAAUAGGUCGAUUUUGGAGAGAUAGAUAGAAAACCCUUAUUGCAGGAAGCGUUUUCAGCUGGCAUAUUGAAAAAUACUUUCUACAAAACACAUUUUCUUUUGGCACAUUAACUCUCUUAGUUAGAUGAUUGAAUGUUAGUGAUUUUGUCCUUUAGUCUCGAGUUUGAUUUUUUUCUUACUCACAUUUGUAUUUUUUUUAUUUCACGUUGUUUUAAUUUUUUAAUCUUUAAUUAAUGUUUUUUAAUUAAUAAUUAUAUUAUUUUCAAAUUUUUAAUUCAUCUUUUUAAUUAAUAACUCUUUUUAUUUAUAUAAAUAUGUAAGUAUAUAAUGAAAUUAUAUAAAUUUUUACACAUUUUAAAAAAAAUUUUGAAUUAAUGUUAUCAAUUAAUAAUUUUUUUUAUUUUUUAAAAUUUAUAGUUCUUUUAGUUAUAUAAAUAAAAUAAUAAAUAUGUAAUUAUAUAAUGAAAAAUAUAAAAUUUAUUUAUAACUCUUUUUAAUUAAUGAUAAAUAUAAAAAUUAUAUAAUUUAGUUAUAUAAUUACAUAAUUAUUAUUUUAUUUAUAUAAAUAAAAGAGUUAUUAAUUAAAAAAAAGUUAAAAACACUAUAUUUAUUAAUUAAAAAUUAAAAAGAAUAAAACAACAUAAAAUAAAAUAUACAAAUAUGAAGAGGAAUGGAACUUGAAAUUGAAUGAAGAGUUUCAUAGAAAGUGUUUUCCAACAUAUGUGCUGAAAAUGCUUAUUGAAGAAAGUAUUUUUUUUAUUUCUUUGUCCAAAUGAAAAAAAAAAAAACCGAUCUACUUUACAAUUUUUCCUAAUUUUCCGCCAGAUUAAAUAUUAUUGCUUGCUCAUUCUUGAACAACUAUUUGUUUCUAUCCAGAACAUUUCGCUUCUUAAAAGGUUCGGAUUAUGUUAGUAUGAUAGUAUCAACAUCCAUGCACCAUACAUAUUUCUCCAAUACAACUCAUCUCAUUUUCUCUCUAUAAACAAUUAAUUUUUCCCAAGUAUAUCUACACGCGCAAAUAUAAAUAUAUGUUGAAUUCCUUGUUCCUUUCAAUGGCAAUCAAUCCUCCAAAACUUUCGGCAUACAAAAGAAUAAAUUUAAUAAAAUAAUUUAAAUAUUUAAAAUAAACAAAUUUUAUAAUAGAUUAUUCUACGUAUCAACGAUAAGCAUUAAAAUAUCAUCUUUAAUCAUGGGCAAAGUUGCUCGUAUGAUUUUCAUGAGUUAUUUGUAUAAAUAUUUUAAGGGAGAAUAGCCGAGAUAUCAAAUCAAUGUAUGGAGAUGUCUCUAAUACUUGUCAAAACCAUGUAUGUGAAAACUCGUAGCUUAACUUAUAAAAUAGUGUAUAUCUUGAUUAAAUAAGUCACGGUUUUGUCUUCAGAGUUUCUCCUGACAUUGAUGUGUUGACAUUCAUGGCAUUUCUGCAAGAGGAAGAAGACGCAAAUGUUUGUCAAUGUUGCCACUACUUUUGUGGAUUUAUAUGACCUGUUUAGGCUUGCUGAAGUUUUUUAGUAAGCUUGUAUAGAGAUAUCAUGACAAUAAAAAAUAUUAGUGCACGGCAUAGGACGCCAACGAUAUUGAUGGUUGAUUGUUCAUAUUCAAGCUCUGGACUUGAAAAGGGAAUUAAAAGUUACAUGUGAUAUUGCAAGCCAGAAAGGAGCAGGGUUUGGAUCCGGCUGUUCAUAGUAAAUAUUCAUGGAUUUUAUGCCUACUGAGAGCUGCAGCUGCUGCUUUCUUCUUUUUUGAAAUUCCCCUCGUCCUCUAUUACUUGAAUGUUGGAUCAGGGGAUUAUGCCUUCUUCUUCUUCUUUUUCUGAGUUUGUAUUGUUUAAUAAAACAAUUAAAUCCCAGCCUUGAUGCAUAUUUCAUUCUAGCUUUUAUACCAACAUAAUUUUUAGUUUCUAUAAUUAAUAAAAAUGAGUAUCUUAUCCAAUUUUGAUAAGGUUAAAUUACACCAAUUAUAAAAAUUUUCAUAUUAGGCACUCAAAAUAAAAAUUUUAUAAUUUGAGCACUUAUGUUACAUAGUUCCGUAAUUUUGACCACUCCUAUUAAAAUCACAAACGGCAAGUUGACAUGACAGUUUAAAAAUCAAUAUAAUAAUAAAUUUAGCCUUCAACUUUUACAUAUUAUAUUGAUUUAGUCAUAAAUUUAAAAAAUUAACUGUUAACAUUUACAAACAUUUUCAAUUUGAUCCUAAUUCUAAAAAAAUCAAAGAAAUGCAUAAAAACAUAUAAAUAUUUUAAAUAUAUAUAAUAAAUUUAAAAUUAUAUAUAUAAAAAAUUAUUGUUGACAAAAAAAAACAAUAUAUAAAAAAUUAAAAUAUAUAAAAUGUAAUAUUAAUAUUAUAAUUUAAAUUUAUUAUUAUAUUUUUCGAGAAUAUUUAUGUAUUUUUAAAUUUUAUAUAUUAUUUUUUGUGAAUAAUCAUUUUUUAUUUUUAUAUAUUUUUAAAUUUAUUAUUAUAUUUUUGGAAAUAUUUAUGUUUUUCAUAUAUUUCUUUGAAUUUUUUAGAAUUAGGAUCAAAUUGAAAAUAUUUGUAAAUGAUGAGGGUUAAUUUUAUAUAUUAUGACUAAAUUGAUAUAAUAUAUAAAGGUUCAAGGCUAAAUUUAUUAUUAUACUGAUUUUUUAACUUUCACGUCAGCUUGUCGUUUGUGAUUUGAACGUAAGUGACCAAAAUGGCCAAACUAUGUAACAUAGGUGCUUAAAUUACAAUUUUUUUUUAUUUUAAGUGCUUAAAAUAAACAUUUUUUAUAAUUAAGUGACUAUUUGUGUAAUUCACCCUUUUGAUAACCAUAUUACUGUGACUUUGCAAUAAUCUUAGGCCCGGUAAUGAUAAGCUGGAACUUUGCUUUGUCUAACACUGGCAACCAGUCUUGACACUUGAUUCACUAAAACCAUGGAGUUCCUAUAUUUUGCAAUAAUUGUUCUGCAAACUUCAAAAGUGCCUGUUACUAGCCUACCCGUAAAAGGACGUGAACGAGUUAAAUGAGAGUGCUUGGUUCUGCAAACUUGAAAAACCUCCAAGGUUUUGCCCUUGUUUCAUUUCUUUUUGUUAAAUUUGGUUGGCAACAUCUUGUUUCUCCCAAAGACUUAAGAACCAACAAAAAUCCCUGUCUUGCACCUAUAAUAGAAAAACAGAAAUCUCUGUCUUGCAUUGCAUUGCAUGAUGAGACCAUACACAAAAGCCAUAACCUGGUGAAAUGGGUAACUCGAACCCAUGAACAUUAUCACAACAGCAAAGUUCGUGGCAUUUUCCUUGGUUCGCAAUAUGGAAAUGAUUAAGGCAAGGAAGACAAUUUGUUUUUGUUUUUUCUUAAUUUCUUUUCACCAAUUGUUCAAGGAGCCAGCCACUUAUACUUCAAGACAUCAUGGUAUGAAGUAUGAACACUCGGACUUUUGGAAAUGGAAAGUGGUUCCAUUUCUUUGCAUCCAUCAUUUUUACAAAAAGAGGAAAACCAGAGUAAUGAAACUUUAAAGAAGAAAUAGAAAGGCUGAAAAAGGGACAACAUUUCUUCAACAGAAGUUAAUUUAAUUAAACAUUUAACUUUACACAUCAAGAAAUUCGUGCACUAAAUUAAAAAAAAACUUCCCCGACAAGGAUUGAGGUUAGGAAGUUAGCUUUCUUCACCCAGUUUUCAACCACCUUUAAGUUCAACAAAGUCCUGGAAUUCAAAGCUUUUACCAAUUUCUUCGCCGUGAAAACCACCAUUAAAACGCAAUCAAUCACAUUUCCCUCUCAAAACCCCCGUCGGAACUCAGAAUUCAGACUAUUUUCCGACACCCAGAAAGAAAACAAAAGAUAGAUACAUUGAUAUUACAUAUAAAAUACGUGCAGAGGAGUGUCAAAAGUGACAUCCACAACAAAGAUAGAAGAAACAGAGAGUAGCCACCAAGUAAAUAGCCUCUAAAACGGAGACAAGCUUGAAAACUACAUUAUCAACGAAAGAGCGUUUAAUGUUUAGCCUCUUCCACUUGAAAGCAGAACCAAAACACUUCCAUCUCCAUGCUUCUUUCGUCAUAAACCUCUUGAACAACACCCAUCUCUUCGUUCCCCCCAUCACUUUUUUGGUUUGGGCGUUGAUAUUUGGUUGGAGAAGAAGAGAAGUUGAAAAGCAGUUUAUAUAUGAGAGGAAAAGUUCAGUUUCCUGGUAUACACGGAUGAAAGAAUCGUUCGUGGGAGAGAGACCCCAUUCAUUAUUUUGGUUUGAAAGUCAGGGUUAGCCUUGCUUCGGCAGCUUUACACGACCAACUUCCCCGCGUUUUGAUGACUCAUAAUAGUCAAAAUCAUUUAUUGUUAUAAUUAUUUUGAUGGUUAAAAAUAAGACUUUUAUAUUUUAUUAAUUUCUGAAAAAUUAAUUUAAAACCUUUGAGAAAUAAUAAAAUAGUUGAGGAGAAAGUACCGAGAAAGCAGCCUUGCGCGUGAACUCGAUUUUUCAAAUCGAAUGUUCCUUUCAUUUCCAAGAAAAGUUAGCUGCUCAUUCAGACUUUGACGUCAAACAUACAUGUACUUGAUCCACCAUUGGCUGGCUUAAACAAUUUUGAGACCAACGUAUAAAUUAUAUUUUCUUCAAUAAGUGCAUAUGUGACUAAAAUUAAUUAGUUAUAUAAGAUGUAAAACUUUUUUUUACAAAAGAAAGAGCGGGGAAUGUAAAAUAAUUGUGUCCAGAUUUAUAAUUUUUGUAAGAGCGAUAUAAUUUUAUUAUUAUAUAUUUGCUUUAAAUAGAUGGUGUCUCAUUUUUAAAAACAUUAGGUCACUCUUUCUAGAAUGAUGGACAUAUGUCACUAUUUUUUCACUUAUAAUUACUUAAUUUGAUUAGUCGGUUGUAGCCCAAAUAAGGUUUAACAUUUAGAUUUUUUUUUUUUAGAGAUUUAAGAGUCUAAGAGGAUUUUAAAUAUAAAAUUAGUGACAUAUGUAUAUAUAAUUUAUUUAAUUUUGUAAGUCAUCAAAUUGUUGUCAUCUAUCUUUUAGUCACGUAAGGAAGGUCCAUUUAUUUUGACCUAUUUAGUCUAUAAAAUACAUAUGCAGUCUAAAUGAUCUUUUAUACAAUGUUUUAAAAUUGUGAACGGUUUUGAGAACAGCUAGAUGCCAAGCUGAAGAAUCAACCUUUUUUUAAUAAAAAAAUCCAUGUAGCUGCCUUUUUUUUUUAUGGAAUAUUUCUGUUUUUGUUGAAAAAAAACCAAUGUAACAAAUAAAUUUCUUGAACGUGUCGUUUUCCCUUGUAAAGUUAAAAAGAAAAGUCUCAUAAUAAUGGACAAAAAGGAAGAAAAAUAUAACAAUCAGAAACCGUUUAUACAUUCUAGACGUAAGCUUGGAAAAAAUAGCAAAUACUUCAAUCAAAGUUUGAAAUAUUACCGAUAUAAAGGCUGCAAUAAUACUUGAAAAACUUCUAAAAAAAAAUCUUUGAAAACAUCUUCCAUAAUAUUCUACUCAAAUUGGCUGCACUAGUCAUCUUUUUAGCCAUAAUUUUGUCGGUCAGAAUCCGGUUAUAAGUUUAAUAAUUGAAAUUCUUAGGAUAUAAUACUAUAAUACUCAUUUUCUAUUUUACUCACUCAAUUUUAGUGAAUUUUUCUGUUAAUUACCAGUUUGAUAUGGGGUGUGAUAUACAUAUUUUAUUAAUUUGAUAUUAAAUCUAAAAAAUUAACAAAUUUAAUUCUUAGUAUUUACAAGAUUUAUCAUUUUAAUCUUAAUUAUAAAAAUUAUAAUAUAUAUUUAAAAUUUUAAAUGAAUUUUGUAUAAACAAUUACUUUCAACAAAAACUUCCACUUUAAUCUAUCUUUUGUUCAAUUGAUGAAAUUAGAAAUAUCAAAUGCCAUGAUCUUAACAUGCAAUUUCUCCGAUGCUUGAACUAGAACUAGUAAAGACAUGAGAGCAUUAGAGCUCGAAGCACCAACUGCCUCUGUAGCAAAGAGUAAGGCCAUCGGAGUUGGUGUCACCAACCCAACCACUUUUUUGGAUUUAUAAAUUUGUUAGUUUUGAGUUUUUUUUAAUUUUUAUUUUGAGGUUUUAAUUAGGCAUUUGAAAUUAGUAACUUAGCAAAAGAAUAGGGAGACUAAAACAAAAGAGAUUAAAUUAAAAGAUUGCUUUCACUUUUGGAUUUUUCACAUAUUUUGGUUGAUGAGAAAUUGAGCAUGGUAGAUUAGAAAAAAGUAAAUAUAAAUUAUAAAUAUUUAAACAAUAAAAUAUAAAAAUAUUUUUAAGAACUUCUAAAUAUAUGUUAUAAUUUUUGAAUUAGAACUAAAAUGAUACAUUUUAUAAACACUGACGGCCAAAUUUGUUGACCUUUUUUAGAUUUAUGAUCAAACUGAUAGAAUGUGUAAAUUUUAGAGAGUUAUAUUUGUUAUUAGGUUAAUAAGAAUAGCCCACGUAAGACUUAUGUUACUAAGUUAACGGAAGAGUGACUAAAAUAUUUAAUUUUAAAGUCUAGUGACUAAAAUGAACAAAAAAAAAAAUUAAUAGCUAAGUGACUAAAAUAGAAUAAACUAAAUAAUUAGAUGACUAUUCUUGAAUUUUACCCAAAUUAUUAAUUGUUGGUUUAUAAAAAGAGGGGAAAAAUGAAUCUUUAAAUUUAAUAAUUUUUUAACUUAAUAUUUGAAUUUUAUUUCAUGUGAUUUUAAUAACUUUUUUCUAAUGACGUCUUUAGAUUGUGUUUUUCAAUAUAAAUUAGAUGAUAUCAUAUAGACGAAAUUGAAAAGGUUUUGUUAAAGUUUAAGAUUAAAAUUGGAUUAAAGAAAAUGAAAUAGUAAAUUGACUUUUUGAACAAAUCGUGGAAGAACCAUUAUUGUUUCCUUUGAUCAUAUUUUAGGAUAUUUGGAAGUAUUAUGUAUGCAUGCAGAUGCUCCAAUUCAUUUGAAACUCUGUAAAACAUCAGAAUCUCACUGAGUGCAUGGUUUUAGAAAACCACCCUAAAGUGGAGGUAUUGUGGAAGGGAUUUACUUCGGGUCGGAUCUUCAUGGAGAGGGGGCUAGAAAUUUUGAAUUCUGAUUGCGAAGUUAAUUUUAAAUGUAUAAAUUAAUACAUAAUAUAAACCUUUAAUAAAUUAAGGUAUAAUAUGGGUAGUGUAAGUCCAUUUAGAAACUAUUACAACAACAACUAAGAGAAAAGGAUCAUUAAAUAAAUACCCCAAUUUAAAAUAAUAAAAAAACCAUAAUUUGAUGAUGUUUGAAGCAAUUAACUAGAAUGUAUUUUAAAAUAGUUUAAUUUUGAGCUAAUGUCGCCAUGUUAACAAAUAGCAAAGAAAAGUUGGCUAAUUUCCUCUUAUCCCCUCCAUUGAUUUCUUAAUCUAAAGUUCUCUUUCAAUAACAUUUUGUAAGGACAAACUAGAGAACUUUGAAUUUUACGAUUUUACCAAUUAAUUAUCCGAUAUUACCAUUAAAAAAGAAAUCCACAACCAUGUAAAUUAUUUUAUUAACAUUGUUUUGUUGGCACAACUUAAUACUGUGUCGUUGUUUUAUUUUUCUGAUAUGUGGUGCCUUCGUCUCAUUAGGUAAUAUUGUCUUAUUAUCUUCUUGCUCAUUCUUUGAAUUUCCAUGGAUUGGUUUUUUGUUGCAGAAUGAGUAAUUUAGUUGUUUUAUCUUACUGACACAACUGUAUAGCUUAAGAUUAUCUUAAUUUAAUAUAUAUAUAUAUAUUAUUAAUGUAUAAUCGAAAACUGCUUACACCCAAAAUAAAUCUAAAUAUAACAUUUAGAUUAUUUUUGGGGCACAAUUCAUUAUACUAUCUCUUUUAUGUUGCGUAAAAAAUAAAUUUAAUUUCUUAUUUAAUGAUAAUUCUAAGUAUUAGUACAUAUUUAGUAAACCUAAAACGUAAAUGUAUAAUCAAAUUUUGCUUAAAUAAAGUUAUAAUUAGUGCAUGUAUUUUAUUUUUCAAAAUAUGACUUUUUAAUUACCUAAAACACUUUAAAAAGAUUGUGGUGGGGACGUAUCAUUAAUAUGGAAUUGUAGGGGACAAAAAAUUUGCCACAAGAAGAAACUCCCAAUAAUAUUUUCUAUUUAGACUCCAUGUGCCUAGAGGGCCUGUCAUUAUUCUUAAAAUGAAAACUAUUUAGACAAUAAAUUAUUAUCGAGCAAUCUUUUCAAUAAAUUUCCAUUAAUUUCAAAUUAUUCGAUCGCGAAACUUAGCGUGGAAUCUUGUAAGAGGAAAGAGCAUAUUCCACUAUAAUAUAUUUUUCUCUUUACGUUGCAUGAAAUUUUGUUAACAAUAUCCUAAAAGCGAAGAGUGUACCAACGUAUGAAUUAAAAAUUGAUUGUGUUAUUAAUAUAAGCAAAUUCGCAGGCUUGAGCUCAAAUGUUAGCAAAUAGGAUGAAACAAUUUCAUUAAUCAUCGGUUUAUCGAAAGUAGAUAGUUGAUACAACAUGAUAAUUGGAAUGAAAAUACCCCUAGACCCUAAAUAGUCAAUGCUCGGGAGUACUACAAUAGAGACCACAGACCGUAUGUUGGUUGGCUAUGUAAGCAUAUUCAUGUAUGCCUUAAGGACUCCAAACAUUGACAAGUCUAGCAAACAUAAAAAAUAAAACAAUAAAUAUAACACUUGAAGUUGUGGGCUUUGAGUGUAACAACUCGUUUUUCAGUGGUUUUAGGACCACAAAUUCGACGAGUGAGUCUAUAAAUAUUAUUUAUUUAAUAUUUACAAAUCAAAUAUUAUAUUAUAUAAUAUAGAAUUUUGACUUGAUAAUUUUUGUUGUUUUAACUAUUAGUUAAAGUUAAGUGAUCCGUCUCUAAAGUCAAAUGGUUUUAGAAAAUAAAGUAUCGGGACUUCUUUUCUGUAAAUCGAGCUCGUAAAUAUUUUUAUUAAAUAUUUACGAAGUUACUAUAAAGUUAUAUUGAAGUUUGGUUCGAAAAUUUGAGUGAUUUGAUAGUUAACUAAAGAAAAAAGACUAGAUCGUAAAAGUUGUAAAUUUCGUAUUGAAAUUAAUUCUCCAUUAGAAAGGUUUCAUCAGUGUUUUUGAUUUUCUGAAUAUUCAGCCUCACCUAACAAUACAUGGAUAACAGACAUUGUAUGAGAAAUUAGGAUAUAUCCAGUGAAAGUUCUAAAGCCUGGCAGAUAUGCAAGUAAUGAAUUUUAUAUCUCAAUGGAAUGGCUUGGAUGAUUCGGAGGUUGAACCAUUAAAGAGUUUGUAAUCGAGCAUGUUGAAUCGAAGUACGAAACACUAUGGUGUUAGACAUGUGCCUUAACGUCCGUUACCAAUUUUGUUAGACCAAGGAAUAAUCUUCAUGUGAAGAAGUUAAAUAUUGUCCUUGCAUCCAAAUUAUUGUUAAGAGUAUAUUGAUACAGGAACUUAAGGAUGGGAUUGUGAAAUGGAAAUUGCCAUUGUUAUGCUCUGUUGACAAAGUAGGUCACAAUGCCAAAGUUUAUGGAUUGAGGUUCAUUUUGAUUUUAUAGGUUCAUCAGUGCCAUCAGCUUUUAUAUCAUGGGUCAUGAGAGAAUGACCACCCAUGUGGAAAGCUAACAUAAAAGAAGAAUCAACGACAGUAACUUUCAUUACCGAUAAUCCGGCUGAAAUCCACCGUCACCAGAGCUGGACUGCCGCAGCAAGCUCACAGAUUCAGGUUCAGAUUCACAUCCCUUUUUUUCUCUCAUUCAGUUUGUACAGACUCUGCUUCUUCAUACAUGUUUCUGUUUCUCGGUAGUCUUUCCAUUGCUACCAUCUUUCAAAACGAUAGAAUGAUUGAUGGGGUGUUGUCCUUUAGUUUUGAUGUGGUUCCGUAGCCAACAUAUUCUUCUAUGCAGUUGAUAUUAUUUCAUGGAAUUGCUCCAUCUAUCUUAUUAGCUUUAGAUUUGUGCACUGCUAUUUAUAUCAAAGAUGUACAUUAAGAUGGUUAUAGGAGACAUAGGACUUUCAAUGAAUUGGGCUUCUGUACCGCAGGUAUCAAGAGGUAGUCCUAUAUGAUUGCUGGUUCAUACAAGAACACCUGUGCGCAAUGUGGACCUGAACUUGGAGCAAUCGUGUCAAAUAAGGGUGGGUUCGGAUUGCGCAUUUGUGCUGUGGGGUUACACUCACUGACUGUAAGGUUGCCAUUGCCAUGUUUGACAUUUGGAGGACGUGAAGUAGCAACGGAAUACUAGGUGAUUUUACUUUUUAGCUUUUGGUGUUUUAACUUUUGCCUGCCGUAGUCGUCUCUAUUAGAAGACAUUUGAUAUGCCACUUCGACCACACAAGAAAUGUUUUUAUUAGUACAUAAAUUGAAGCCACUAUUGUAGAUAGAAAGGGCGGCCACAUGUGCAUUAAAUAUAUAGAUGAUAAAACUCUACCUUCUUAUGAGGCUACCGCGUUCAAUUUGCUAAUAGGUGAAUUCAAUAUUUAUUUCGUUUGGUGGAUGUAAUGAUUUUCAAAAAGCAAUAUCCAAAUAUAAUCUAUAUUGGAAUCUCAUGGCUUGGUAGAGUUUGAUAAGAUAAGGAAUUUUAAAGAAAAAAAAAAAGAGUUGAAAUAUGUCAUAAUUAUUUACAUUAUUUACAAAAUUUUUUCGAAAAUUUAAUAUUUCUAUUUCUAUUUACAAUGUAACUAAAAAAUAUUGUAAUGAAUUUAAAUUUAGCAAAAUGUUUAGUUUGAAUUUUGAAAUUUGAAAUAUGAAAUUGGAUACAUGGAGAAAUAGGAAGAAAACAUAUUCCUAUAUUGGUGCUGGCUAGGAAAGAGAAAAUGAAAAAAAUACAAAGGAAAAAAAUUGUUUUAAAAAAUACUUAAUAUCUUUUUCUCGUUACUUUUAUCAAUUAGAAUUUAGAAUAGAAAAUUAUAAUUUUAUUUUAUUUUACUUUUUUCUCGAACUUUUCUUGCAAUUAAAAUUAUUUUUCCCUUUUUUCUAUUCUCGUCUUUCAUCCUUUCUAUUUUUUUUACUCAUCCAAUCAAUACCCAAAAUGAGCUGAAGUUCAAUAAGAAAGUUUAUCUCUGGUCUAAAUGAAAAUUUCCCACUUAUCGUGUCAACGUUUUAGCUUUCAACAUCAAGACAACAAACUAAUGGAGGUUGCAGCUCGAAUAGAAUCCGUCCAACUUGAUAUCAUUUUUCUUAUAAGUCAAGUCUUUAUGUGGAACAAAAAAGUGCAUAGCAGCAUGAUUCAUCGAUGAAAACAAUACAAUUUCAUCAUCCAACUUAAAUCUUCCCUUGUUGCAUAGCUUGAAAGACAUUUCAGGCUGCUUCACCAUCUUCCACGCUAGAACUGAUGAAUUUGAAGCAAAAAAUACAAGUUUAACAGCAAAAGCAUGCAUGCAUGGCAACUACACAUUUUCACUAUUUAAAGAUUAAAAACGGAGAGCAAACUAUACGUAAAAGUCUCCUGACCCGUGUCAAUAAUAUAUCAUAAUACCCGAGAGGAACUAAAGUCUGAAAAUGCCGGUAACAACAAUAAUUGUUUCAAAAGGAUUGCCUCUAGGGACACCAAAGAUGCUUCGAUAAGGAAGAGCACAACCAAAUGGCAAGAAGAGACCCACUCCCCAUAUUUUAUUUGAAAGCCCUAACAUUACUCCACAGCAGACGUUUUCAAAGCAUCUGACAUCCCAAGAAAACAACUUACUAGACAUUUUGACAAACAUAUAUUGUGCACAAAGUCCCUUACACACGGAAAAUCACAAACUUAUCCAAUUCCAACCCGAUAUAAUAAGAACCUACCAAUCAUAGGAACACCAAUUUUAUUCUGGUUUGGGUGUCAAGGGUCCAAAAUCUUUACGAGGCAAUAACUACAAGAGGAAAAAAAAAAUACAGUUGGAUAGUAAAUGAAGAUCGAAUAAUAAAAACUGAUGUAACAUGAAAACUAAGAGAAAAGGGAGGGCUAACCGUCCAAAAAGCUCUGCCUUCGAGAAGGCCAUAAGGAAGAGCUCCGAAAUUCCUCGAAUCCUUUGUAUUAUAGAUGUAAUCUCCUUCUACCCAAACAUGCCCUUUAGGAACCUAGCUAAAAGCAACAAAUUACUGAAUGAUAAUGAUAAUUAAGGUUUUUUUUUAAGAAACACAGUAAUUCUUUGAAUAUGUACCACGAUAGUUUCGCAUCUAUCACCCGAUUGAGGGUCGACGACGUAGGUGAUUUGAUCACCUUCCAAUCCGAUCAACCGUUUGCAGACAAUCUUCCUAGGAGCCUCGGGAGAUCGAAAGAUCACAACAUCCCCAGGUCGAAGUUUGCCGAUGCGGGUCGAAAUGCGCUCCACCAACAACAUACUGCCUGUUACGUUUAAGGUCGGAAGCAUGCUAGGACCAUAAGUCUAUUCAAGUACCCAGUCAUUGCCCCCAUAUUCAGAAGCAAAAUUAAAACCCAAGAAAGAAGAAACAGAUUGAUAAAUUUGUUUUUCUGGGAUAAGUCGGAAAUUUUGCUUACAAUAGUGACGGUGCCGAGAUAUUUGUUGGUAACGUAAAGCAAACAGAGGCCUCUCACUACAGCAGUAAAGCUGCUCCAUUCACCCAUUCUCCUCUUUUUCUCGAUCGAUUUUCGAUUUGGGUUUAUAGAAGAAGAAAGAAAAUCAUGGAAUUGUUCAAUGCCGGUAGUCGACUAUUAACUUUCUUCUUCUUCUUCUUCUUUUUAAAUUCUUGAAUCCAACAUUGCCCGUGGACCAAAAGUAAUAAUCCAACGCUGCCUGUGGGUUUUAGCCUACUCAAAGAAUGGCCUAAAACAGUCUUAACAAAAACCCAUUUUGUAAAGCUAAGAUAGUAUUAGCUUGAGCUUGACAGCUUUAUUGCUUUUCAAAUAGGUUUCUAAUUAGGCUCACGUAACCGGGUUUUUCAAGAGAUAAAAGUUAAAGAGGGAACGUGUUAUUAUUAUGUAAAAGUACAUCAUUCCUUGCUUUGAAACGUACUGCCUAAUGGUUGUCACUAGGAAUUAGCUUCUUUGUCGAACAUGUAGCAUUUGGUUUGGUUCAAUUUCAAAAAAGAAACUUCACAAUGGGGCUAUAUUUUAUCAGCACUGGUAAAACAAAUCAGCAAAGUUGGUAACCUCCGGAUCCCUAAUUCAAGAGAGAGACAACACACAAUCAAAAAGACGAAAGAUAGGUCAAAAAUUGUUUUAAGUCAUGCUUUGUGGACCUGAAGUUGAGUCCCUGACAAGUCUUCCCUGGAUAAAGCUCCAGUCACUACUAGUUGGAUUGGGUGAGUCUCCUAUUUUCCAUCACUAGUGGCUGAAAACCCAUCGAAUUGCAGUAAGUUGGCAAAUGGGUUCGUUGACAUAAUGAUAGUGGUGUUGAAUUUUUUUUAUUUGUUUUUGCAUCACUCGCUGAAUAUAGCCAGCCUGUUUCCCUAAAAGUAGGCUAACAGAAAGUCAACUCUGUUAAAGUCUAGCCCACCCCUGACAUUUGACAUGAGGCGUGCAUCAUUGGAACCAUAGUUGCUUGGGGGUGGCCAAUUCGUAAGACCAUCCCGCCUCUUUCAUAUUAUUUUUGUAGGUAGAUUAGACGAUACUUGUAUUUUAGUCAAAGAUGAAAAGACUUCCCUCCAGUUUCGACAUGAUUCAGCUUUACUUCUAGUCUUUCCGUAAACAAAAUAUAAAAAAGAGUUAACCAAUUGAAUCAUGAAGACGCAUAACAAGCUGGAAGUGAUGAUGAGGGAAAAUCCAACUUAACAAAAGUUGAUAAAAGAAGUGGGUCCGUCCAACAGGCACAUAACUUGGUAGGAGUUCGAAAACUGAUAAAAAAGGUCGUGCUGGUGCGCCACUAACUGCACUACCUACUGGCUCAAAUACAGCGAUUGCGGGGGAAAGGUGCACAAAAGAAAAGCACCAUGCAUGCAUGACAAUGAGCUCUCAUGUCUCUAAAUAUCAGCACAUAAAAGGGCAUAUUAUGUAUAAAGGUAUUAAGACUGACAGGUUUAUGCACCUCAUGCUCAAAUACUGAUAAACAAAAUAUACACAAACAGGAUCGGGCACCACAUAAAAUGUAUUAACAGACAACAGCACGUCUCUGGACUUGCAACAAAUUAUUUCUCAAAUAUAGUGUACCGUGGGGUAAAAAGAAACCACGAGAAUAUUAAAAAGAGAUGCAAAGAAACGACAUCAAACAAAGACAAAAGUCCGAGUAAAGUGGUACUCAAAAGGUUUAACAAGCAUUUAUAAUAUUUAUGCAACAACGGGGAAUAAACAAAAAGCAAGUAGAAUAAGAAACCAGGCAGCGAAGAAACUAAUACUGAAUAUCUUUUAAGUACAUUUCAUUAACAUUCAAAGCAGCUACUAGUGCCAUAAAGAUAAUGGCAACUACAAACUUAGUAGUCAUAUUACAGAGCCAAACUCCACCCAACCUCUCUCCCUUUCCAAGGGACAUGAUAUAUGAUCUUCAGAAGUUUAAGCAACACAUGCACUGGCACCAUUAAUACAUAUGCAUAACUGGAAACUAAAACACACAUGAAUUCUAAAUGCCUGUCUUCUUUAUCUCUGGAACCCAAACCAUCAGAGAGACGGCGAAGGAUGGGUAUGCAAUACAGGAUAAACUUGAAUUCCAGAAGAUGAGGAAACCAUUACCAGAAUAUGAGUUUAAUCUCCAUUCUUGAAAUUCUCAACUCCAAGCUUCUUUACUUCAACCUUGAGAGACUUGAGGUACCGAACAGCUUCAUCGAGAACGGCUACAGUACCCAUCUGAUCAGCACCUGGUACAAUUCCCCUUAGAACCUUAACCAUUUUCUUCAUUUUCAGCCGCUUUUUGGGGUCAGUACCAAAACCGCUACCAGAGGAUUUCAGAGUAGAAGAACAUGAGCUGUUUUUUCUUGGUUUUGAGCCAUAGGCAGAGUGAGAAUCAGAGUCACUUUCAUAAUUACCAGAAGUCCGUGCUGUGCUAACUUCUUCCUCAUCAUAAUCUUCUUGUUCCUCCUCUUCUGAGCUGAGUAGUGCAUCAAUAUCAUCUGAAUCCUCUUUCAGAGAGGAUGAGGUAUCUUUUUCCGCAUCAUUAACAUCUUUAAUGUCAUACUUUCCAUCAAGGUAAGUUGCAAAAACAUUUAAUCCAUGACCAUUAAAUUUGUUUGCAACAGCAGGAUUGAACAUUAUCUGGUUUCUAUGAUCAUUCUGAUUGAAGAUAACGAAAUUUUUGGGACAAACCUCUGAGGGUUGAAACUCAAUGCCAUGGAGGGGUGGCAAUGGCUUAGCACAUGGAGGAAAAACUGUACCAAAAGCAGAAGGAACCGGCAUGUGAAUGUAAUUAUCAUCCACGUGAUCUGCAAGUCUGGGCACUGCUUUUGGGGAGUAAAACUGUUGAUCACUCUGCAUCGAAAUUUCUACUUAAUCAAGAGGUUCACAACAAAAGAUUGCUUCUUGGCUUUGAACGUGAAGUUAUUCAGCUUUUAAGUUGGAAGAAGAUUUAUAACUAAAUUACGGUGAGACAAAAAUCUAAACUACUGGAUCGCCAUUACAAUAUGUCAAAGCUACCUAUCCCAAAUUUGCCAUCAACACAAUCAGAUGUUCCAUUCUAUCACAGCCUCACACAUAACACAACCGAACGGCACUCUCCCAGAUCCCAAUUUCCAAGAGUUCUGUAAUACCAGACUACGUAACAGGCUUAAGCAACUGACGGAAAUACUCUGCCUGCAAUAGCAUAUAAAAAAGUCAAUAUAACCAUAAAACUUGCACGAGUAAUAUGUGCAGCAAAAACAAAAAGAUACUUUGUCGAUCAUAUUUAUAAGAACAGAAACUUUAGUCCUGCUUAGUAUUUUGGAGUCACUUGACAAUUUCUAUUUCAUUAAGCCUGCUAAAAAUGGCCAAAAGUCUAUGUACUGUACAUGUCCAGAUCUGUUGACAAAGGGAAAUCCACAACAACACGGAUAUACAAAUGAUAAACAUCUUUCAUUACUCAAAUUUGAAUAUAACUUCUUUCUCUACAGCCAUAACAAUUGCAUGUAUGCCCACAUAAAUGUGCUUUGUGUUCGUGGUUGUUGUAGUUCAUUUGCUUGUGUGCAUUAAUAAGACAGAUUUUUCCAAUCAGUUAUUUGACAAACUAGAGAUCAAGAGGCCUACUCAACCUAAUCCAGACAUACUACAGCAACAUUAGUGAUGGGACAAUAUAUGACAUGGCACAUAGAUUUAUCUAAGACAGCCUUUCAUGCAUUUCCAAGGACACAAACAUAUAAAAUAUAACAGGAUGGAACAUCAACAUGAAAUUUGAAACAAGAAAACAUAUUUACCUGACAAACUUGAACUAGCUUAUAGUAUGCAAUAACACCAACGCUCAUUUUAAUUUUCCCAACUUCCUUAAUUGCUCGAUAUCUCUUUAUGGUUACCGAAAUGUACAUUCUCACACCUCCAACCCAAAAUCUUCCAAUUGCGAACGAAAGUUGAAGGAACCCUAUCCCCUUUCAAAUUCAAUCGAAAUUCACCUACAACAGUAGAAUAACAACAGAUAGAUACAUGAUGCACAUUACAAUGUAAAUUCUUUUUUUAUUCUGGAAAUUAUAAGGCAAGCAAAAGAUCAUGAACAGAACUUUUCAGAUUAAGAGAACUCACCAGAAACAAAUAAAAUUACAGUAUGACAAGAAAGAAAACAACUAAGCGCACGCAGUUGACGAAAGACCACGGCAUUUUGUUAGACUUUGAUUCAACCCCGAAGUGAUUAUUGAAGAACAAAUCCAAGUCUUUUGCCUGCCAAAAAAAGAUAAAGGAAGUAGGAGUUAAAAUCAAACACAGUUACACAAGCACUUACAUUAAGAAACCAGGGGAUCUGCAGUAAAAGAGGAAUGAAGUAAACAAAAGGAUCAAUGAUAAUUCAAGCUCAGUGGAACUAAAACUCAAAACGGAAAAUUAAAAUCAAAGAAAGUAGUUCUAUUUGGUAGCAGAUAUAGAUCUAGGAGAAAUUUAGAAAACGAAAGCACUGAAGAUUUAAUAUAGAAAAACUCACUUUCCAUUAAAAAAAAUCACAAAUUCCUCAGUGGAACUAUAUGCACGAAUUGCAGAUAAAUUAGAGGGGGAAAACACAGAGACUAACAAAAAUACUACCAUUAAAAUAUAUAUGAUACCUAUUUUUUAAGGGGGAAACGUAAAUAAUCUAGAUAACGAAAAGGAAAAAAAUGAAAAAACUUACAAUAAAAAAAAAACACAGAGAAACAAAAAAAGUGAAUCGAAGGACAGGAAGCAACCAAACAAGAGAGGAAGGUAAUAGGGAAAACUGGUCUGAAAAAGCCCCUGGAUUUGCGCUGAAGAAAGCUGCAGAGUUUUAAUUAAGGGAGUGAAGAUAGUGAAAUUCUGGGUAAGAGCAAUUAAUUUUCAUUAUAUUUUUUAUAUAGGGAUUUUGAUAUUGAGAUGUGUGCAGUUCGGAGUCAAACGCGGUAGGAUUUGAGCCGUCGGAUUUGGGGCAUUUCCGUGUAAUGCGGAAGGGAAAGUGACCGUUGGAUGCACGCGUGACAGAGAGGAACCAGUGGGGCUCACGAGGUUUGACGAUUUAUGCGUUAUCGUGGAAUCGACUCUUCUUCUCAUUUGCUUUUUGUUUUUCGUUUUUUUCUCAAUAAUCCUUUGUAGAUUACUUGUAUUAUUAUUUUGUCUAAUCAAGUAUUAAGAACAAACUUUAGGGUGGGAGUGGGGCGGGGGUAAACGUCUUCUAAACUUCUAAUCACUUUACUAGUAAUCUAUCUAAUUUUUUUAUUAUUAAACUAUUUUUACAAUUAAUUAAUUGUGUGAUUGAAUUUGGGGUUAUUAAUUGUGUGGACACUUCUUCAAUUACAAUGAAAUCAAUACAUUUUUUAAAUCGAGUCAGCGGUAAUUAGGUAUUUUCUUCUCUUUUUUUUAAUUUUUAAAAUGUUUGAAAUAAUCUUCCACCUAAAAAUUCAACAUUUAUAAAUGUGUAAUUAAGUUCGCCUUACAAAAUAAAAGAAAAUUACUAAAAUAAUUUUACUUAUUUCAAUUUAUCAUGAAUUCUUUUUCUUAUCUAUAAAAAUCAAUAAAAAUUUAUAGAAAUUAAUAUUUGAACUUAUAUCAACCAUAUUCAUAAUUUUUUUUUCGCUUCAACAAAAAUUUUAUUUUAAUAUUUUAUUACACAAAUUAUUUCACUCACAUUGUUUGUUUAUUUCAUUUUAUGAACUUUCGAUGAUUCUAGAUGUUCUGUUAAUAGCUUUCUACAAGUAAGCUCGACACCAACCCAAUAAAUUUGACAAUUGAAGUGCAUUUAAUAUUAUUAAUCUGAUGUAUUUAUUUAUUUAAAUUUUAUUUUACUCACAAUUUAAACAAUUUUCUUAUUUUAAUUCAAUACAUAUUGUAUAUGUGCUAUUACUAAUUUCAAACUUUGCAUUUCAUUAUUUAUUAUAUGUUAUUUUUAAAUGCUCGUUUAUGUUUUAAAUACGUAAUUUCUACAUGUAUACAAGUGUAAUAAAAUUUUUAGUUUUAAUUAAAUUAAUAAAAAAAUACUUAUCAUUUAAUUAUUUUAAACAAAUUUUUAUGUGUAAAAUAUUUAUUUUUUCACCGCCAUAUUUUCUAGUGUUGAUUAAAUUUAUUAUAAAUCAAAUUGUAUCAAUUAUUAGGUGAAUGUAUGAAAUAAAUCUAUAUUAAUAUAAAACUCUUUAACUGAAUUUGAUAUUAUAAGUCAAGUUAGAUUAAUUCGAUAAGUAAAUAAUUAAUCCUAAAAAUAAUAUAAAUUCAUAAAAUGUAAAUAAAAACCCUAAUUUAAACUUUUAAAAUUUCAGGUUAAAAAACUUCUCAAUCUCUCAUAAAGUACACACUUAACUUUAAACUAUAUUAUGGCAUAGUUAGGAUGGGGUAUAAUUUUUGACAUAACAAAUCUAUUUAUAAAGAAAAUUAAUGCAAAUAAAUAAAUAAAUAAGGAUUUAGUUAAAAUAAUAAAAUUGACAUGAUAUAAAACCAUAUUUUUUUAGGUCAAAAUUCCAUAAUUUUUUAUUUCCCUAGAUUGUAUGGAAAAAUAUAAAACUACAAACACCAAUACACCAUCAUACUAAUAUUUCUUAUUUUGUAAAUGAAUGAUUUUUUGGUAAUUUUCCAACUAAAUUGAGGCUCGAUUGAUAGGUUAUAGCUAAGAUGUCAAAAUCAACCCAAUCGAUGAUAUCAAUAGUUCGUCUGGUUCAACUAGUGGCAUAAAAUUAGAUGUAGACCCAACAGUUUGUGAAUCAAUUAAAAAAAAACUAACACAAUAAAUAUAACGGUUGAAUAGUUUAUUUUUUUAAAAAUAAUUUGUCUUAUUUUUAUGUUUUUCUUUUAAUUUUUUUGCUUAAUCAUUGUUGAACCAACGAUCGAAUCGAUCAAAACCAAUUGAUUCGAGAAUCAAUGGUCUAGGAUCUAUUUGAUCACCUGUUUGUUUUUUAUAACAUCGGAGACACCAACUCAAGCAAACAAUUUACCAUUUAUUUAAAAUAAAAAUAUAAUCAAUCAAUCAAACAAGCUAUAUUGUUGUUUAAUUUUUACUAUAUUUAAGUUAUUGAUGGAAACCAACUUAGUUGAAAAGGGACUAAAUGUCUCAUCGUUUAACCAAAUAUUUACUAUAAGGUCCUUUUGGAUAAGCGUCUACCUCCAGUGCGGUGCGUUUAGUUUUCCUUUUAUCUCACAUUAUAGUAUCUAAUCUCGCUGCCACUGUUGUUUGUACACUAACCGCAAGUAAACGCACCGCCCAUUCAAAGGUGAAACAUAAAUAUAAUUAAAAAAUGACUAAAAAAUUAAUCAUAUUUUUUUACAAAAUCAAUUAUAUUCUAAUAAAAAUAUUUUCCUCUUUCUAUUUUUUUUAUAUAAAUAAAAUAAAAAUUGGCGCAUAAUAAAAUUAGAACUUAAAAUAAUAACAUUUAAAUAUUUGAUUUUAUCUUUUUCAACCUAUACAUUAUUUAAUAUUUAAAAAGUAUAUUAAUCCAUCCAUGUGUUGUAAUCCAGCUUUUAGUACCUAAUCCUUUCCAUCGCGUAAAAAAUGUGCACAGACAGAAGCAUAUAAAAUAAAUUUACAAAAACCAAAUGAGGUACUCUCUCUUUAAAUAUAUAAAAUUUACAAUUGUGAUGAAAUCUCCUUCUUUUACAUAGAAAUAGAAUCUUAUUUUCGUGGUCCCAUUAUUCUCCUCAUCCAAUUCAUUUGUUGGAGGAAAAGACUAAAGAGUUUUUAGGUCUCUCAAAGUUCGAACAUCCGCUCAUUCCUACUAAAAUCAAGAUGUUAAUUAAGGACGAGAUUCCUCACAACAUCACUUUGAUUUUCUUUUAAUCACAUAUUCUAAAAAAUUAAAUUAAACGACCUUGUCAACAUAAAAGGAUUGUUUUUAAGCAAAACUAUAUUAUCAAGUACAUAAACUAUCAUUGUAAUUUAACCUCCAAUAAAAUUUGAUUAUUUUUAAAAUAAAAUAUUAUUUUCACGUAUAUUGUGAUUAAUGCAUGCGUAUAAACAAAAUCAAAAUAUUAGAAUUACAUGAUUUACAAUAAAGAAAAGAGCAAUUUCACGUGAAGGUAUUGUGGGCAACAAACAUUCAUGUUUGAUGGCUUUGGGCAAAUAUUUCCAUCAAAUUCCUUUUCUUUCCAAACUCAUGUUCGUAAUUUGAUUACCGAAGGAGCAAAUUUAAAUUCCAACUAGAACAGCUCAACAAUCUCUGGGAAAAUUACGUCCCUUUCCAAACAUCUGAAAAUUCCUAAAGCUCUCAUGUCGCCCUCUCACCACUCUGCAAAAUCUUUCCUCUUCCCCCCCAUUGGAACUUCUUUGUUGAAGUUUCAGGUAUGAAAUGUGGAGUCGAAGCUCUAAGAUCUCGGCUAUCAUUUACUUUGAUUACGAGUUGUGGUACCAUUGUUUCUUCGACUUUGUGAUGAUUUCAAAGUUGUAAUUGAAUUCAAUCUCAAAUUUCAGGGUUCGUGGUGAUUUCAUAUUCUUCACUGGAUUUUAAUUUGUUUAAAGAUUGAGGUAAGUUUUCAUGAGAUUAUUUUCAAUCAAUAUUAAAGAUUUUUAGCUUCGAAAUGAGAUUUUAUCAUUAAUAACCUACCUCAAGGACAACCUGCGAGCCCAAUAAAAAAAUUGUGUGCGCGCGUGUGUGUUUUUUUUUACUCUCAGAUUUUAUCUUACUAAAUUUUCACUGUUCUUUCUUGCGGGGUGAGGUUUCAAGACUUUAUGUAUAAUUUUGUUUACUAGAAGUUUUCUUCUUUAGAGAUUUCAUGAAGCUUCCGAUAUUUACUUUUAGAUAGAAUUGUGGACGUGGGCGUUAACAAUGUUAUCUUUAAUCUUUAGCAGGGGCAUAAACAACGGGCUAAUUGGAAAUGAUAUAAAAUAAAAUAUACAUGUAUAUUUCAUCCAAAAGUAGGUUGGUAGAAAAAUUAAAUAGUCCUUACAACAUCCACAAAUAAGUUUAAUUUUAAUAUAAUUCAAGAGCUCGGGCAACUUACAUGCAAUGCGUAAAUGCAUCUCUUUGUAAGAGAAGUCGGAUUGUAUUUUAGUUUUUUAUUAAAAAAAUAAAUAAAUUAGUCUUUGCACGCAAACUAAUCAUUCUGUUAAAAAUUUCAUUAAUUUUACUGUUAAAAAUUAGUCAUUGUAUGUUAGCACAAGGUAGAUGUGACACACCAUGUGUUAUACAAUGACAAAUUUUUAAUAGUAGAAAUUAAUAAAAAUUUUAAUAGAAAUAACUAGUCAACCAUUUGAUCUAAUAUACAAAGACUAAUUUAUUCAUUUUUUAAAUAAUAAGACAAAAUAUAAUAUAACUCUUAAUACCUACAUUUUGACAGCAACUCAAAAUCAAAAGCAUUAUUCUAAAUAACUUCUUCUCAUCCUAGUUAAUGCAUCAGUAUAUUGGUUCGAAGCAUCUAUAUUGGAAACCGUUGAGAAGCAUCAAGAUAUAUAACCACAGUAGAAUCAAUUUCAAUAUCCAGAUAUUCAAUAUUAAACAAUUUGUAACACAUAACUUUGCAUUGACUCAGGUUAUAAGCACAAACUUACUUCUUCCUCCCUUUCCUUUUUAGAGUAAGAUUGGAUGGGCGAUAGAUUUACAUAUGAGUAGUUUAAAAACAACGGUUGUAGCGAAAUUAAAUACUGUAGUGAUACUAUAACGUGAGACAAAAAAUAAACUAAAUGCAUCGUAUCACACCCCACCACCCAUCCAAACCCAUCCUUAAUCACAAACGAAACACUUUAUUUGUAUUUUUCUCUAAUUUUAAGAAUUUUAAUCCCACUGCCCGUUGACUAAAUAAUAAUUCAAUCUCUUAACUAUUAAUAUUAUCAUUCCCAAUAUAUAUUUAUACUUCACCCCUCAAAUUUUUCCAAUGAUGUUUGUUUUCUUAAUUUGACCCUACUAUGAUAUUUAGCUUCAAAUUAUAAUUUCUUAAAACUUUGGUCUAAACCUCGUUUAUUAAUAUUAGUUUAAUUAUUUAUAUUUUAAUGUUUAAAAAUUAAAUAGAUAAAUUAUAGCAAUUACUAGGCGUAUAUAUAUAUAACUUUGUAUAUCACACCUUGAUGGUUCGCUAUUUAAGUUGGCUCAUACUUUAUAAAUAAUGGGCGACAAGAUUACCCUCAUCCCAUUUCAAGCUGGGCUUAAGUGAAGUUUUAAAAAAUGGAGUAACAAUGCAAUUUUGACCCGUUGUCAUAAUUCAGAAAACAACAACAACAACAUGACCACGAUCUCUACAGAGUGCAAUGAAAACAUGUAAAUACAGUAAUUAUUAGAAGUUUUAAUUUUUAUUUUCUGAUUGUUACCUUUUGUACCAUACAUGUGCCACUUAAAAUAGUUCAUUAGUAGCUUGUCUAAAAUUUUUGAUAAGUUUUAGGUAUUAUGUCUAUGUUAUUUUCAGAUUCAAAAGGUAAGUGUUAGAGAAUAUUCAAAAUUUAUAAAAUCUAUUACAUAUUAAAAAAACCAUAUAUUCAUAAAAGAAUCAUCCCUACUUUUAAUCUAUCUUUUAUUAUUUUAGUUUAGUAGUGAGAUUUGGGUUGAUUUGAUCUAAUUUAAAUCGGUCGGUGGCUGAAUCUAGUUUGGUUGGAGGUUGGUUAAUGAGUUUUUGAAAUUUCAAUUAUCGGUUAAUUCAGUUUGAAAUUAGGUAAUUAAUUCGAAAUAUUUGUUGUUUUCAAAAUUUAUAUAAUAUUUGGUUGUUAACUUUCAAGACUCAUGUAGUGUUUUAAUGUCUUAUUUGUUGUUUUCAUCUCCAUUUAAAGUUUUUUUGAACUAUUAAAUAAAAAAAAGAACAUUAAUAAUGUAUUUUUUAUAUGUUUUAUACUUAUUUUAACCAAAAGAAAAAAAACAUAUAAAUUCAGGUUAACUCGGCCGGUUAACCAAAAUAUUUUGAUUCGAUUAAUAUAUUUAAAAAAAACUUCGAUCCGAUUAAUUAUUAAAGAUUUUUACAUUUCAAAUAAUUCAAUUAAUAAAUAUUAACCAAACCGACUAUUUUAUCACACUUACUCUCUCUUAGUUUUGCACCAACUAUUACGUUUUCUUGCACCCUCAAGUUAAGGUAAUUUAAACUAGGAAUUCUUUUAGUUUCCCCCACUUUUGUUGGUUGAGACUUGAGAGAGGCUUUGCCUCAAUAAAAAGUUAUUGUUUUUAUUCCAAUUAACUUUUUACCUCGUUGCUUUUCAUGCUACAAGUCAUAGGACAUUAAUAUAGCUUUAGCCACUGAUUUUCCUCACCCAAUUUAAUCUUUCAAGUUAGCUCCAUCAAUCUUUUUCUUCUUUUUUUUUUGUUUUUUUUUUUGGUUCUAAAAAGAAUGGGCUUUUACUUCCAAAGAGGGAGAACUAGAAAUUGAAAAAGUUUCCACUUACUCCAAGUGAAGUCUGAAUUUUUUUUCUGUAAGGUCGGAUUUGAAUCAUUACUAAUUUUAUUAUCACUAUAUUAAAAGAAAAUUUUACAAUUUCCCUGGGGAUAAAACUAUAAACUUUCUAAUUUUGAAGAGACUGGAGGUGAAUUUUAAAUUCUAGAGGAAGUCAAUAUGCAAAUUUACCCAUUAAAUUAAUUUAAUAUUUUAUAAAGUUAAAAAAAGACUAAAAAGGAAAUGAUCAUUUAUUGGGUAACGUUGGCAAAGGAGAAUAGUAGUAGGGAAAACCAAUAUAAAAUUUCUAUAGAAUGAAACCAUAUGCAGAAGAACAGUCUUUAUAUAUCUGAUAGAUUGUAGUGAAUCUUGGAGCUGCUGUUAUCACAUAAUUCUCCCAUUGUUUCGUGUAAGAUUAUUAUGCAGGCCCAGAUGCUAUAUUCAACACUUUUUAAUCAAUCAUUUUCUUUUUCGAAAUAAAAUGAAGAUGAAUAAGAUGAUUAAAGCUGUGAAAAGAAGGUAGGCAAAAUGCAAAUGCAUGUUUAGCACAUAAAAAUUCACCUCAUGCUCUCAUUGAUUUGCAACAAAUUUACAUCACAUCAACAGAGAAAACUUCAAACACAAAUCACUCUCACCAUCUAAUCUCACUUUCCGGGAACAAAGUUGGUGGCGUAGGCCCAGGCAUUGUUGUUAACUGGGUCAGCAAGGUGGUCAGCCAAGUUCUCCAAUGGUCCCUUUCCGGUGACGAUGGCUUGGACGAAGAAUCCAAACAUGGAGAACAUAGCCAAUCUGCCGUUCUUGAUCUCCUUCACCUUAAGCUCAGCGAAUGCCUCUGGGUCGUCAGCAAGACCCAAUGGGUCGAAGCUGCCACCUGGGUACAAGGGGUCGGUCACCUCACCGAGAGGCCCGCCAGCAAUACGGUAACCCUCAACAGCUCCCAUCAAGAUAACUUGGCAAGCCCAGAUGGCCAAGAUGCUUUGAGCGUGGAUCAAGCUUGGGUUUCCCAAGUAGUCAAGCCCACCUUCGCUGAAGAUCUGAGAUCCGGCCUUGAACCACACAGCCUCACCGAAUUUGACUCCAUUCCUAGCCAAAAGCUCAGGGAAAACACACCCAAGAGCACCCAACAUAGCCCACCUACAGUGGAUGACUUCGAGCUCACGGUUCCUGGCAAAUGUCUCUGGGUCCGCCGAGAGUCCAGCAGUGUCCCAACCGUAGUCACCAGGGAAUUCUCCGGUCAAGUAAGAUGGAGGCUCACCAGAUAGUGGACCCAAGUACAAGACUCGGUCAGGACCGUACCAUGGACUUCCAGAGGGAGCAGCCUUGGUAGCGGUUUUCCUCAUGGAAACACGGCCAUUGCCUUGGAUUUUAGGGGCGGAAGGAGAGAGCUUGACGGCCUUUCCGGCGAAAGAUGGGGAAGAGAGAGCCAUGGUUGCAGCCGCCAUUCUGAAGGGGAAAGAUGAUCUCGGGUGAUGGGAGUUUGUGGUAUAAGUUUUGAGAGUGAUGGAAAGGGGGCAAUGCGCAGGGAUUAUAUAGGGAGCUGUGGGCGAGGUUCCUCAAUCCUUAUCUAGGCCAGUAUCUAUAUCUCUCAUUUCAUUGGGGGCUCAAGAUUUCGAUAUUUUCUUUGGAUUUUCCACUUGGCACUCUUUCCAUCCACAAAAACACUUAACGGGCAGUAGCCGAUGCCAGUAUCUAUCUUUUUUUUUUUUUAAUUCUCAUUUUGUCUUUGAAAUUUGAAUGCACAGUUGGAGAUUUUGACACUCACUAUAAUUAAAUAUUGACAACCACAAAUUAUUAGGACAAUAAACGAGUUUUGAAAGAGAGAAACUUGUUGAGCCCAUAUGCAGUAAAUUUGUUCUUCAAGUUAUGAUGUUGAAAUGAUGGCAGCAAAAUACAAGUCACUGAGUUUGAGUGGCUGUUAAGAUAUUUAUGUAAAAUAUCUACAUGGGGAAAAAUAUCUUGCGUUGCAGCAGUAGCACCAUGAAAAAUACUUGAAAUAGAUCAAAUCUGUACAAACUUUAUGAACCAAAUUCACCCCCCUCCCCAGUAGGCUAAAUUUAGUAUGGAGACAGAGUUCCUUUUGUCAAGCAGGAACAGAUAAACAAUUUACGGUUGAUAAGAAGCCAAUCAGCCAUUUAAAAAGCUUCCAAAUCUUAGCUUUGAUCAUUGUUAUUUCUUUUUCUAAUUUUGUGUUGUGUUUAUAGUUGAAGCAUUUACGGUAUUCUGCAAAAUAAGGGCAACAUUAUAUAGACAGUGAAAUGGAAAUAUAUGUUUCUAAAUGCAGACUGUUAGUAUUGUUAACGUGAUAACGAGCUUAGCCUUGGAACAAUUUUCUCAGGAAAAAGUUAGGAUUUUUCCUAUUUUGGUACAACUCAAAAGCGUUAUCUUAUGAUUAUCAAUGUCUGAAUUCCUAUUGGUUUGUAACAUUUGGGAUGUCUAUUUUGCAAUGUCCAGUUGGAGUAAUUUUGGUGAAGCUGAUCUAUCGAAAAUCUCAACCAAUUUUUGAAGUGUUAUUUGUUGCUCCAAUGAGAUAAUGCCACUUGUUAUGGUCGGAUAUAUAUUCCCCAAUACCAUAUCUGCUUGGAACAAACAUUAUUUUAUUUGUUUUUUUUUUACUGUUUGCUUACAGAUUAAUGGUUGACAGAAACAAGAAUCACGGAAUUUAAAAAGAAAAAAAGAAUUAAUUAAGUUUUUUCAUGAGCAUUCAAAAUUUUAAAUUGUAUUAAUUAAGCCUUUUUACUAUUAUUUAUUUAUUUUUAACCAUUACUGUCAAUGAUAACAAUUUCUAACCUAUUAUUGCCAGUUAGUAAAAAAUUAAAAAAUUUCAAAAAAAAUUAUUUGAACUUUUUAUAUCUAGAAUAAAUUUGGACAAAUAAAUAAUUAUUUGUGUAGGUUCAUCUUGGAUUUAAUCUUUUAAAAAAUAUAUAAAUUUUAAAAUUAAUAAAAAUGUUAAAUAAAAUUCAAAAUAGAAAAUUAUUUAAAUGUUUAAGUCCAAAAUUAUAUAAAGUUUUAAAAAUAUUAAUUUUUCUUAAAAAUAUGAAAUGUGUAUCAAUGUUUUAAUUUUACUGUAACUUUUAGACUAUAAAAAAAAAGAAUAGAUCGUAUAUAUAUAAUUUUAAAUUUUAUUGAUUCUAUUUAUAAAGUUAAAAAAAAUGAGUAUAAAUGUAUCUCAAUUGUAUUCUUACACGUGUAGCACUAAAAGUACUUGAACAAACUAAUAGAUAUUACAAUUUACUAAAAUAAAUAAAUUAGUUAAUAAAAAUUUUAUUUCUAAAAAACAAUUUGAAAGAAUUUUAAUAUUACCAAAUUUGAAAAGAGUUUUAAAUAUAAAAAAUUAAUCAAAUAAUAUGAAGAAUAAUAAUUUAAAAGGUAAACUACGUUGGUGGUGUUAGGUAGGUUUUAUUUUGGUUACUCAAUUUAAAAUAUUUUCAAUUUCGUCACUAGCAUUUUUAAAAUUUAAAAUUUUAAUCCCUACCGUUAAAUACUUAACGAAAAGUUGACGUGGGCCAUUUUUAUUGGCCUAAUAAUAAAUUUAGUCUUUCAAUACUUACACAUUUUAUCAAUUCAAUUUGAUUCUUAAUCUAACAAUUUAACAAAUUUACAAAAUUUGUCAUUUAGUUCUAAUUCUAAAAAAUUGAAUAAAUUUAGCUUUAUAUAUUUACAGAAUUUAAACCUUUAGAAUUAGAUUAAAUUAACAAAUUUUGUUUGAGUUUCAGAGUGCGGAGAAAACCGAAGUUAAAAUGAUCAAAUUUUAUUGGAUGAUGUAGGUCUCUUAUAAAAUUCCCUAAAAAUCCCUUCAUUAGGAAUUUGAACUUUAGAAUUUUUAUUUAGAUUUCAAAAAUAGUAAAUUAAAUGGUAAAAUAGUUAGAUAUGUAAUAUUUAAAGCCCAAACUAAUAACUAGGGUAGAAGAAGUACCUGAUUUAUGUAAUAUAAGUUUUUUCUUAGAAUACAAUUAAAAUGUUUUGAUAUUUGAGGAUCAAUUUAUAAUAUGAAAUGUAGUUUGAGGAUGUUAAUGCAAUUAACUCUUUCUAGAUAUUCAAGCGAUAAUUGUAUGUACAUGGCUGAUGCCUUUGUUAGUGAGGGAUCCAGCUUGGAAGGGUAACUGCAAUCUGUUUAAUCCGUUGGUUCGAUAACUUUUUUUAAUUAACUUAAAUCAUUUAAAUCGACUUUGAUUCAGUUCGUAAAGUAAGUUUUUCCAGUAAAUCGAGGUUGGAUUAUUAGGUUGAGUUUAUACGAUUAUAUAUUUAUUAUAAAAUAUAAAAUAUAGAUAUAUUUAUAUAAUUUAAAAAUAAUAUAAAAUAAGUUAACUUUUUCGAUCAAUUCAAUUUCAAGUUUCAAAAAUUAAUAACUGACCAAAUUAAUCGAUUAAGUCAAGGCCAAAACUAACCAAUUCACUCACUUGACUAAACUGAAAUUAAAAAAAAAAAACUGAAUGAGUCAUUUUUUUCGAUUUUUUCAACUAAAACUGAAAAUUGGUCUCCAUAAAUAUGAUAGUCUAAAGUUCAAAGAUUCAAUGUUUCUACAAGGUAAACUUAAAGGAUUUCGGUGGGAAAGUACUUUUCCAAUUAGUGAUGAAUAUAUUGCUUUUAAAAAGUGUUUUUUCGUCUAAAUAAAAAAGUUGAGAUUCGGAUGCUUUUGACUUUUGCUCUCAUCUUUUGCGUUUUGAAGUGAAAUGAUCAAAAUAUCAUUAUUUAUAGUAAUUAUAUUUAAAAUGUAUAUAAAAAAUUAGUUUCAUUUAUAUUUUUUAUAUCAUUAUAUUAAAUUAUUUAAAUAUCAUUUAUCAUUAUAUUAAUUUACUUAAAUAUUAUUCAUAAAUAUCGUUAUAUUAAAUUAUUCAAAUAUCAUUCAUCAUUAGGUAUAAAAUUUUAAAAUAUUUUAUUUUUGUAUCAUUGAUUUUAGAAGUAAUUUAUAUUAAUAACUCAAAAGGUGGUUGGAAUUUAUAUUUCAUGUAUCAUUAUAUUAAAUUAUUUAAAUAUUAUAUAAAUUAAUUAAUUUUUUUCUUUCCAAUAUCAUGUUUAAAAUAGAUAUUUUAAUUUUCAAUCACAAUUUUUGAUAACAACAUCAAACAUUUAAAAUUAACAAACCAUACUUUUUUCAUAAAAUUUUCAAAAACAUUUUUCAACACAGUAAUAAUGGGGAACUAAGCCUUCAUUUCUAAGGGCUAAGAAGGGUUGGAUGGUUAGUUAUGUCAAUCUGUUUUGAGUUGGGUUUGUGUUUAAAUUUUUUAAUUUUGGGUUGGUCUGAUUCAAUCUGUUUUAUUGUUUAAAAAAUAAAAUACAUAAAAAAUAUUUUUUUAUUUUUAUAAUUAAAUUUAUACUAUACCUCCUAAUUUUUUUAACAGUUAGUUAUAUGUCUUGCAAUUAAAUCUGUUUAAGGGUUGAGUUCUCUGUUUAAAUUAGAAAAUUUAUUUGAAAUAUAAAAAUGUUUAAAUAAAAAUAAUAAGCUUGUAACAACCUAAUUUUUAGUGGUAUCAAAAACAGUGAUUUGGGAUCACUAAAUCCGACAAGUAAGCUUGAAAAUAUAAUAAAUUAAUAAUUAUGGGUCAAAUGUGAAUUUAAAAGAAUAUUUGAAUUAGUGAAUUCUGUGAUUUAGUGAAUUUUGUGAUUUAAAAAGAAUUUAAUUGGUAAAUUGGGUCUAAAGCAAGGUAUCGAGACCUCGAAUUCAUAAGUCGAGCCAUAAAUAUUUUUAUAAAUAUUUAUGGAGUGUCAUUGAGUUAGUAUAAAAGUUUCGUUAGAAAAUUUUAAUGUUUGGAUAGUCAAUUAAUUAAAAAAGACUAAAUUGAAAAUAGUACAAAAUUUGUUAAAUUGUGAUUAAAUAGUUUUGGGCAAGAAAAUCAGCAAGAAAAUAAGGAGAAAUAAGGGAAAAAUUGGAAAUUUUGCAAAUUAAACAUAUAAAAUAAAGACAAAAUUGAAAAAUCUAGAGAUAUUAUCAUUUUUCUUCAGCCAAAACGCCAUAGGAGAGAGUUUUCAAGCUGGUUUUUCAUAUUUGUCAUCAUGUAAGUUCAAUUAUUGCUUUUUCUUUGUAAUUUUUCAUGUUUUGUGACUUUUACAAUUAAGUCCAAUUAUUGAAUUCAUUUGUUUUUGAUUCUAUGAAUGAUUUUGAUUCUUUGAAAGUUACCAUGAGUGAGUACUGGAAUUUUAUGAUGAAUUAUUAUAGAUUUUAAGCUUUAAUUUUAUUAUAUUAUGAUUUUAUUAAGUGAUUUUAGUAGAAAAUGAUUUUUAAGACUUAAUUGUGAAAAAGUUAGGAAUUGGGAUUUUGUACUGAAAUUCUGAAUAUCAAAGGCUGUAUAAUAGCCUAAAAUUAUUAGAUAAAGUGUUAUUUGAGGAAAAAAAAUUAGUUCAAUUAAAGUGUUAAUUGAGUAGGGACUAGAUUGUAAAAACUGUAAGUUUUGGGGUAAAAGUGUAAUUUAAAAAAUUGAAGGGCAUAAAUUAUGAAGUGAAUUAGUAUUGAGUUAGAUGCUAAUGAAUGGAAAAAUUUAUAUUAUAGAUCGGGAAUCUGAAGAUAAAUGCGGAAAAGAGAGUAUUAAAAUAGUCUUUGAACUUUUACAAAUCCUACAAAUUGGCCUAGGUAAGUUCAUACGGUUGAAUUUUUAUGGUUAAUUGUUAAUGUGGGAAUGAUAUAUUGUAUCAAUUCGUAUAUUGUUUUUGAAUUAUGUUUAUGGUAAAAAUGAGAAAAAAAAUGAGAUUGUUAGUUUAAAUUAAAGGAUACGUAGGAUUGAGUACAUACGUUCUGUAAUCAGUGAUGAAUUGACGAAUAAGCCCAUGGUGAAUCCAUGGAAAAAUUGUGAAAGGUAGGUAUGUUUCAGUGAAGAAAGCCAUACUAAGUUGUGAAAAGUAUGUAUGGUGUUUCAGUGAAGAAAACCAUACUGAGUUGUGAAAAGUAGGUAUGGUAUUCCAGUGAAGGAAACCAUACUGAGUUAUAGCAUUGUAAAAUAUUCAAGCAAAUCGUGGCACCGGGCAAACGAUGUACUCAAAUCCGUAAGACGAUCCUUAAUUUGACAAGUAUUUGUAAGUGCAAUUGAAGCUGAAUGUUGGAAUACAAGUUGAUAUUUAAUAUUGAGCUCAAUUGAGUAAAUUCAUUGUUUGAGAUUGUGGUUUGUAGGAAAUGUUGUAUUAUACUUUGAAAUUUCAUGAAUGCUAUGGUAUGUUAUUUUAUAUGAAUGUUAUUAAACUGAGAUAAUUGUGAAAAUAUAAAUGUUUGAAUAAAAGUUCUAAUUUAGUGGAACAUUGGAUUGAGUACUUUCGUUCAGUGACUCAUACGCAUUGACGGAAAAGACCAUGGUUGGACCAUGGCAAUAUGUGAUAUGUGAUUUCCGUAUAAGACCAUAUCCGAGAUAUGGCAUCGGUGUGAUAUAUGCUUCCAUGUAAGACCAUGGCUGGGCUAUGGCUUUGGUGUGUGAUAUGUGAUUAUGUGCAAGACCAUAGUUAUACUAUGGCAUUUUAAAAAACGAAGUACUCAAUUCCGUAAGCGUUUCCUAAAUUGAUUAAGAAAGGGAAGAAUUAAUGAAAUUAUAAAUUGUAUACUUGUUAUAAGAUGUUCGGUAAGAAUUAUUUUCUAUGCCUAUGAACUUACUAAGCUUACAUAAGCUUACUCCUGUGUGAUUAAUGUUCUUUGUAGAUUGAUGUGAAAUCGGUGGAUCAGAUCAACACAUCAAGGCACACUAUUCAGAUUACUUCGGUAAAUUUUAUUGUGCAUCUUAAGGUUUAUAUGGCAUGUAUAGGGUUUAAGUGAAGGUGUUAUAAACUUAGUUAUCGACAUUUUCCACUAAAACAGUUUUUGGACAGCAGCAUUGACAUGAUUUUAAAAAAUUACUAAAAAUGGUGGAAAUUGAAUUAGAAGAUGAGUAAGAUAUGAAAUUAAAGCUGAAUGAGUCUAUUUUCACAUGAAAGAAAUAGAGUAAGCAAAAGAGUUGUAUAUUUUUAGAUAUUUGAAUUUUAGUGAGACAGGGUCAGAAUAGUUUUUGAAAUCACAUGUUCUGACUUUAGAAAAUUAUUAAAAAUUGUACAGAAAGAAUUGGAAGUUAUAAUUUAUAUUUAUAGAUUCCUUAGUGAGUUUUUUUUCAAUAGAAACAAACGAGAAUGUUAUCCGAAUUCUGUACAAUGAGAUAAUUAAUUUUUAGUGAAGAGGGGUCAGAGCUGUCGAACAAUGAAACAGGGGAGACUUUAAAGAAUAAACUAUACUAAUUGACUAAACCAAAAAUUCUGAAAAUUUUAUGAUAAGAAUAUAUAUGAGUCUAGUUUCAGGGAAAAUUUACGGAUCUAAAUUUUGAGUUUUGUAACUUGAGUUAUAAUUAAAUUAGUGACUGUUGCGCAGGUGGACAGUUUUAUUAUGAAUGGUGAAAUGAAUUUUUUUGAUUUGUUUUAGUAUUUGGAAAAUUAUUAAUGUUCCCGGUUUGGACCCGAACUGUUUCUAUUGCAUGAUUUAGGGUCUCGAGAUUCCUUUUUAGGGACAUAUUGAAAGAACGUGAGUGAAUUAAUUUUAAAAGAAAAUUUUUAUGCUCCGAACUAGUAAGUUAAGUUAGGUAAUACCUCGUGCUCGACUCCAGCAACGGUCUCGGGUAAGGGGUGUUGCAAAGCUCAAAAAAUAAGCUUGAGCAAAAUUUAAGACUCGCUUUUAUUUGAGCUGAGUCUUAGAUAAGAUUUUUUUUCCUCAAAGUUGAACCCAAGUUAAAUAUACAUUUAAUAUAUAUUUUAAAUAUAAUAUAAUAUAUUUAUAAAUUAUUUUAAAGAAAAACAUUGCGUGACACGCUUUCUUCGGACCUAAGCAAAUAUUAAAAGACUUGGAACCUUGUUUCAACAUGACUCGACCAAUUGAUCAUGUCCUCAUCAUUUAUUUGUAUUGUUCAACUUUUUACAACAACAAAAAGAAGGCACAUUGUUCUAUUCAUUAAUGGUAGAGUCACUUGCUGUUGUCUAGCUCAAACUUCAAACGUCAAAGGCAAAAGUACGUUCAAUACAUUUACUACUAGAUGUAAUGGUAGAGUCACAAAUUCAACUUAUCUGUUGGAUUUUCUACCAGAAAGAUGAAGAUGAUACAUUCAAAACCACCGUACUUACUGAAUAUGAACCGGUCAUACUUCCAAGCCCGAUCAAGAUCAUUUUGUAGUAUAAAGAAACAUUAAGCAUAUAUAUUGCAGUAAGCAUAUGGUAGAACAUAAUAAUAGAAAGUUGAGUAAAAACUAGUCUCAGGCUUUGACUCAAUGAUAGGCAGCUGCACCCUGCAGUGCUGAAUGUUCGGAUAAGCCUAUGCUAGAAGAGUUCAGAAAUUUCACCGGUGUUUUCGGUCUUCGGCAUGUAGUCAUCGAGAUAUUGCUGAUAGACAUAGGAAAUGAAGCCCCAAAUAGCCAAAACCAUAGAUAUCACCUUUAUACCAUCCAUUUUGUCAUUGAAGACAAAGACUGCAAUUAUUGGAACUAUAGGCAAACCAAGUGCACUAAUGGCAGUGCAGAAGAGGGCAGACACCUCCAACACUAAUCCUACUGCACCAAUGUAGAAAACAGCCCAACAUAUAGCAGUCCAAAUCAAUACCAUGAGAUAGGAAAAUUUCCCAAGUCCAUAUUCAUCCAUUUCUCCGCUAAACCCUUUCCAAUCUCCGCUAGCAAAGAAGCCCACUAGUAUAGCACUUGAUGCAACGAGUGAUUGGCACAUCACCAAAUCCAAGACAACCUUAAAUGACUGCCUUACCACAAGCUUUCGAAGCGCAAACUGCUGUAAGGCAACUAACAGUCCAGACCCUGCUGUUCCCAAAAUGGUGCAUAUGAAUCCAGCGGCACAAUGUACUUGAGAAACUCCAGCAAGCCUUGAAGAGUUAUUAUUGAAUACAAGGAGCACUGAGGAAAUGGUGAGAAGGACUAGAGAAUUGAUGAUAAAAGGAGUGAACCUUUGGGAAUUAAGGAAGUACGAAAAGAAUGCAUUAAAAGCCAGCUGAGAUGCAGCAAUGAGGGUGACAGUAGAUAUAGGAAGAUACUGCAUGCCAACUGAAUAAAGAAAGCCAAUUCCAGCUGACAUCAAGCCGAAGGUUACAUAGACCAAACCCAGCAUCAUAAUUGAUGGUUGGUUAUUACUUCCAAUGCUACAAUGAUUGGCAGUGAGCAUUUUGGGCCGAGAAAUGCAAUAGAAAGGGACUAGAAUAGGGAAACCUGCAAAUUGAAUUAGUGUUGAUAGCCAUUUGCUUUUUCCACCUUUGUCAAAGUAAAGUCUUCCCAGCAAUGCGGCUACUGAUUGGCCGCAGAGGAGAAAGAUUAUACAGAGCAAUAUGCAAAUCCAGCGCUUGUAUUUCACAGUUCCCAACUCUGUUAUUACUUGGUUGGUGGCAUUUCCAUUUUCUUCCUUAGCUUCUUGAGCUGCCAAAUAUCAAACAUGAUGUACUUGAGUCUCAGUAUUGAAUGAAAUUUGAAAUAUUCUUUUUCUUUAAUGUAAGUUGGUGAUUCUAAUAUCAGGCUAGUUCAAUCCCCAAGUUUAAGCUUAAAGAGUGUAGACAAUUUGAUAUCAAGAUUGUUCUUAUUUCAGUCAGACUGGAAGAUUGAUUUUAUACUAAAAUCCAUAGAUAAAAUCAAACUGUUUUGAGUUCUUUUGGAGGAGAAGCAUUUUCCAUCUUCCAAGUUUGGUCUAAAUUUAACUUACUAUACAUUGAUCAGUACAAAAUAGGGUGCAAGUGAGAACUCUUAAUCAUAUAAAUCAACCCAAUUUCUAGUCUUCAACUAUCAACAUGCUUAGUUUGAAACCUGGUAUAUAUAAUAUAUUGCUGUAAUAAUUAUAUGUAUGCAUAAUCACCUCUAAAGGUAAAUUAUAUAUAUAAAUAUAUUCCCGGUAACUAAAUAAAGCCAUAGUCACAGAUGAAACACAUAGUGUAGUGGUAAAAAGUUUUUUUUAAUUAAUAAGAAAAUCAACUUCUGCAACUAAAAUAUCAUAUGAACAUAACUUUGGGAAGGAAAAAAAAUUGCAGAAAAGUAAGGUGAAGACUUACCUACGAUGGGUAGUUGAAAAUGCCGAGUUUCUGCCAUUUCUUGCAAAGGAUGAUUAUCCAGCACAAUAUGGUGAUGGUAAUACACACACGCAUAUAUUAUGCCUGAUUGGUGUGGACUUUUCAAUGGUGUCAUGCAAUUAUUUGCGUCCAGCUUUUUACUAUUAGGUGAACUUAGUGUUAGAAUUUGGACUAAUCCAACAUGAAAAUACUGAUUAUAUACAACAGAAGCGACUUCAAUAAAACAUUAAGUAGUUAAUACGAUAUAAAAUAUAUAAGCAUGAAUUAUUAAUAUUUUAAAAUUUAUUUACCAAUAUAUAAUACGAAAAUAUAAAUAUAAUAUGAAUAUAUAAUUUUUUAUUUAAUUUAAUAUUUAAACUAUUAUUUAAAUGUGUGAGUAUCACUCGAAUCAAAGAAAUUACUAAAUAAUUUUAUAUUAUUUAAUUUUUUAUUUUUAAAAAUGAUAAAUAUUGAGAUUUUAACUAAUUUACCCACUUAGAAAAUUGAGGUUCUAGAAUGUAAUUUCCAUUUGACUAUGAGUAGAGUUGAUUUGACUGUUUUGACGCCUUGUUCCUGUGAUUUUUUAUUUUGGUCAAUGAUUCACAAAGCAAGUUGAAAAGAAAAUUAAUUGGGGGGAUUAUUCUCCUGAAAAUUAAUAUGAAGUUGGACCCAAUGCUUUUAAUUUCGUAGCGGCCGCCAAAGGAGACCAGUAGGAUUUACUUUAUCUUUUCUUUGUCAUAAAAUAAUAUUAUUUUUAAUUCCAAUUAAUUAUAAAUCAAAAUAUUUUUCAUUUAAUUCGAUAACUGCAUGUUAUGGGAUUAAGGUUAAUUUUUUAAAGAGAGAAAUGGCAUAUUAUUUGGAGAAUUCCAGACUUUGGCUUGCAAUCCUGCGACAAGUUCUAUGGUUUCUUUGCUGUACGCCGAGUCUGUCAAAUUCAAUUGUAUUGCUAUUUAUACGAUAAACAUGAAAACGAAAUAGCUCCUGCACGUAAACAUUGUACUAUGCCAUCAACAACAACGACAUUAAGCAUAAUCAAUCAGCAUCAUUCUUAUACUUACAACCAAUGAAAAACAGGUAAUAAAUUGAUUAUGAUAUUUUUAUCUUUCUUCAUCACAUGGAAAAUCCCGAACUAAAUAACCCUAUUAAGUAUGAAAUUGUUUAAUUUUAGAUACUCAACUUACAUUUAACAACUUGUUAUUAUUGCAAUUCACAAUACAUAACACUAAGAGUUGAACUCUUAAAAUUUAGAACAAUUUGAUUUUCUUCUCUAUAUAACUUUGAUAAAGACAUUGCGGUAUUUCAUGUAUCAUAAAAUAAAACCAGUAGAGAAGCAAAACCCAAGUCAUUUCAAAUGCUAUUGACAACAUCACAUACUUUCAUUGGUACUACAACCUAGACCUAUCCAUGGGCCGGGCCCUAACAAAAUUAUAGGUCCGUUUGAUAGGCCCGGGCUCGACCCGACUUGAAAAAACGGGCCUAAAUUAUUGCUCAAGCUCAACCCAUAUUAUAGAUAACAAACCUGAGCCCAACUCAUAUUAAAAUUAUUUUAUUUUAUUUUUAUAUAAACAAUUAAAAAUAUAAUAAAUCAAAAAUACUAAAAACAUUAAAAUAAAUGUUUCUCAACAAACAAAUUGAAAAUAAAUUAAAAAAUAUAGUUAUACUUAAAUAACACUAAGACAAGUGCAACUUAACAAGAAAAUGACUUUAAAAUAGUAGUAAAAUUAACAAUAAAACAAAAGUUCUACAAUAUCCAAACAAUAACAGCAAAAUAGUAGUAAUAUAAUAGUGAAAUGACAACAAAAUAGUUAAAAAAACAGCAAAACAAUAGUUUUUUUUUAUACAAAUUCAGGUUAGGCCUAAGCCAAAAGAACCUUACUUGAGGCUAAACGGACAUUUAUUUGCUCAAGCCCAUUUUUCGAGAUUAUAUUUUUGCCCAAACCCUCCUACUUUUCGAGCGGGCCUUCGGGCCGGGCCGGAUAACCUUGCCCAUGGACAGGUCUACUACAGCCUAACAUGUUUUAAAAUUUACCAUAAAUUACAAUGCAAUAAAUUUGAUAUCCAUUAUUUCUUUAUAGGUUUUUGAAGCGUUUUUAUUCUUGAUUUAUUUAGAAGUCUUUCCUUUUUUAAACAUUCUAUCAGAUGUUCCAAGGUGAGGUUGUAAUUUUAUCAAAUAACGAUAUCGAUUUUUGGUACUUUUCAACAUAUAAUUGACUUAAAAUGCACCAUAAAUCAUGAAUUUUUUUUCAUUUUAUGGCAUAUUUGAUAUAAUAUAUAUAUGAUCAAUAACGCAAGACUUAUACUGCAUUCAAGAAACAUAUUUACCUACCUAAUUCAAGAUUCAUUUACUAUCACGAUAAUCAAUUGUUGAACGUCAAAUUUGAUCACCUAAUUUAAUUAGUUUUAGCAUUUAAUGUCUAGGGUUUUUUUUUUUGCCUAUAUAUUUGAAUUCUAUCCAAAAAGAACUUCAUUCUAAACCAUUUAAAAGGCUAGUAAAGCAUUCCUUUUUUCCACCAAUGAUAAGUUUAUGUUCCAUGUGAUUUCUGGGCCAAAUCAAUCGCCUUUUGUUUUUCUUUUAAUACAUCUAGUUGGUCAUAGACCUCAUUGAAAUCUUUGACAAGCAAGUUGAUUCUUACCUUACAGUAAGCCUCAACAGGAGCAUCAGUGGUUUUAUUAAAAGGUUGGUUUGGGUUUAAAAAGCGUUUAGCGACAGAUUCAACAGACGGAUGACCAAACGAAUAAGGUUUACCAGCUAGUAAGAAAAUAAUAAAAAGAAUCUCACCACCACAUAUAGUGGAGAGCUUAGAGAUUUUCUUAUAAAUUCCUGUACGUCGUUUUGAAAAUGAGAUGAGCCUAUCAUCCUCAUUUUUAAUGAUUUUAAUCUCAAUUUUUUGUUUUCCCCUAGUUUCUUGCCCGAGCUUGCCAUUGCAAAAAAGAUCAAAAGAUAAAAGAAACAAACAAAAAAGUUAAAAAUGAAUGUUUUACUAGCCUUUUAGAUGGUUUGGAAUGAAGUUCUUCUUGGAUGGAAUUUAUAUAUAUAGGCAAAAAAAAACUCUAGAAAUUAAAUGCUGAAACUAAUUAAAUUAGGUGAUCAAAUUUGACGUUCAAUAAUUGAUUAUCGUGUUAGUAAAUGAAUCUAGUCUUGAAUUAGAUAGGUAAAUAUAUUUCUUGAAUGCAGUAUAAAUAUUAUGCUAUUGAUUGUGUAUAUAUUAUAUCAAAUAUGCCAUAAAAUGAAAAAAAAUCAUGAUAUUUUGGUGCAUUUUAAGUCAAUUAUAAGUUUAAAAGUAUCGAAAAUCGAUAUCGUUAUUCGGUAAAAUUAGAAGCUCACCUUAGAAUAACAAACAUCACCAUACUUUCAAUGGUAGUACAACCUAACCUAUUCUAGAAUUUACCAAAAUUUGCAAAGCAAUAAAUUUGAUAUCCGUUAUUUCCUUAUAUGCUUUUGGAGCAUUUUUUUUCUUGAUUUAUUUUGAAUUAUUUCCUUUUUUGAACAUUUUAUCAGUUAUUCCAAUGUGACCUUCUAAUUUUACCAAAUAACAGUAUCGAUUUUCAACAUAUAAUUGACUUAAAAUGUACCAUAAUAUCAUGAAAUCUUUUUUCAUUUUAUGACAUAUUUGAUAUAAUAUAUAUACGAUCAAAAACACAAGAUUUAUAUUGCAUCAAGAAAUAUAUUUACCUACCUAAUUCAAGACUAGAUUCAUUUACUAACACGAUAAUCAAUUGUUGAACGUCAAAUUUGAUCACCUAAUUUAAUUAGUUUCAGCAUUUAAUGUCUAGGGGCUUUUUCUUUUUGCCUAUAUAUAUAAAUUUCAUCCAAUAAGAACUUCAUUUCAAACCAUUUAAAAGGCUAGCAAAGCAUGCCUUUUCAAUUUUUUUGCUUGUUUCUUUUUUCUUUUGAUCUUUUCUGCAAUGGCAAGCUCAAGUAAGAAAAUUAAGGGAAAACAAAAAAUUGAGAUUAAGAUCAUUGAAAAUGAGGACGAUAGGCGCAUCUUAUUUUCAAAACGACGUACAAGAAUUUAUAAGAAAAUCUCUGAGCUCACUACUUUAUGUGCUGGUGAGAUUCUUUUUAUUAUUUUCUCACCGACUAGUAAACCUUAUUUGUUUGGUCAUCCUUCUGUUGAAUUUGUUGCUAAAUGCUUUUUAAACUCAAACCAACCUCUUAAUGAAACAUCUGAUGCUCCUGUUGAGGCGUACCAUUUGAAAAGUCACCACAUCUUUUUAAGUUGUUUUAUGUAUUUAAAAAGUCAUGUUGUCAUAUCCCUUUUUGAUAAAACUUCAAAAGAAGAAGAAGAUGGUAACAAUAAAAUGCAUGCAUUAAGAGCAAAUAAAUUAAAAUUAAAUUUGAUUAUACAUUUGCAUUUUUUGCUUACUAAGUUUGUGUAAAUAUUUACGAUUAUAAUUAAAUAAAAAACUUAAAAUUUAAAAAUAGUAUAAAUGUUUUUUUAAGUAAUAAAAAGGAAAGGUGAUAGCGAAAUUAAUCUAAAUGUUAUAUUUAGAUAUAUUUUACAUGUAAAAAGUUUUUAAUUACGGUUUAACGAUUUAUUUUUUAAGUAAUAUAAAGAAAAGGACAUAACGAGUUUUGCUAUAAAAAAUUCUAAAUGUUAUGCUUAGAUAUAUUUUAACGUAAGGAGAUAAAAAAAAACAUGUACGCGAAUUUCUAAUUUUGUUUUAGCGAUAUAUUUUAUUAAAUUAGGAUAAUGUUGAAUUCUAUUGUUUUGUUUUUCUUAUUGGGAUAUUAUAAAAGAAGUUGAUUAUUCAAUAUUUUUUUUAAAAAAAAUUGCAACAAAACAAUUAAAAAAAAAACCCAUCUAUGGAAAUUCAAAUGAGUACCCAUAAAAUAAUACAAUAAUAAUACCCAAUAAGACAAUGAUAUUACUUGACGGAAGUACCAUGAAGAUGAGCUCAAAUGGUUGCUUAAAAUUAGAGAGAAUCAAGUUGUGCCAACAAAACAAUGUUAAUUUUUUACCAUAUUAGGAAAAAUAAAAAUAAUGUAUACAUGGUAAUAAUGAAGGAUUAAUCAGUAAUACCAUAAAUUGACAAUAGACGACCCUUCAAUUUUUCUUAGUUUGUUCUUCUCAAGUGUUAAUAUUAUAUUAAUUUUGCCGACAUAGCAACACUAGCGGUUAUUGUUGUGUUAAGUUAAUUAAAAAUGUAAGGAGUGCCUAUAGAAGGGAUCCAUAUUCUAAGCUUUUGAGUGCAGUGAGUUUCUUCAAAUUUCUCCCUUCUCUUGUUGAUUUGUUUUGUUGUAUGGUGGGUAUGGAUGCUCAGCACUCUUAUCGUCAAUAAUGCUGUCGACAUUCAUGAUUAAAUAUAAUAAGUCCAUUACUUGAUUACUUUGUGAUUGCUUUAUUUAGUAAUGCAUAUUGCAUGGAAAAUUAAAUUCAACAACACUUAACUUUACCUAGUUUAAGAAUAUGACUGAUUAAUCUUGCAGUAUUUUAAACAAUUUCUUUAUUUGUAAUAUUUUUAAUUAUUAUAUAUGUUAAAUAGGAUAUCUUAUAUAAUUUUUUUUGAGAUAAUUAAUUUAUAAUUAUGUAAAUAAUAUAACAUUAUGUAAAUACUUAAAGUUGAACUGAGUUUAAGUUUAAUCUUCAUAAAUUUCAAUCAAAAUUAGCUUUGGCUUAUUCAUGAACAUAUUUAGGCGUAAAUUAUUGAAAAAAUUAAAUCAAUUGAAAAAUAAUAUUUUUUAAUGAUUUAUUUUUUUAUACAAAUUUAAUAAUUCAAAGUAAAAAAUGAUAGAAUUUUUUCUUUGAAAAAGUGUGGAAAAUUGUAAGUAUAUAAUAGUUACUUAUCACUUAAUGGAAAAUAUUUUUAAUUAUUUCAAAUUUAUUUUAAUUAUUUUAAUAUUAUAUUAUCCUAUAAAAAACUUUAUGUUUAAUAUUUAACUUUUAGUGAAGUUUUGAAAAUUUAAGGAUAAAAUUUAUAAUAUAAUUUUAACAAUUUAAUAUCUAUAUUUAUCAAAUAAUUUAAUUAUAUUUCAUAAUUAAUUUUGAAUAACAUAUUAAAUAAAUUUUAUAACUUAAAAUUUCAAUUUAUUAAACAAUAAAAGUUAACAAUAACAUCAAAAGGAUAUUUAACAUAUAAUUCAAAUCUAGUUGCUUUAAAUAUUGAUAAGCAAAGCAAACGUGAAAUGAAAAUUUUAAUGCUUUUAAAAUAUUUGGCUAAGGUAAAAAUUGUGGUGCCCAGAAAUAAGUAGUUUUAAUUACACUUAAAACGUUCUUAAAUGAAAGCUUUUGUAAAGAUUUACUCAGUGUAAAAAAGAGAAACACUAUACUCUUUAAAUUAAAAUGUUCGCUUCAAAUAAAAGUGAGAACUACAAGAUAAAUAAAUAGAAAGAGAGACAUAGGCAUAUCAAGAGUAAGUGUUCAAAGAUUCAAAUGGCUGCAACAAAAGAUAAUUUGAUUUUAGCUCAAUUUAUAUCUAAAAACAUUUUCUUAUUAAUAAGGUUACAUUCCAUUCUCUCACUCAAAAUAUUACAUAAUUAUACCCAGUUUUGAUGUCGUAAAAUACAUCCCCAAAUGACAAAUGAUUAUGAGAGAAGUUCCCAAUAACAUUUUGCAUUACUAUUGGAUCUCCAAUUUGUUUGGUACCGAAACACCACAUUCUAUGUCACAUCAAUCUACAUUUUUUCCUUCAAUAAAUGACCAAAAAAGGGAAAAAAAUACAAAAGGAGACGAUAUAUUGCAGUUCAUCAAUAUUCAACAAAAUGUAAAGAAAAAAAAAAAAGGAAAAAGAUUUACUUCCUGUUGGUUGCCUGCUUGCCCCCCAUCAUGCUCCCAAGGCAAUACCAAGACUCAUAGUUCCAGAUCGAGGAUGAAAAAUAGAGGGCAAUUUUACUCAAAAUCGUUGGAAACAUUCAAAUCCGAAAGCUUAGAUCGUGUAUACGUCUUCCAAGUUCACUUAUUCUGCUCCAACUAUUUAUGUAUGUUUUUUGUAUGUCCGAUGUAAAAGCGCUCGCUAUCCAACUUCAUGCGUUCUCAGGCCUGUAAUUAUGGAAUCAGUUAUAUGCAGGUUAAUAUAACAUAACAAAUGAUGAUAAAGAAGACCUGACACAUUGUCUAAAAUUCAGAAAACUCGUUAGUUCUUCAUAAUGAUUAGGAGCUUACAGUUGAAUGGGGAAUCUGAAGAAGAAUGAGUGAAGUGCAGUACAAACACACUGAAACGACUACUCCAGCAAUGAAAUUAUAUAGCAGCCGUCGGUUGUCUUUUGUGGGAAUGAAAACUGACUUAAGUUUAUUGGUCAAGUCGAACAGACGAUGAGAUAUCUGCAGAAGCAAGGCAAGAUGGUAGCAAAAGUGAGCAAGAUGAAUACAAUUGAAACUGUUGACAAAAUAUGGAAGAGAGGAGAGAAUUUGCUCACCAAGACAUAAAUAGCUGUUGUGAGCAUGAAGUUGAGUAGGGGAUAUUCCGGGAUAAAAGAAAGAAGCCACUUGGGCUGUCCAUUAGUCAUGUCUGAUCUGCAGGUGCGAAAUGCAAUUAUAACAAUCUUGUAGAUAUGUAAAUAUGUUAAUCUUACGUUGGCUUCAGUCCUUGUUGAAUUAUCAUGCUUUUUAUGAAGAAUCAAGAGAUGGAACUAGUUAUCCAGGAAAACCAAUUUCACUAACAGGCUUUUGUUUUAGAUAUAAUUUGAGGAACAGAUUAAAACAAGACGUUUAAAUGGUCAACAAACCUCAACCAGAUAUGAAAUUGUGAAAUGUAAGUCUCCAGAGUUAUCUUGCCAAGCCACCUAGGAAGCACAAAAAUGUAGCAUUAAUUAGAGCAAUGCUAAAAUAGCGCCAGAAAGUCCUCAAAAGGCAAAUCAAUAACCCACAGUCUAGUAAGAAAGCUGGAAUCGAAUGAAUUAGUUAUUUCCAGAAACAUACGCAAAGAGAGUCAAACUGUAACUUCGAAGCUGCUGAGUACAAUUCCGCAAGCAAAUGUAGACACUAGAAUCACAAGAAAGAAGACAUGGGAAUCAGAUUCUAUUUACAUGAUAUUCCUUGCACUUUCACAUAAACUUCCUCUAGUGUUCCAAGUAAACUAGAAAAAAGAUGGCAUUAAUACACACGUUAUAGGAAUCCAAGAUGUGUAUGGGUGAUAUUUGUUGUAAGUAACCUUGUCCAGCUUGUAAAUACAUUCAUACCACAUAUAGCCAACCUGAAGAAUUUAAGAAAUAAAAGGAAAAAAGCCUCCAUCAAAAACCAAAUAAGCAUAAUGGCAAUAUAGAGAUCUAGAGAUCAGGCAACUUACAAAUAAAGCAAUUGCAACAACACUUGCUUUGAUUGAAAAUUUUCUCUUGGUUUCACAUUCCUCCAAUUUUUCCAUCCAUUUCUCAACCUAAGAUUUAAAACAUUUCAAUGAAAAAGUUAAUUGUGCACAAAGAGAACUAGAUUGAUGAUUGAAAUUUUUUACUUACAUUUGGAUGAUAGUAGGCAUACAUCAUUCCAAUUAUCCAUACAUAGCGAUCCAGACCAGAUCUAAAAUGCCACUCAUGCAAUCGGUGGAGAUCAGGUUUUGCAGGAUCAGUGUACCCUGCCAUUUGAAGAGACAAAAUAACUGAUAUAAGCAAACAACUACAACAUAUCCCAGCAAAGAAGAAUGACUGGCUUUGAAAUAAGUAUAUUAAAAAUGAAGUUCAACUGAAAGUAUACAUAUUUAAAGCAAAGACAUUCCAACUUUAAUGCAAUAAAAAGAAUAAAAAAUAUUGAAGCAUAUCGAAAGGCAUCAGAAAAGGACAUGAAUAUUCUAAGCUGGUUGAUAAACAAAUAAAAAUCAGAAGAAUGAAGUCAGAAGGUUGCAAACCUAAUAGGAUAGCUAGUGGACUCCAGAAUAUUUCAAAAACUCCAGGAAUUUCCCAAAUAAAGAUAACUACAAGAAAGCAUGCAAGAAUUUUCACAGCCAUCACCGAUGGUAUCUCAUUAUACUUGUUGAAAAUCCCAAGAGCUCCAUACACCAUUACGGUGAAAAGCGUGUGCAUUGGGCAGAUGUAGUAAAGCAUGUAGUCAUUGUUGAGAACAAUACAACAAAAUGCCACAAAGAAGUUUAGUCGCCACAUCAUCUGCAUUAAAUAGAAGUUAUAGAAGGAUAAGAGGUUUACUGAUAUGCAUAAAGUGGAUAUAUAGUAUAACCCUUAAUAACUGGAAUGCUGGAAUGGUAUAGCGUAUCACCUGAGCAAAACGUGCUAGGCUAAAGUCCUUUCUGAUAUAAUAGUAUGAGAAGUUGCCAAAUCCCGUCAUCCAAACAUAUGCAGCAAUGAAGACACGUAUUGCAUUAUAUAUCUCCGCCGCAGCAAAAUAAUGGUACAUUAGAAAUAGCACCUGCAAAAAGCCCCUCCAAUAAAAGACAUGUGAAUACAGCUGAAUUUAGUACAGAAUAAGUAAUCUGCAGAGAGCAUGGAUGCCAUGCUACUGCAAACAUAAGCAAUCUCAUAAAUCAGGAAUUGGUGCAUGGGAACAUCAGUGCAGGUCCAAAGACAGAAUACUCAUAUCAAUUAUCAUAAAGCAUUUCAUACGAUAGUUUCACAAUUUAUAGGGAAUAUGCUUAUCAAUAUUAGAACAAAUGAGCAAGAUUAAGAAAAGCCAAUGAACAACUGUUAAGAUUAAAUAUAUGGAUCAAAAUUCAAAUAAUGAUUUAGGUAGCUAUUACCAAACAGAAAAAAGGUACUGCGGCAGAAAGUUAUGACAUUGACCUUUUCCGAGAUUUAAAAAUGAAAUUACGGUAUUGAGGAAAGUAAACACAAAAGGAACAUAAGGAAAUAUAAUCUAAAUACCACCUUUUCAAAAUUAGGUGAUUGGAAGGUGCCUAUGCUUCAGUAGUUACUCAUUCACAGGUUACAAGUUAAACAAUUAACACUUGCCUGCAUCCAUCCUUUCCAUUCUUCAGUCUGAUGCCUACUAAGGUACUGCAUGGUCUUUCCAGAGAAUGCUGAUUUGUCACUAUGCUUCGUCAAAGAAGUCAUUGCAGAAACUAUGAUGAGAAGAGCAUAGAGAAAGAGGAAAAGGUCGCGGUUGUAUUUCUGUACAAGGAAAUACACAUAAGAAAUCAUAUUGAGAAAAACAAAAGAACAAAAAAACUUUUAAUGUUAAUCAACAUAAGAAAGCAAAGUACCGACUCUCAACCUACCAUAAAUGUGAAAAUAUACAGCUACUUUAAACCAUUUAAAGAGGAAAAAAAUUAGCCAUCAAACAUUUCCAACCACCAGAGAAGUAAAUAAUUUCGGACAAUGUAUGGUAAUCCUUUAUUUUGAACUAUAAGCAAAAGGACAUAGUGGUCAAAACCUGCUUAUUAAAGAAGUAUCAAAUAUUUACCCAAACCAGAGGACCCAAGAAAGGAUGCAAGUACAUGGGAAGAAAAAAGGUUGUUUAUCAUUCAACUAAAAGGAAAAUGAGGACAACAAACAAUGAGCUUCAAGGGUAGUGGAAUGCAAAAAGUAAUUGAAGAGACUUUUAAGAGACUAGUAAACCAAAACUAAAGCCUCUUUCUGUCAUUUUGAAGGGGAAAGGAAUUAAGAGAAAACCAGAUGGACAUAGAUAAAAGUAGGAUACCAACAUAACCAGAAAGCACAAAAUAAUAUAACUAUAAAUAAUAAUGAAAAUGAGGACCCUAAUAAGUAUGCAGAUGCAAUAGUAUAAUGUUUAUAACUAACAUUGCUCUCAACCACAGAUGAAAGCAUGAAUUACAAUCAACAACACAACCAGGUAUAAAAGCACCUUGGUAGAUUCACCUAGUAAAUCUGUCCGAUCACAUAUGUAGAAGUACACCAGAAUAGCCCCAAACUCGGCCCUGCAUUAGAUUGCGUAGUCAAAUAUAAGACAAAAACAGAAAGCUGCCAAAAAAAGUGUCUUUCUGUUUAUAACUAACAUUGCUCUCAAAGUGGUUCGGUGUUCCAGAAGGAAAGAGUCUUCCAUGGUCAAAAACCUGGAGUCAUAAAUGGUAAGAUGAGUUUAGAGUACAAUCAUGGAAAACCAUAACAACACUGAAACUUAAAGAAAGCAACCUAAUCAAGUUUGUUCUGAUGGAUGAAGCAUGGAGCUUAGUAGAUGCUGAUCUUGUUAGACCCCCUUCAAGCAAAACAGCCCUGUCAUCUUCUUUAAUUGUCUCCUUUCCUAAUACAACCAGAUUACUAUCUGAAUGGCUGCAAAUGAAACACCGUCAUUAGCAUCAGCAAAUAUUGAAGUCAAUAACUCUAAAGAAUAGUGAUAUAAGCGUAACAAAUUUGUGCACCCGCGCUAACUCCUACUUGAAAUGAUUACUUACGCUUUAGAAAGAGAUGCCGAUUUCUUGUAUUCUAGGAACUCUGAAUAUAUCCAUGCAAUGAAAACUGGGAUAACUCCUAAGAGAAAAGACACCUGUAACAAUUAUAAAAAAAAGGCUUCAUUAAGUAUUUUGGGUAAAACUAGUCAUAGAAGAACAAGUUGAUCAGUUUAAAUAUAUAUAAAAUAUUAUAAAAUAGUAAGAACAAGUGACAUAAGUUAGAAUAGUGGAGUGAAAUAUUCACAUAAUGCAUGAUUAUAGAAGUUUAAAAGAUGAAAAAUAAAAGCCCAAUUUGAAAUAGAUGUUGAAAUAAUUAAAAUGCCACUCCUGCAUUAUAACAAUUGCGCGUAAGUUCUUUUGAUAAAAUAUCAAGUAAAACUUCAUAAACUUCCCAAUCUCAUUCACAGUUUCACUUUGAUUUCCAUUAUGAACACCAGUAUCAUCACAACUAACCAUAAUUCAUCAGAUUCUCCAUACACAUUGUGUCACUCAGUUGUGAGUCAAAUCUUUUCACACAUCAAACCAAGCAAGCCACUUAUGUAAAUCUAGUAACCAUAGAACUUUCAUAGAUUCUUAGUAGAAACAAGAAAUUUAACCCUCAAAAGUCAGAAGUCAGAAGUAUCAUCAUUGUUAAUCUCAAAAGAAAAAGAUAAUUUUCUACAAACAAACACGAGCUUAUGAGUAAGCUCUGAAACUCUAUAGAAAAAAAAUGAGGGGGCCUGAAUCUUAGAUACUUCCUUAAUAACGAAACAAAAUAAACAGAAUCCAAAAUUAGUAUAUAGAAAUCCACAAAUUCAAUAAUUGCAAAAAAAACAACUACAAAUGUUUUCAGCUAAUAAAUCACAGUGUCCAAAUUCAAAAGAUUUAAAAAAAUCUCAAAACUAAAUCUUAACUUAAACAAAAAAAAAUCAAUGAAUCAAUAAAAUUCUAAUUCGAAACCGUACCUGUCCAGGCGUAAUUGGCCCAGAAACCACCAUUUCUUUUCUGGAUCAAACAAUAACCUCCUCCAACUGUGAAAUUUGCAACAGCACCGAAUUAAACCAAUCCUCAAAAAAUGCAAAGUCUAAAUUAAAAGUGAGAAGGAAAAACAAAAGAAGAAAGAAUAGUUACCAAAGAAAGAGAAAACCAAUGAGUAGAAUAGAGAGAUUGUGCUAGGACAUGCUCAUAAAUACAACGCCUAAAACAAAUUUAUGUUUUAAUAAAAUAAUAAAAUAAAGGGCGAAUUGAAUAUUUGUAGACGAAGGAGAUCUCUAACCAGCUUGCUUCAAGAAUAGAGAAAAGAAAGGAAAAAAAAAAAAACUUCAGAUAUGACGUCGUUUUCACUCUCUCAAACGGUUGUUGUUGCCAUGGUUGCUGUUGUUUGCUUGGGUCUCUUGUUGCUAUUUUGCUUUCAGCUUUGUGCGCGUUAAUGUGAUGUGAGAAAAAUAAGAGAGAAAACAUAAAUUAUUUUAAAAAAGAAAAACAGAAAUUUCUAAAAUAAUUAUUUCCAGCAGAUUACAGCUGCUACAGAUAGAAUGUUUCCUUUUUUCUUCUAUAAAAACAGAUUGAAUGUUUAAUUAAAUUAUACAUAAUAAUAGUCCAGUGAGUUAGGAUUAACAUUCUAAUUUAAUUAUCUUUAUGUAUUUUCUAUUAAAGCUUCUUUAGCUCAACUUUGGUAAUAUUGUAAAUUAUUAACAGUGUCAAAAUUUAAGCAUUUUCUAAUUUUUAUAAAAAUUAGUAUAUCCUUUUUUGGUAAGAAAAUUAACGUAUUUUUAUUAAAUUUAAUUAUUCAAUUUAAUAUAAAAAUGAAAAUACAAUGUAUAUUUUAAUUUUAAAAGAUACAAUAAUCUAAUUAUUAAUCUGUCGUUAAAGAAAAUGGAUAUUGGGUCAUUACUUUCUUAUAAUUUUAAGGCAUAAUAAUUUUUUUCGUCCUCCAACUUUAUAAAAAAUUAUUUUAACUCUUCAUUUAAAAUUUCAUUACUUUUAACCCUUGAAUUUACUUUAAAAGUAAUAUUUUUAACUUUUCUGACAUGAAAUACAUAUAAAUUGUCACAUCGAUAACUGUUAGUAUUUCGUUAAUUUUUUAAAAUUUUAAAAAUUCAGAAAGUUUAUAAAACUCGUUUUAAAAAUCAUUAAAAUUAUUUUUAAAAAAUAUAAAAAUUAUUUAAAAAACAUAUUUUAUAUUUUAAAAAUUAAUUAAAUGAUGGCAUGUCAUUCAUUUGGCAGUUCACGUGUUUACCACAUUAGAAAUAUUAAAAAAAGUUAAUUUUGUCAUUUAUUUUAGGGUGAUUUGAUAAUAAAAUGCAAGUUUUAAGAGUUAAAAAAAAGAUGAAAAAUUAAAUGAAAGGCUAAAAUAAUUUUUUUUAUAAAGUUAGAAGAUCAAAUAAUUCAAUAUACCUAAUUUUAAUAUAUUCUGAACGGAGGGUGGACCUGAUGUGAAAACUUAACAUAGACCUUCAUCGUGGGCCAUUAAAAGGCUAAUGAUUUUGCUUUCUUACUUUGAUCGAAGUUUAAUUGAAUUUUGAUUUCGAUUGUUACGGAAUAUCGUCAUUGCAAAGUGAAUCGCACUAAUGUGAUAGACAAUAAUUGAUGACAAGUCAUAUUUUAUUGAUAUAUAAGAGACGUUUGAUUUCAAUUCUCAGCCGUCCAUCAUAAAUACUUUUGAUUUGCAAAAUUGACCCUUAUAAACCUAUGGAAACCUUGUUUUUGACCUUUCUGCAUGUAAGGGUCCGUUUGAUUGCCAGUAAAAUAUUUUCCGUAAAAUGAUUUCUGGAAAAGGUUUUACUUUUCUGUAAAAUGACUUACUGAAAAAUAUUUUCUGGUGUUUGAUUGAAUCUGUGUAAAAUAUUUUCUGCUAUUUGGCAGAUUUCCUGAAAAUAUUUUCCGGAAAAUUUAUUUUUACAUAUAUUAAUAUAUAUUAAUAAAUAUUUAUAUUUUAAAUUAUUUUUACAUAUAUUGCAAUGAUUUAUUUAUAAAUAAAUAAAUAAAAUUAAAUAUAUAAUAAUACUCAAUUAUUAAGCUACAAUAUUAACCGUCAUAAAUUGAAAAUAACCAAAGUCAAAUAAAUUAUUUGUAAUUGUGUUAAAAAAACAAAAAAAAACAAGGGUUGAAUACUUAUAAAUUUAGCUUCCAAACCACAAUUAAAAAAAUACUAAUCUAUGCAUUUAUUUAAACCAUAUAAGAUGUAUUUACCUACCAAUAUGAAACUUUGAAUCUUUUAAACAGAUUCAGCAAGACCAAAAUGUUAAACAAAAGAAAAGACAUAUUCCAAAUCCUUAGUAAAUUGUUAUAGACUGUGUUUGGCGUAACUGCUUAAGUGCAUCUACUAUCAAAUUGCUAGCCACUUACAACUAAAAAAAUGGCAAUGUCUGCUGCCAGGAAGCUUGCUGGGUUCAAAUCAAAACACACAAAAACCAAAACUUAGCCUAAAUAAUCUAAUCAUAAAACACUACUCCGACUGUUAGCGUUGCAUUAACUGAUUCACCAUCUGCUAUCAAAUUGCUAGCCACUUGCACCUUUCUUUAAUAAGACUUUGAUUACUUCCAGAUGGGACCCUUGAACAGUAUAGUGAAGUGGAGUGAAUCCCUUGCGAUUAGUGGCUCUCACUGAAACUCCUGAUGAAAGCAGAGUUCAGACAACCUCUAGAUGUCCUUUCUACGCCGCAAAAUGAAUCGCACCCAUGCCAUCCAUGGCAGCAGCACCAACAUCAACAUUUUGCUUGCAAAGAUAACUCACUACCUGUGCUUGCCUUUUGGAAGGCAAAAACAUAUACAGAUGGAUAUUCUGAACAACCCAAAAGAACAAUGUUGUCACGGGGCAGAAUUGAAGUUAAAUAUCCAGGUAACUAUCAUGAUAUUUGAAGCCAAUAAGAUAACAACCUCAAGACAUAGAUUCAACUUCACAUCAACCUCUAAAAUGCUUCAGACAUAUUUGUGUCCCAAGUAAUAUGAUUUAUCAUAGUAGCUGCAAAAUUCAAAGCAACAUUAAUAGUUACAACAUGGUACCAAAUACUUGCUUUAUAUAGCACAACAUGCAUUCUUAAAUAUUUUGAAAAGAAAAAUCUUCAUAGGCUGUCCAUCUUAAUUCUGUUAUCAAGGAUACAACCGAAUGAAAUCUAUCCAAGCACACACAAAAAACAGGUCGUACCCAAUGCACAAGGAUCUUGGCUAUAAAUAGGGGCAGGUCUAAUGUAUGCUGCCUUCCCCUGUUCACAAAGGUUGUUUCAAGGUUUGAACCCAUAACCAAGCAGAUAGCAAGUCAGGGACGACCUUCAAAAUCUUGCCUAUUAAAACACAAAACUUGUAGCUAUAGUUUGUAUCCAAUUGGGUGAUAAGAGGAUAGCAGCUAUGGACCAAAUGAAAAGUUUAGCCAUAGUCUUUAAAAUCCAAAAGGGCAUACAUUUUAAGUUUAAAAUGAUUGGUUUUCAAACAAUAGGUUUAACACUAUGAAACAAGCAUUUUAGUCCAUCUAAACAACAUCUGUCACUCUAAAUAAAACCAAACCUAUAUUCGCUCAGAGGUAUACAAAUGCCAUAAUAAGUACCUGAAAAAUAGUCAUUUUGGCGUUCCACAACAUCUGAACCUUGAACUGCAUACAAUUUUAGCAACAAGUAUAUACGCAAUUUUCAACAGUCAUCAAACAGAAUAUGAAUAACAGUAACCAUUUUCUUUGUAAUACUUGAAAAAUCUUUCAUUUUCAGGAUUCAGUGAAAAUAGACAUUCUCAUUCUCAUCUAAUAAGCACAAUAGCAAAAAUUAGCAUUUUGAUAUUGAUGUUACUUAUUAAUGUGUAUGCUUCUGAUUUGUGACCAACUAGAAAUCAGCAUGACAGAGCACUGAUGUCUUUCCAUACAGUGUAAUUUUCAUAGAUUAAUCUGUUCAAAUUUUGAGCAUUCUUCACUUUUGCUAUAGAGGCUUCAACGCUAAGAGGAAUCACUAGAUGAUGCAUUUUUUGGAUGACAUAAAAUUUUCAGUAGAACUUAGCAGUGUACUUGCAAAAUAUAAACUCUGCUGACAGGUUCUGAAUGCUAAAUGAGUUCUUUGCAUUUAUUUCCUUUUCUUUUCAUUUUUCCUCUUCACUGUAAGCAAACAUUUUACCCCCACCUUACUUUUACCUUACAGUAUCUAAAAUGUAGGAUCAAAGCUCACCUUGCAAGAAAAUAACUCAACAAUGCAGUCUUCUUUUGUGGGGAUCACUCGCAAGUCAAGUACAGGACUUGCUUCAAAGUUGAAGAGCGCAAGUUUUGGAAGUUUGCACCUGAAGAGCAUCGAAGAACAUAUAUAUAAUCAACAGAUAAAGAAGAUGAAGAUAAAAGGCAUCAAAUUAAGCCCUGAGGUUAGAGCUUUAGAAUGAAUGAGAAACUUGGAAUAAGUCAAUUAAAAAAAAACAGUUCCUUGAUAGCCAAAGCAAAAAAGAGAUUAUGACUGAAUAGAUCAAAUUUCCUUUUUCUUCUCUGACCUCUCUUCUCAAGAUUCAGCCAUAGAAGCUGGAAAAGCACAAGAAAUACAAAGAAUGGCAGAAGGAACUAGACUCAAUACCCAUUCUAGAUUCAACUUGUAACACCCCUUAACCCCGAACCGUCGCCGGAACAGAAUUACGAGGCAUUACCGGACGUAUCGAACGAUUUACAACAAUUCUUAAAUAAAUAACCAAUAUAUUAAAAUAAUUCAUAAAAUUUAUUAGUUUGUUUACCAAAUGACUUCAUUUUUUCAUUUUUUUUUAUAAAAAUUUCGGCAGCAUUUCUGCUUAUUUUUACAUAAAACCCCCUGCAAAUUAAAACCAUAUAGUUCCCAAAUAUCAUCAAUUCAACCAAUUAAUUUCACAUUCACAUUUUCUAUUCUAAAUACUUCUAAUCAAACUCAAUCUACACAAUAUCAAUUUAAAAUUUAACAAUGUACUAAUUAGAUAAAAUAGAUAGACUUCUUUCAUUAAAAUCCAUAACCUUUUAAUACUAACAUUUUUAACCAUUAUAUAAUAAAACAUAAUAACCUUUAUACACAAUCUAUGUACAUGCCACCUUUACCAAAGGAAAAAUACAUCACCAAGUUUUGCCGAAGCCGGGAUUAAUCUGGAUGCUGAACCGGGACCUUUGACUUCUAUUAACCUGCGCACGGAAACAACCGUACGCUGAGUAAUUCAUACUCAGUGGUAUUACCAUAAUUCAAAUUAUAACAAUAAUGUACAUGUAAUGCAUAAAUCGUAUAUACAAUUUAAAUUAAAUAUUUCAACAAUAGCAAUUCAUCAACCAAUAUCGUAUAUCCACAAUUUGAGUUUGAAUAAUUCACGAACCUUAGGUUCAUUUCUCAAUCUCAUUUCACAUUUCAAUUCACAAUUCAACUUUUUCAUAUCAUUUCAAUAGCUCGUUUGACCAACUCGUUCGGUUUAUCAUUUCAUCAUUUACCCUAUUAACAAAACUCGGACUUUGGCGGAUACACGGAUCCAACCAAACACACCAGAAUGGCACCCAGUGCCUCAUCGGAUAGUUCGAAGCAAUAGUUGACACCCAGUGUCUCAUCGGCCAAGCCGAAGAAAGUUGGUACCCAGUACCUCAUCGAAUCUAUCCGAAGAAAUAUAGUGACACCCAGUGUCUCAUCGACUCGAGGUCGAAGUAUCCCUGAACUCUUCCAAUCCUAUGGCAUGCCAACUAUAUCCGACUCAGCCCGACUAGUUAAUAGGGUAUUUAAAUCACAUAUAUUCUCAAUUCAAUUACAAUUUUUCACAUUUUCAAUUCAAUCAUUUUUCCACCUUUCAAUCAAUAAUUAUUUCACAACUUCACACAUUUUCACAACUCAAUACAUUUCCAUACAACUUAAUACCAUUCACAAUUCGAUUCAAAUUCAUUUCCCGCUUUCAAUCAACAAACAAUUUAAAUAUUAUUUCAUAUCAACUAUUCAAUUUAAUUCCCACUCAUAAUAAUAAUAAUAAUACUAAUAAUAAUACUAAUACUAAUAUUAAUACUUACCUCACAUUUCAUUUACUAGACACAUAAAUUAAAAUUUAACAUUAAAAAAUAAAUAAUUUGAAUUAUAGUAAUACAAACCGUAAUUUUCUCGAGUUUACUCCUCGAUAAUCUUCUCUUUUCCCUUCCGUGCCGACGCUUCUGGUUCUUUGCUAGCUACGAAAAUGAUAAUAAUUUAUACUAUUAAUUUCAGCACUAAUUAUGAUAAUAAUUAAAUUUCUAUUCAAUUUCUUCCUUAUUCUCAAUUUAAUCCUAACUAAAUUCACUUACUUUCCUAAUUCAAUUCACACUCUAUUUCUAUUCAAAUUUCAUCCAAACUAAAAUUUAACUAUCACAAUUUCAGCAUAUUUUGGUAAUUUCGAAUUUCCCUCAAUUUAGUCCCUAAAACAUAAAACUUAUAGUUUCUUUUACAAUUUAAUCCCUUUUUCAAUUCUAACUUAAAAUUCCUUCAAGUUAAUCCCUAAUUCAUCUCUUUUGUUCGACAUAAACUAUACUUGAAAACCUAUGAACUUACAAAAUAUCAACUUAAUUCCAUCAAAACUUUGUUUUAAAGCUUUUAGAACAUUAGAAUUAAGAGGAAAGGGCUAAUUUGACUUACCAAAUUAAAUUCAAGCUUCAAAAACCAUAUUUUCCCUUUUUCUUUUUCUUUCUUUCUUUCUCCCCUGUUUCGUCUCUUCCUCUGUUCCUUUGUUCUUUCUAUUCUGUUUCUUUUCUGUUUUGUUUCUUUCUUUUUCUUUUUAUUUCCUUUUAUUUAAUUACUUUAAUAUAAUAAUAAUUAAAACAAAUAUCUACUUAGUAAUUAAUAAAAAUAUUACAAAUGUAUGUAUUUUAUUAAUACACUUGUAUUAAAUUAUCACCAUACAUUUGUCUUUAUUUAAUUUAUUUCUUAAUAUAAUAUUUAUAAUGUAAUUAAUUUAAUAAUAUACUUUAUAAUUAAUUUAUAUAUUUAUAUAAAUAAUAAUAUAAAAAUCUAAGAUUUUUACAAUGUUAUGUCGCCUCAACUUCCAAAUGUGGCUUAAUUGUCCAUUUGGUCCCUAUUAUUUUCCUUUAAUCUAUAAUUAUGCUUUCACUCUUUAUUCAAUUUAAUUCUUUUUACUAAUUACUCAUAAUUAAACUAAAUUCACCUAUCUAAAACUUAAUUAAACACACAACUAGUCUCGUAAAUAUUUCUAAUAAUUAUUUUCGGACUCAAUUUACUAGGACGGAGGCCCGAUAUUAUAAUUUUCCGAUGCCCAUGAAUUUUGGGUCAUUACACAACUGGACACACUUAAGGAAUCUAAUAACCAGAAUUAGAGAGAGAAAAUUCUGUAUUAUAUUAAACAAAAAUUAGAGAGAAAAGGAAGGAAAACAGAAUGCAGAGGUAAAAUAUUAGAGAAAUAUGCAGAUACCUCGAGGAGAUUAGAGAUGAAUUUUUCUCGACUGUGGACCUUAAUUUUUUAAGGUUUCUUCAAAAUACAGAGGUAAGGCUGACGGUCGAGCGACAGAGACGACGAUGCUGAGAUGGUGAGGUGAGGCCAACGAACGGAGAUGAGGAGCCGAAGGAAGAUACAGAAAUGAAUCAAAGAACAACAUGACAGAUCACAUCUACAUUGAGGAGGACGUGACGGUCAGACGACGAGAGCUUCGAUUGGGGGGAAUUGAGUUUUUCUUGGGCAUGGGAACAACCGAUCAAGGAUGGGGGAAGGGGAAGGGGAAGGGGAAGGGAAAUGGAAGAUUUGUGUUCUUUCUAAUUUUCCUGAAAAUGUCUUACCGAAUUAGAAACGGUAAGACAUUUUCCAAAAUUAACACCUUCUUUUCCCGUGUUUUGUAAUUGGUUUUACAGUAUGAAAAUAUUUUCAGCCAAUCAAACACCGAAAAUUUCAGAAAAUUUUACACCAAUCAAACGGACCCUAAAAGUGCAUAUUAAGGAACCCACUCUUCUUUUUCGAUCAAUUGAUUAACUUGAGAAAUUACCUCACUUUGGUCUAUAAGAAAAUUAAAUUUCAUCUCCAGAUUAAUUCAUAAAGUGAUACGUUUCAGAAUAUAAUUUUUAAAAAAAAUGAAUAUAUGAUCAUUCUAAAUUUUAUUUGCGAAAUUAAAAAUAUAUAUCAAAUCAAACCUUGGAAAUUUCUGUUUUUUUUUUUCUGUUCCUUUUGUUUGGUAUGGAGUUAGAGCUGUAGUUGCAGGCUGAAAAUGAUGGGCAGAUGCUUUAGCUUGACCCAGUUAGAUAGUCUAUUAAUCUUUCUUUUGAAUCUAAUCUUCAUUAUAAUCUCUAAAUGAAUUGUUGGAAAAGCUGUGGAACUUUUUGGGGAAGAAAUAAUUUGUACAAGUGUAAAUAUAUAUAUAAGUAAAAUAAAAUUAUUAACAUCGUAAAGCAAUUUGACCUAAAAUUCACACGUGCAUUAUCUACAUAUGAUAAUAUUCAAAUAUAAUAGUAUCAAAAUUAUAUUAAUGAAAAGUUAUGAAAAGAUUUUUAAGAUUGUAAAUUUGUAAUAUAGUAUAUCAUCACCAACCCAAAUUAUCCUGCUAAUGUAAAUCAAAUUUAAAAUAUUGAUUGCCCUUUAAUUUUCUUCUUGAAAUUUGGUGAAAUACAAUGUUCCCCACAAUUCUCUCUUACUCCUGUAAAUUACUCAUUAAAAUGGCCCACUGUUAAAUUAAUUUGAAUUUUUAAAGUUUAUUUCUUUCUUUCUUUCAACAAGUCUGUAUUAGGAGCAAAAUGUUAAUUCUGACUCUUGAUCCAUAUAUAUAAUUUAUAAUUACUAGAUUGGUUGGAAUUAAUUAGGGAUAGUCAUCAUUAUUACAAACAAUCUGUGUAAAUCAACUGUUUAUUUUAUUACAUGCUAAGAAGCCAUCGAGAUACCUCCUUCAGAAACUAGUAACGACAACAAUAAUAGCAAAAAGAAAACAACCGUAUUAGUAUUUCAAGUCGAUAUCAAAUAUUAUUUUUAUUAGUUUAUAAUUGAUUUCUUUUUUCUAUUAUAUAUAAAAAAACCAUAUUUUUACCCAAAAAAAUAUUAUUUAAUUAACCCUUUAAUUUAUAUUAAUUUGGAGUACUGUUGACUUAUUUAUGCUCGAUGUUCAUACUUGAAUUUGAAUUUGGGUAAGUAUUCAGUAGAUAUGAAUUUUAGUUAACUAGUUUAGUGACUGUUUUUCUUGGAUUAGUGUGUAGGCCAAAAACCACCUUAUUCACUGGAUUAAGCAUUUUUAUAUUAUUUGACUGCAUAUUGAAUUAUAUAUUCAACGCUGUUCAAGUUAGGGAGCUGAGCUGAAGGAGGAGCAGGACCAUAUUUGUUUUAUUUUAUUUAAGCUAUAUUUUUGGUGAUCUCAACACGAAACCAAGUUUCUAAUAAUUUCGUUCAAGACUUGACUGAAACGUGGCUUCUACGUCUCUCAAGUCAAAUUUAUAACAACAUCAUAAAUGAUAGGCACUUACAUUAAUUUCAAUUAAUUAACUACUCCAUGCUAUAGGAAUAAAUUUAUAAUUAAAAUAUUGAGGAGAAGAAUCUAUCAAAUUAAGGGGACGUUAGGUCAUUUGCCAUGAAAAUUUUAAAUCUAAUAAUUCAUAGUAUAUAGAAAGUUUGAUAUCUUUAAUUCAAUUGGUGCUCUAAGAGUUUAAAAACUGUAAAUUCAAACAUGCUCUACUAAUUCAUUUUAUUAGUACCAUCUGAUGGUUUCAUAUUAAUUAUUCAUUUCAUGUUACAUGCGGUGUUCAAAAUUAGGUUUUCACUAUAAGCCACUUUUUAUUUGUAUAUAUAUGGUUUAGGACUAGGAUCCAGCCUUAUAAAGACAGGAUGAUGACUCAUAACUUUCUCAUUCAGCUCAACUUUAGUGGUUGUUUUUUUCUCCUGCUGCUUAAUUAAUUAAUUAGCUCUUAAUUUCUGAGUAGAGUUCAGAUUAUAAGCUAGAUAGCCAGCUCAAGAAAAGUUUGUAGUAAAGGAAAUUUUAAGGUAUAUGUAAUGCUCAAAUUCUUCACUAAAAAUGCCAUCAAGGAUAAUGAUAUAUAAUACAACUACGCAUAUAAAAUGCAGUUUAAUUAAUCCAGUAUUACAAGCCUGCAAAUCCUCUUAAUACUAGGUUUCUUGUUCUUCAAAAAUCAACCAUAUUAUGUCUGACCUUCACCUCCACAUCCCCCCUAUCAAAGAAGCUUUUACCUCUAAAUGUUUGUUACAGACUCAAAACCAAGUUUCAAGAAGAAAAAAAAGAAGAAGAAAUCCUACUCCCCAUCUAGUCCUUGAAUGUUAGGCCUUUCGAGACCAGUAAUUGAAUAAUAAUUCAUAGGCUCUAGAGAGAAGUUCAAUUUGAUGAAAAAGUAGUUAAAUCCUAAAUAUAUAAUAUAAAUAUGUACACACACAAGGCGUAAAAAGAUGAUGUAAUUAAGCGAGUGGAGACUCAUGGUUCAUGUUUAAGGAACGUGGAAGGAACCAUGUCUUGAAGAAGUCCAUAGUCAGGAACCUGGUGUUGAUGGACGUACUGAUGAAAAGGGCUAAAGUUUUCGGCAAACAUUGAACCAGCGGGUGCUUGGUUAUUCAUCUGAUGAUGAUAGUUAGGCAUCUGCAUGAGCAACUCGUGCGGGAAGCUUGGUCUCCCCAGUGGCGAUGGGGUUAACAUGGAAGGUGGGAACAUGGAAGGUGGGAACAACCCAGCUGCGCUUCCUCUCAGUGUUGUCGGAAGUGGGUGGUUGUGUUGACCUUCGUAUGUUGUGAUCACAGUGGACGGAUCCUGGAAUGACCUCUCUACUCUUUUCUUCACCGUGCACUUCUGAGUAGUGCACCUGUAGUAGCUUCUGCAAUGAUAAACAGAAAUGUAUCCCUUACAUAAUGAUAAAGAAGCUGGAUAAAUUUUCACCAGUGGAAGCACGAGUUGGUGUUUGUUUCCCGAGAAAAUCUAAUCAUAUUCACACACAUACAUACAUAUUAUUUAAGCCUACUUUAUAGCUUUCAAAGACAAAUACCUAACGGCUAAACCCUCAAGUUAUUACGUACAGAUUAAGUUUCUAUAUUGACGGAUCAUCUAGGUGCAAGUCAAAAGAAGGGGGCGAGAAGAUGUAAUGCAAGAUCAAGGUUUCAGACACAAUUUCGCAAGUAGUUUCUUUAGUUGAUUGUCUAAAAGAUAAGAUUAUUUUCAACAUAUGUGUUUGGUUGUAGAUUAAGAAAACGAAAGAACCAAACCUCGGGUAUGGACUGUUUUUCACAGCUUUUUGUCCAUAUUUUCUCCAUCUAUACCCGUCUUCUAACUGAUCAACUUCACUUUUAGUUACGAAAGCAAAUCGUGGUUCUCUUUGCUUCUUCUCCCCUUUCAUUUUCGCUUUGUUUCUAUUAGAUACAAUAAACACAACCAGUUACAACCUCAUAAUUUGUUACCAAUAAUAUUAUGAAAAAGAAGAAAAAAAAAAAAGAAAAGAAACUUAGUUCGUUUACCCUUUCUUUGAGCUUUCACCGCCAUCGUCCGAUCCUUUUGGCUGCCCAUCUUUCUUACUCUUGUCUGAAUCUUCUUCGCAACCAGCCUCACUUGAUGAAGAAGAAACAGAAGAAUUAAGAGUCACCGUAACUUCACCGGUAUUGCCUCCUAAUUCAUCCGCCCCAACGUGCUGCUUCAUCAUUGUCCGAUUGCCGCCUUCGACGGAAGAAAACACUUCCGACGACGUAGGUGACAGACCGAAAGCUUUCUCAAGUGAACCGUAGUCCAUGGAAGUACUGUGUAAGCAAUCGGUGAAGCUCAUGUAGGAAGGAUCAAUGGAGGACGAUGAAACCCUGUACAUGUGAUCAGUUUCACCACCAUAACUUUGCUGAUCAUGAUCAAUAUUGUUGAAUGCACCCCCAUGGUAGUAAAAGUCUCUGAAUCCAUGAUCCGACAUGGAGAGAUCGAUCAAGAAGACGAAUAACAAAAGAAUCAAGGGAAAAAAAGUUGGAAGGGAUAGGAGAGAGCUGGGGUCUGAAAUAUUUUAUGGUUUUGGACUUUCAGGGUUUCAGGACAUCUCUUUAUGUUGUUUGAGUCAUAUAAAUACAGACAUAUAGACAUUUCAGCCAAUAUACAUGUAAAAGUCGUGAUGAAAAGAUAUAGAGAUAGAAAGCACUGUAUAAAAGAAGGUUUGACAAAACACCUUCCAAUAGGAAGAGCAAAAAGUGGCUUCUAGUAUGGAAACAUUUCCAGUCCAUACUUGGCAUUCCCUGACCCACACUUUGUAGUCACCCCCCUUAAUUAGGUCUUAGCCCUUCUUUUUUCCUAAACUCUCAUCUGCCGGACUGUGUGCGAAUAUAUAUUUUCUAAAAAGUUGGUUUAUAUACAUUAUCUGUAAAUUUAAUUUGGUUUACAAUAAAUUUCUAAUUUUGUAGUACAAUUUUGUACAAUAAUAAAAGAAGGUGAAAAUUAAAUGAGAAAAAAGAAAGCAUGAAAUUUGGGUUUUUUUGGACAAACAAAAUAAAAGGGUUAAUUAUUGUUUAAUAAUAUUAAAUUACCGGUUAUAAAUUAAGAAAUCUAAAAAUGUUUGAAGUCUGCACUGGGGAAACAAUUUAUCAUCUAGGAGUUCAACCUGACUCGCGUAAGGAAAAGAGGAUAAAAGAUUAAAAAGGAAAAAGGAAGGAGAGUGGGAGAACGCGCUAGAAAGGAGCGUGGGGAUGCGGAGGAGAAGUCAGCGAAGAAUACCAGUAAGGGGUUACAAUCAAGGGAUGCCUUUUUAGGGGACGAUGAAAAAGAGGACCCAAAGAGAAAAUAAAACGGUCAAACAUUCAAACUUGAAGAACUAUUAAUAGUUUUUUUGGAAUAUUAGGCAUACACGUGGCAUUAUUGGCACCGGCAUUUGACCGUAGCAAAACCAUCAUCCGGCACGUGGGGGAAACCUUUUUGCUGCUUCUGCUUAUGCCUACCCUAACGUCACCCCACACCUUAUUUCCCUUUUUACCCUUGCUUUCCGUUUUGGCCCCCACCCUUUCGCCUAGUCUCCCACGUUUCAAUCCCAAAUGCCUUGGGUAGUUCUUCAUACAAAUUUUUUUUAGCAACAAAAACGUCAUGCCUACUUUAGAAUUUAUUUCUCCAAUAAUUUGAUAAAAUUUAUAUUUAAGAUUUGAACUUCGAAAUCAAUAAUUACUUAGAUUCAUCUGGAUUUGUUAAUUUUAUUAUUGGAUUUUUUUUUUAUAAAAUUGAAGUUUAUCAGCCUCCAUGCCGUCCGUUGAAAUCAGGUGUUAGAGUGGAUCAAAUCCAAAACUGGCUUUGAAGGUGGAGGAAUUAAUGUUGUGUUGCCGGAUAAGAAUAAUGGUAUUUAUUAAGAGUUGUUGCAAAUUUGUCUUCCAAGUCUGCCAAUUUAUGUAUUUACCCUAUUUAGUAUCAUGAUCAAUUAUAUCUAAUUCAAAAAUAUAUCAUAUCUAUUUUAAUUUUUAAUCUUUAUAUUUUCUUACCAAUUUGGUCCUCCUUCUUUUUCUAAUUAAAUUUAACCAUUAAUCUUUUAAGAAGAGUUAAAUCAUUUUUUUCAAUUAAAACAUUAAUUUUUAAGUAUGUUAGCGUGAUAACCAUUAACCUGUGUAGCAAUCUACGUAGCAUUAUUAUUUUUAUGUUUAAAAUUCAAAAAAUUAUAAAAAGUUUAUAAAACUUAAAAAUAAAAAUAGCAUGAAAUAUAUAUUAAAAAAUUUGACAUUUUAACCAAUAUUUUCAUAAAAAAAUAUAAAUUAGUUAUUUUAGUAAAAAAUUCGUUUUAUUUUUUUGGUGUGUUAUACUGAUAUGAUUGCACUGCCAAGAAGUACUAAAAGUAGUUCAGCGGUAAUUGAUUCUAUCGAUGUUUACUAAUAGCUACUUUUUGAUUUGAAGCCAAAAUCAUCCGCAUUUCCAACUUCCUUCUUCUAUUUCAUACGUUAUACUAUUUAACUCAAUCGUCUUUCUAUUCAUCCAAGACCGAUUGAAAUUUUUUAUUUAAAAUCCAAACCAUGAUAUUUUAAAUGUAAUUAAGAUUGAAAUGAAGUAAGAAAUAAGUGUGUCUUUUAAAAUAUAUAUUAUGAUUUCUUUACAAAAAAAAAUAUUUUAACUUUUCAGUUAAAAUUUUAAAAAUUAAAUAUAUUAAAUGGAUGAUAAAUGUUAUAACCUACUUGGUAAGUAAAUAAAUUUUAAGCCGUGGUAAAUUCUGCAAAAUAAGAGAUAUUUAAGAUUUGUCGUGAGAAAUUUAUUUGUUAAAAUACAAUACAACAAAAACUUUAUCUUGUUUUAUUUAGGAAGUGUUUGGAAAGCUAUCUGAUAAUUGAAUCCAAGUGUAAUUGUUUAUAAUUACACAAAAGUGACAUGUUUGAGUAAUUGGAAUGGGUGAGUCUCGCCAAUUUGGGUAUACUUAGAGCACCCUAAUUAUAUUUUUCAAUUAUUAAAGGAGAGUGAGAAUUAAAGUAAUUAUACACUUAGUUAGACCCAAUUUAACUUAGUUUUUUUUAUAUAUAAGUUAUAAAAAUUAUAUUAUAAAGAUAAACACAUAUGAGUGUUUGAGAUGAUUAUGACAACAUAUAUAUAUAUAUAUAUUACAAAUCCUAAAAAAUUAUUAUAAAAAUAAAUUGUGUAUUUUAUAAAGUUAAAAUAAAAAAUAUUAUUUAAAUCCUAAAAUUUUUAAAAUUAUGACCAAAUUUAUUAUAAAAAAUAAUAUAUGUGUUAUGAAAGUGUUAUAUUAUAUUUACUUUUUUUCUAUCUCAUGCAAUGCAUGGAUUACUCAUAUGUUUUAUAAAAUUAUUAAUUAAUAUUUAAUAGUCACAAUCAUUAAAAAAAUACUUUAAAAUUGUGUAAUUUAUUUAAAUUUUGAUAAGAUAUUUUUAUUUGGUUAUUAAAAAAAUUAUAAACAACAUUUUGAAUUUUAAAAACUUGUAAAAUUAUUUUAAAAAUAAUAUUUCAAAUUUCUGAAACUUUUAAAUGAAAAAAACUUUUGAUAAAUUAUUUUUAUAUUGUAUUUAAAAAUAAUUUUACUUUUUAGCGUUAAAUAUAAAAUAGUUUACAAAAGUAUAAAAUCAUUUUUAAAUACAUAUAACGUAAAAAAAAUAAGGAAAGGAAAUAACUUACAUUAUAAAAGUGUUAUAUUAUAUUUAUUUAUAAAAAUUUAUAAUUAAAAAUAUAGAUAUAACUUAUUUAUGUAUUCAUAUUAUGUAUUAUAAAAAUAAUAUAUUUAUCCAUAAAUAAAUAUUAUGGUUGUUUUUAUAGUAACUUAUUUAUAUAAAAAAAUAACAUUCUAAAGUUAUGGAAAUUAUAUUACUUACCAGAAAUGUUGUGAAAGAUUUUGACCAUUUAUAAAAUCUUUUUUUACAAAGGUUAUAUAUUAUAAAUUUUAUAUUGUUUUUAACUUAAAUUACAUAGUAUAAAAAGAGAUAUAAUUUACUCUAUGUCUUUCUCUAAAUUAGGUUUAUAUAUGUCUUUACAAUUAAAGUUAUAGACUAUUUGAAUUAUGAACCCUGAUAUUAUAAGAUCAAUGCUAAUUAUGCAAAUAUAAAAUGUUUUAUUGUAUCAUUUCAUGGGGUAUGAUAUCAUUUAAAAGAAUGUUGCCAAACAGAAACACCAUACCAUAGACAACUUGCGAGAACUCUCUAAUUUUAGACAUUCAGAACUUCAAAAUAUGGUUGAUAAGACAUUUUGUUGUUUUAAAAAAAAUCUCAUAUUAACAGUAUUACCUUAGUAUAACAUAAAAAAAUAAAGUUGGAUCAUAUUAGCAUAUUGCAUAUUUUAUAACUUCAAUCAUAAGUGGAAUUGAAAUAAUCCAUACUUCGAAUAGUACAUGGAAGAAUGAGAUCUUAAUAAUUUUAGUGACGUUGAUUCAAAUUCAAAUGAUGGUGAACUUAGUCAGUAACCAAUAGAUAAAUAUAAUAAGCAUAUGUUCAAUAUUAAAGAGGGAACAACUCAAUAAAUAUGUAUUGAAACAAUUAGAUAGAAUUGCAUAAGAGGUUUAUUUUUCAUGUUAUUUUUAUUAGUAUUCGUACUGCCAACUACUUUUUUAGAUUAACAUAAUACGUAUGAUGAUUUUAUUUAAAUUUUUAUUAUUUUUUAGAAAUUAUUUUUAUCAUACUAAUCAUUUUUUUGCAGUAAUUAGCCAUUUUUAAUAAUAUAAAUUAUGUAACUUUGUACUUCAAAUUGUACUAGCAAGCAUGACAUUGGGAGCUAUGAUGUAAUUACACCUGGUCAUCUAAACAUAUUUAGGAAAUUACAAUUCGUUGUAAUUACAAGAGAGUAUAAUUAUUACCCUAAUAAUUACACUUUCAUUUAAAUACUGUGUGAAUGUUAAAAAUUAAAUAUAAAAUUUAAAAAUUAAAAAAUAUUAUAAUACUAUUAGUUAAUUUUAAAAACAAUAAAAUUAGAAUUUUGUUAACUCAAUCGAUAUCCGCUUUAACUUGUUGCAUCAAAUUUAGUCGGUGAUUUAUAUAAAUAGAGACAAAUAAUAUAAAAAACGUAAAAUAGUCUUGAAUUGAAUGACGCAAACUAUUUAAAAUAUAAAACGUGAAAUUUUUAAUAAGUUCGUGACAUUGGAUUAAAUUAAUCAUUUUACCAUUAAAUAGGUAAUUUUAAUUUUAUAUUGUUGAAAAGAAUUAAAUAAGAACAAUUUAGAAUAGGGAUAACAUUUAUUAUUUAAAAAAAACGACAUGAUAUAUAUUUUUCAUUUAAAUUUAACUCCAAACAAAAUAUUCCAUCUAUAGAAUCAUAAAAAUGUUUUCAAAAUAUAACUUUGUUAAACAGUAAAUGAUAAAUUCAUAAAUUGUAAAUAUUAACUCUGUUGAAAUUGGCAAGGUAUUUGAACUGGAUUGGUGGUCUAACUGUUAGAGCACCAGUUCUUGGUUCGAUUGGUUUGUCCAGUCCAAUUGAAUAAAUUAUUAAACAAAUCAAAAAAAAUAAUGAAGAAAACUAGUUCAACCGUUUCGAUAGGUUAGUUCAAGCAAUUCAUGGAUCAAUCAAUCCAACCCUUUUUUUGGGCCGGUAUCUUAAUCAGUUCUUUAUUUAAUUGGUCUGGCUUAAAUAUAAAAAUUGUGAAAAUUAAUCUUAUUUGAUAUGUUUUAAUAAUAUAGAGACUAAAUUAAUAGAGGAGAUACAUUUAAAUUCAAUCCUAUAAUUGAGGAACCUACCACCUACAUUUACAAAAUAUAAAUGAUAUUUCUGUAUUGGCUAGAAAGGAAUCUGAUAUAAAACUUACAUAAGUUGUAAUACUUUUAAGUAAUAAAUAUAUAUAUAUAAAAAAUACAACUGUAGAAAUACCUAUUUCUUUUGUCUAGAUCGCCAUAAGCUUUUUCAAAUUUGAAACUUAGCUUAUGUAAUUUUAUAUUUAAGAAUUCAGUUCGUUUAUCUUUUAGAUUUUAAUUGUAAAAUUUAAGUUAUUACAAUAUUAUUUUCUAAUUAUGUGGUUAUUAAAUAAAUACUUUUUUAUUUUAAAUUGUCACACUAAUAAAUUUAACGGUAUUAGUAAAUAGACUUAAAUUUUAAAAUAUGAAAAAUAGAAUGAUAUAAUUCUUAAAAAUUAAAUUUCAAAUUCGAGGAGAGUAGUCCCUCGACGCUUUCUUUCCUUUCCUUGAUCCUAAACAAUAACAUUUCAUGGCCUAAUCUGGAGGGUUUUUAUUAAUGCAUUAGAUACAUAAUACAUACAUUAUGUAGGAUAUUAUAAUAAACUAAAACUGGAAAGUGAAAAACGACAGCACUGAAAUUACUACACGACAACCCAAACUCACCAGUUUGCCAAAGAAUUAGUCAGAAACAUCAAGCUUUGAAAACAAAAAGGAUCAAAUGCCAUAAAGGUUGCUUUAACAUGUAAAUUACUUGUUUUGUUCUACAUUUUGAUCCCAUCACUUUAACACCACUCAAACAAAGAAAAGACACCUGUGUGCAUGCAUCUUCGUAUGUAGUAAUAAAACUAUACUCGGGCAAAAUGAAAAUAGUCAAUUAGAAAAAAAAAUUAAACCACAAAAUUAUUUAUAAAUAGUACUUAUAAUAAACUAAUUAAAAGCUUUGUCUUAUUCGUAAGUGAAAGCUAUAGAAUAAGUUAAUGGAGCCGUAAUUUGUGGCUAAUUGUUUGCUUAAACUUGAACCUUGAUAACAUGUCAUUGUCAUAGCUUUUGAUUUAUUACAAGUCAAAUUAUUCACUUGGUUCCAUCUAAUUCAAAGCCGAUGUAAGAUUAAGUUUUUGAUAAUAAUAAAAAUUUAAUUUCAAAUUUAAUUUAAUUCUACUCAUAAACAACUCCAAUAACGUAAAGUAUUUCAUCAAAUAAUUUAUUAAUUAUAAUAAGUUAUAUUUUGAUUAAAACCAAGUUGUCUAGAAAACUAGACCAUUGACUCCUCCUUUGGGUUUUUUUUUAAUGAAAUAAUUAAUUGAUUAUAUCAAUCAAAUAUUCAAAGGGCAAAGGUCCAUUUUCUAUCUAAUAUGGAAUGACAUAAAUCUACCCACUUCUUAAAUGUGUUAGUUGUUGAGUGACAAUUUAUAUUAUUUCUUUUUAAUUUGAUGAUAUCACGAAAUAAUAAUGACUAGCUUAGAGGAAGUUACCCAUCCAUGACAUGACACGGCAUCAACCAAAGUUCCAAAUUUUUUUAAUACAUGACACGACAUCAACCAAAGUUCCAAAUUUUUUUAAUCAGUCUUACCAUGUAGAAAAUCACCACCAGUGCAAAAUCCAUCCACUUCAUUACAUUUAAAAUUAAAAGAGAGAAAAAACACUAAUGGUGCGUAUAGAUGUACGAUACUUUUAUUUACAAUUAGUAUAAAAAUAGUGGUGACACUAAGAUUAGAUACAGUAGCAUGAGACAAAAAAAGCUAAACACACCGUACCACACCUUCAAAUCCACCUUAAAUUUGAUUAAUAAAUUUAUACAAAUAAUUUGAGAAUUCUAUCUUUUUAGAAUCCAAUAUAAUUUAUUUGGAAUUUCAAAAUUUUUAAAAAAUAUUUUAACUCAUCAAGAUGUUAGCUUUAUUUAUGCCAUAUACGUAGAUUGUCAUGUGUAUAUUACGUAAGCAAUUAAUUAAUUUUUUAAAUUUUAAAAACUCAAAAAAUAUAAAAAUUACUAAAAAAUUGAAACUUAUUAAAGAGCCUAAAAAAUAUUUUUAAUAUUUUUAUUUUUUUAAAAAUUAAUUAAUUGCUAACGUAGUCUACACAUUGACUGUCACGUGUAUGCCACAAUACUAAAGUUAACAUACGUUAAAUUUUCUAUCCAUUUUGGGUAAUUUGAAAAACAAUUCAAAUUCAAAUGUUAAAAGAGACGAAAAUUUAUAUGAAACGUUAAAAAUAAUAUUUUUUUUAUAAAGUCAGAGAGUCAAAUAAUUCAUUAAAUAAUUAUUUUAAUUAUAAUUGUAAUCUUAAACUAAAUCAAAAUAAAUUUAGAUAAAACUUAUAUAUUAAUGAGAUUUUGUUCGUAAUAAAUAUAAAGAGAACUUAUAUAUAAUUUACAUAAAGAAUUACUCCAACAUGUAGUCUUAAAAUUUUCAAAAUUUUAGGAUUAGUUUGGUUUUUAAAAAAAUAAAAAUAUGUAAAAUUAGAAGAAAAAAAAUAUUUUCAUCAUUUUCAUUAAACAUGUUCUGGAAAAAUGGAAAUGAUGAAAACCAUUUAAAAAAAGAAAAUACCUCUUAUUUAUCCUUCUUCAAAUCCGUUUUGAACUUUCUUCUUACAAAAAAAGUGGCUACAAGCUUAAUAGCCUAACAUUACAUUGGAGCACAACUUGAUGCAGGCUGAACUAGAUAUUAAAUAAAAAUAGUAAUUUUUUUAAAUAAAAAAAUAUUGAUAAGUUUAAAAUGGGCUUAAGUUAAUCAUUUACAAAUAUGAAUAGAUUUGGAUAAAAUUACAAGCUCAUAUUUUAAUCCAAUUAAGGGUCUGUUUGUUUACAUGUAAAAGAUUUUACGGUAAAUGCUUUCUGUAUUUUUUGUGUUUGUUUCACAGAAAACAACUUGGUCAACGGAAAAUAACUUAUAGAUCAACGUAAAAUAAGCUUUUUUUCUUGUAAAAUGGACUUACCCGUAAGUCAUCUUCCGGAAAAAAGUUCAUCUACAAGUAAUUUUAUUUUAUAUAAAAAUUAACUUAAAUCAAGCUUAAUAUUAUGAUAUUGAUAAUAAAUUUUAUUUUUAUUUUUAAAAUAUUAAUAUAAAAUAUUAUAUUUUAUAAUAUUAUUAAACAUACAUAUUUAAUUAUUUAUAUUUAGUCGUAUAAUAAAUUAUUUAAUAUUUCAAUUUUAUUUUUAAAAAUAAUAAUUUUAAAUAAUAUUCUUCACAUAUUAUUGAAAACGUUUAAUAUUAAUAUUUUAAUAACAAAUAUUUAUUACAAUUAUAAAUAUAUUAAUAAUAAAUGCUUUGUAGUAUAAAGGUUAAAACAUGUCAUGAGUCUAUAUGCUAUUCACUAAUUUGCAAUUUAGUCUCUAUACAUUUAUUUUUAAGAAUUUAGUCUCUCUAUUUUUCAGAUUUGAAAAUCAAGUCCAAUUGUUGACAUUGUUAAUUUUCUUUUGUCAAAAUUUUAAAUAAAAAAUACUCAAUUGGUAGUCAUAUAACUAAAAGAUGGAGUUGUAAUGAACCUAAAUUUAACAAAAUAUUUUUAAUAUAUGCAAAAACAAUGCAAAAUAUAAAUUUAUAGAUAUAAAAUAAAUUUAAAUGAACAAUGGAAAGAUAAGAAAAUCUCAAACGUAUGUUUGUUUUGUUAAAAACAACUUUUGUAAAAUAUUUUUAAGAAAUCUGUCAAACACUAGAAAUUAUUAACUUUUACAGGAAAGUAAAUUAUUUUACAAAAAUCAUUUUUCGGAAGUUAUUUUUUGAUAAACAUAAAGUGUGUUAAUAUCACACGUAAAUUCGACCCGAACUUAGAUUGGCCCAUUAACACCUGUAUCUCCAACCCAAACCAUGAUUUUAAAUAUAAAAAAAAACAAUAGUAAACAAAUAGCUUUUCAAACUAAAUCCUGUUUUUAAUUCGAGAUUUUAACAGAAACAGAAAAAUUAAAAAUUUGGUUGAAAUUACUUUUUAUCCUCGUUAAAGAAAUGUAAUAUAUCUUCUAUUUUAUAAAAUUAUAUUUGAAAUAAUUAUUUUAAUUUUUUAAAAAGAAAUAAUAAAUAUUAUCAAAAUUUUCAAAAACACAAAUUGUGGAGAAAUUAUCAGAGUGUGCAACCAAAACGAACAGUUUCGUAUUUCAGUUAAAAGAACAAAAUACUAAAUUGAAAGUUGAAUUUCUUUGCUCAUUUUCAACUAUAAAUGGUCAAAGGAUUAAUAUUAUAUGGUAUCUCAUGUCAAAAAAAAUUAUGAAUGCAUAUAUGGUUUGGUAAUUUUUUAAAUUUCAUAGAAUUUAAUAUUAAAGUACAAUUAAUUAAAUUAGAAUGUUCAAUCUUCUUUUCUUUGCAACUCAGUGGUACAUUUUACGUUUAUUUAUAAGACUAGCAAAAGAUUGAGUGUCCCUAUCAAAUUAUCAAUUUAGCAGAGGGCAGGUUUUUGGUUAGGUGUCUACACAGAAAAAUAAAUCUUUUCGAUGUCGACCCAUUUAUUUAUUUAUUUAUCAAAUUUACAAAAUUACCCCUUAAUUGCAACUUCCCCUAAUAAUUUCAAAGCAUAAUAACUUAUUCAGCCCUCCAACUUUAUAAAAAGAAAUCAUUUUAGCCUUUUGUUUAAUUUUUCAUUUUUUUUAACCCUUAAAUUCGUAUUUUUAUCAAAUCACCCUAAAAUGAAAGGAAAAGUUAACGUUUGUCAAUUUUGCUGACAUGACAUACUCGUGUAUUGCCACACGAAUAACACAUUAAUAUUUAAUUAUUUAUUAAAUAUUAAAAAAAUAUUUUUAAAAAUUAAUAAAUGUUAACAUGUCAUCCACGUGUAUGCCACAUUAGCAAAGUUAACAAAUGUUAACUUUUUCAUUCAUAUUGAGGUGAUUUAACAAAAAACAUAAACUUAAAGGCUAAAUAAGACAAAAAGUUGAAUAAAUGACUAAAAUAACUUUUACUAUAAAAUUAAAAGGCCAAAAAAAAUAUUAUACAAUAUGAUUCUUGUACAUAUAAUCAGAUUGUUAGAUGUAAGUGAUAUAUAGAGUUGAGGGAAAUUCCAAAUUCCAAUAAAAGUGAGUUCAAAUUUAUGUUUUAAUUUGCAAAAAAAUAUAUCCCAAGUAUGUGAAAUCUAAAAGGUUAUGAAUUAUUUCCCCUUUUCUCCUACACCCAAACGUCCCUUUCUAUCUUUUUUUUUUUUAAUUAGAACUUAAGUUUUAGUGACAUACAUAGAGCAUGGACAAAUCUAGUGGACCGUAUAGGGGUCAUGGCUACUCCAAAGAUUUUAAUUAUAUAGUUUUAUUACAUAUAAAUGCUAAAAUCCGGUCAUUGACUACCAUGACUUUCCUUUUACGUCUUCGUUUUGAUCCAUUCGGUUUCAUUCAAUUUCUUUGAGAUUCAUUGCAUGUUAUCCUAAAUAUAAUUUGGAACGUAUGUUUAAUAAUAAAAUAGGUGCAUGCAUUAAUUAGAUUUGGCGCAAAGGAAAAUAUAUAUGAAGUACAAUUAGGAAUAAGUAGUUCUCAAAUGCUAUAAAUAACACAAGGUUUGCGUAACGCCAAGUUUGCAAAUAUAUAUUGUGACUGUAGCAGUUGUUGAAGAGUUACAUUAACAUUUAACAUCUUCCCUAUUUUGUUGUUUUAUUCGGAGGUGGUGUUGGUUAUUAUUUGUAUUUUGUUACUUUUUUUUUAUUGUUUAAUAAGUCUUCGCUUUUAAAGUUUUUUUGUAUUUCUUAUACAUGUAGUCUUGCUUUUGCAAGUAAUUUUUAGGGAUGGUUUUGUCGCCAUCCUCUACAGUUUAGUGGAUGCUUGAAUUUUUUGUUGAUUUUUGCCCACUGCUUUGGACCAUCCAGGAUUGAUUUCAUUAUCGUAUUAAAUGCUUGUAACACUCUAGAUAUGUCGUGCUUGAGUUGUGACAGAGCCAAUUAUUAACGUGUCAUAAUAUUCUAUUAAUGCCAAGACUGAAACCGUUGUUGUAUUGAUGAAGCUUAUAUUUAACCGUUAGUGUUUUUUAUUUUUUUUUUCGAAUUAUAUUGUCCCAUUCAUAAUAUGAAAUAAUAAAUUUCUCUUUCAAAACAUCUUCCCUAUUUUUAAUAAUUCGUUAAGUCAACUUUUUUUAAAAAAAAUUGUUGUAAUUAUUAGAAUCACUGUUUAACGACAAAAUCGCCAUGUUAAUGAUAAUUAAAGCAACUCCAAUAAUAAUAAUAUAUGAAUAAAUAAAGUAAUUUUAUUUUUGCCACAUUAGUUGUUAACUUAAAAGAAGGAUGAAUAAUAAUGGAUUUGGAGAAACUUCAAUGUUAGUGGGGUUUGCAUGGAAAUUAUGUUGGAAAUGAGAAUAGAAUUCAUAUGACACUGAAAGAACAAACAAUAUGGAAUUCAUAUUUUAGUCUUAUUUAUUAUAAGUCUGCUCAAUUUCUCUUAAAUAUAAUUUUUUUUUCCAAUUCUCUAAUCUCACAAAUUUGUGCCGAUAAAAAAAUAAAAUUCCAUAAAAAUCUGAAAAAUAAAUAAAUAAAAAACACCCUUUGUUGUAGUCUUAGUUAAGUUGGAGCAUAUAUAAUUCUGAAAAUGUGAAAAGGUCUUCCCACACUGUUUGAUUCUUUCAAUCGGUCAAAAACAGUUUUGACUGGUUCUAUUCUAACUAAUUGAGCUAAAGUGUCAAUUUGUUUACAAAUAAUUCAUUCCCACCUUCAUAAGUUAUUUUUACUAAUUUAAUUACUCAAUUAUUUUUUUUUAAUAAUCUGUCCCACCAUUUUACCAACUACAAUUGCUUUAUAUUUUUAUUUUGAAAAAAAAGAAGAGAAGGAAUCUAUCUCUUUCUCCUUUUUAAUUUUAAAGAGCAUGCAUAAAGGAGACUAGAAUUCAAAUUUAGUAGAUGUUAUUUAUUUAUUAAAAAUAUAUGAUUAGGCUUUCACAAAUUUCUUGAGUUGACUUGGCAAUGCUGCAAUGCAUAUAAUAAUCAACAAUUUUAAUUUAUAUGGCACAUUGCUAAAUCAAAUUCAAGGUCUUUGUCCAUAGUCAAGAUCACCGCUGAAGACAGUCCUGUCUAUUUCACUACAGCUCAGAAAGGGUUUUGCUUUGAUUCUCCAAUUUUAGUCUCUAAAGAUAUGGGUAAAAAAAGAUGGAAAAGUAAAAGGAGAUUGAGAUUAAGUGGGGACUAUGCAUUAUAUAUAAACUUUUUGAGUUAGGGUUUUGGUUUAUCCAACAUCAGAAAGUUAAGCAAAGGGAUUCUUGAGGAUUCAUAGCUUUUAUAUAAUCAAGUGAACUUUUGAAUCUAAAAAAUAAAGUUGGCUUUAUGGAAGACAAGAACAUAUGUAGCUACAUGUGGUCUAAAACACCACCUUUUUUCAUUCGUUCAACAUUCAACAAAGUUUACCCAAAACAACAUUCAACAAAGUUCACUGAUUCACUUAAUUUUCUCCAGCUAAAAUCAUAAUAUAUAUAAAAAGAUUGCACUCAUUCAUUCUUCUUCUCAUGAUGCUCAUGUGCAAACUUUCAACCCCCCCCCCAAAAAAAAAGAAAAAAAAAGAGGGCUUGACUUCAAUGUCAAGUCUCUUAAUCUUGAUGGGUUUGUUUUUUUUUCCUACAAAUUGAUAUUUGUAGGCUAAUUGGUAUUUUCCUAGCCAAAAAUAAAAAUAAAAAUGCUGAGUUAGGUGUUAUCAGCUGGUCCUUUUGAAUAAAAAUAAGUUGGUCAACAGUUUGAAUAAUCUUGUUUAUGAACAGAAAAUGUUGCUUAUACUUUAUCUUUUUAUGACUCUUAUCCGUUUGUCAAAGGAGCAAGAACUGCUUCUGAAACCCACAAUUUUUAGGAUCUACUGCCGGGCGAUGACUGCUAAUAGAGUGGGGCUCAAAUUUAAUCAUUCAAUCUUUUUCUGUUAUAUAGAAUUAAGCAUAGUGGAUAUUUGGUGACUUAACCUAAAAUUAAGUUUGAUCCAUAAAACCCUUUUGUCCUUUUUCUUUUCUUUAAUCAUAUUCAAACUCAACUUUAAACUAGUUGAGUUUGAUUUUAAUUAAGUUUGCUAUUAUUUGUGGAAAUAAAAUUUUAAAAGCCACUCAAAUCAAGCCCUAAAUACUACAUGAGUUAAGUGAAUUUACAUAAGAAUAGCAUUUAAACUUUAGUUCAGCUCAGUCUCCUAAAGGUUAUUUAAUUUUUUUUUUCUAAGGGAGCUUUAUACACUUCUAAUAAAAUUUAUUAAUUUCAAAUUAAAAAACUUAUUACGUAUCUACUAUUUAAAACUAAUCAUGUGUUACAUUCUUAAUCCGUGAUAAAAAUAAUAAUUAAGCUAUGAAAUUUACACAUACCAUCACAAUUCAAGUUAACCAUGGCAUCAACAGGGAUGGGGCACAUUUUCAACAUUAGUGGCUUCAGCGACAAUACACUAGUCAUUAACUUGGCCACUGCAAGAUUCCAAGUUAAUCUAUGAUUAAUGUCUGCAGCAGAAUUCGUCCAUUUCGAACAUAUCCACAUGAAUCAAGUUGCUGAACGGUUCAUUGGGUAGGAUCUUUUGACCAAGUUUAUCCCAUUGGAUAGAACAUUAUAGGAUGGGCAAAAUCCAAAAAGUUUGAGCUGAACAUGCGGUUCAUAUAAUUGCUUACUUCGAAUGCGAACUAGUCGUUUCCUUGAUUGAAUAUUUGGUUCCGGCACCUUUCCAUCAUUUCCUUGAGCUUGUAUGUCACAAACUUUGAUUUGCUACGUGUAUAAUUCAACAAUCAAUCAACUAAACUGCAAACUUUUUAUUAUUGUAGAUAAAAAUGGAAUUUGAGGUUAAAUCACAAACUUUCAGGAAAACACAUAAAUAUUGGCAUGCCGGCGAAGUAGAAAUCUGAAGACAAUGCAGCAGAGUAAAGCAAAAAGCCAACCAGGCAACUUCUUAAAUGCCCAAUAUUUAACCAGGAUUGUGAGUUAGUCAUAAUUCUUGCAAAAUAUAAUGGAGAGUAAGCAAUAGUGCGACACCUUUCUCCUAUUAUAGUUCAAGAAGGAUUUGGCCAUUAAAAUUGGUGUCCAAGCUCUGGAUUUGAAACUUCCUUGGGAGAGAUUGAGAUCCUUAAAGGCAACUUGGUCUUGAAGAGGUAUAAGUAGGGCCGUUCACUGACCUGCUGUUUAUGCUAAAGCAGAAUCCGAUAUCCCCUGGAAAUCCAACUGCCAUUUUCUUGCCAAGGUGAAGGAACUUUGUCAUUUUAGCAUGCAAUGUUCUAUCAUCGAGGAAAUGUUUUCUUAUUAGACCAUGUGUUGUAGAUGCUCUAAAUUUAUGUUUUCACAACUUAGUCAUGUGAUCCUCUGCAUCUAUAUUGUGUAAGUUGGGUUUUUCAGUAGCAAAUGGUCGAAUGAAAAAUGGAGUUUAUUACUGCAUACAGGUAAACAAAUGUGUUGCAUCGUAAUGUUCUCAAGCAGAGCAUUUUUUCUUUCGGUAUCCACUGUCGGUUAUAGUGACUAAUUCCUCUCACUACGAGUGCUUUUCGAAGUGGUAAACGGUUGGUCAUAAAAUGUGCUCCACCGAACUCCCCCGAUCUCAUGAUUAAAGGAACAUCUCAUGUAAGAAUCACUUUAAUAUCUCACAUACAUUGAUAUUUCGGUUCUAUAUUAUAUAUCUGCCUUACUGAACUUUGCAUUUGUCCUGUUUUUGUCUUUUUGGCUUCUGAAGUUAUUUUUGUUCUUUUUCUUAAUAUUUUCUUAAUCCAGUUUUUGUGCAUUAUUGAUGUUACAGUAAUGGUGUUUCAAGAGCAAGUAAAAAGAAGAGGUUUUUUCUUUUGCUCAUCUCAUAAGCUUGUUGAUAUCAAGACAGCGUGCUCUUUUCUUACCUUAAUGAAUUCAACUUUAUUUUUGUACGUUUAUUUUAGAGCAUGAUACGUUAAGUCUCUGCACCAAAUUUUGACUUACAGCUGAAAGUAGGGUUUUACAAGAUUAGUUGUCCUUGAGCUGAAUCUAUAGUUAAAGCCGUUGUUCGAAGACGUUUAAACCGGGACAAGUCCAUCACUACCGCCUUGCUUCGCAUGCAUUUUCAAGAUGAAAUUAUUGAUAAAAUAAAAGGGAUAAUGAUAUAUUUGCCCCCUGAACUUUGGAUAAUCUUCUAAUGUGGUACUUUUACUUUCAAAAUGUCUAUUUUGAUACUUGUACUUUUGCACUGUUAAUCAAUCUAGUACCUUUGACAGACGACGUUAGUUUCUGGCAUGGCGAGACACGCGGCCCAGCUAUAAGUUCCCACAUUUCACAUUUUCCAGAAAAUAUUUUAUUCCCAAAUAAUGAGAGGGACCUCAAAUUAAUUAUACCAAAAAAUAUCUUAAGCAAAAAAGAAGUUUUUUUGGUCAUAUUUUCUUAUUUGAAAUAAUGCAUCAGGACCUAAGAUUAAAUAAUCAAAAAGUUUUUUUUUUAAAUCUUCACCUUUUUUAUUUUUUACCUUCAAAACUAAUUAUUUUUAAUUAAAAUAAAUCUGGGCAAAUCUGAAUGCUCUUAAAAUAAAUCUUUAAAUCUCAAAUAAAAUAUAUUUAAUUUAAUUUAACAUAAUUAAUAAUAAUUUUAGAAAACAUAAUUAAAAAUGAAAAUCCAAUUUUUUUCUCUUUUCUUCUUCUCCUUUUUUUGUAUAAUUUUCCCAUAAUUUUGACAGUUAAUAAUAUGGUUAAUUGUAUAUUGAUGCAAUUAAUAUUUUUGGUAUAAUUUACAUUUUCUCAUCAGUGAAAAUUUUAUUUAUCCAUGUAGAUGAAAAGUAAAAAGAAUUUGGUAGGACAAAGCUAUUUUUUAUGGGUGAGUAUUUGGUAAAUUGAGCAGUGUAUUUUUUUAUUCUAUAAGUACGUUUUAAAAAUUGACAUGUGUCUUUUCUUUUUAAAUAUCUAUUUUUUAAAAUCUUCUAUUUUACCCUAUAAGACAUUGGUCAACUCUUUAAUUCUAUUAACUCUACCUGUGGAGUCUAAAAGUGUAUCAAAUAUUUUCCCUUCUUUUAUUUGUAUUUAGGAUUAACAUUCAAAAUGAAUAUAUUUCUUUGUUAUAAAUAUUUUUGAAAAUAUAUUUUUUCAUACACUUGAAUUCAUACCUAUAAUCUAAUUUUACAUCAUAAUCUUGAAUCCCAAGUUGUAGCCUAUUGUCCGGGUGUUUAUUUUUUUCAAAAUAAUCUGGAUUCAAAUUACGAUUGCAUAAAACAAUAUACAAAUUAUUUUUAAAUAUAUUUAAUUUCAACCAAAAUGUGAGCAAAUUAGAUUAAUUCAAAGAUCUGUUAAUAAUAAAAUUUUUAAUUCUGACUUUCUAAUUUAUAUUAAAUAUUGUAAAAUAAUUUAUCCGACAGAAAAUCAUUAUUUUGAUAUUUUUUAUUUUUUAUUUGAUUAAAAUCACUCAACUGGAAACAAGAAACUUACUGCAAGCUUUCAAAUUCAAUCAUAUUGAUUUUAUGAUAAAAUCUUAACAACAAUUUUAGAUGUAUUUUAUUGUUUAUUAAAAUUGUAAACUUUAUUCUUUCUCUAAAACUAAAUCAAUGAGGCGUCACCCAUUCAAACUGCCAUUUGUUAAACAAUGAAGUGUGGCACUUAAUCUCCUUACUUUGUUUUUUUGUUAAAAAUCUUAUAUAAUAAACUGUCAGCAUCAACAAAGAUCACCUACUUUUUUGACAACAUACAUAAUGGUUCGUAUAAUUGCUAGCCUCGUUUUAUGACAUCUCCUAUGGCACCUUCAUUCUAUUGUAACAAGUUUACCCCAUCGAGUAGAACAUUACAGUCUGAGCAAACUCCUAAAGAGGACCAGCUAAACAUUCAUAAUGGUGUAUAAUUGCUUGCCUCGAAUGCCGACCAAUCAUCUCAUUUAUGACACUUCCCUUGGCACCUUCAUUAUAUUGUAAGGAAGAUUAUAGCAGCUAGGAUUCUUGCAUAUUAAUGAUGACUCUCCACGAGAUCAGCAAGAGUUAUCUUCCCGCAGUUGCCGACAUCCAGCCUAUCAAAUGUCUCGCAGAUCUGCAUGAUGUCUUUUUCUGAUACCUUCCCCAACUCCUUGAGCUUGUAUAUCACAAACUCUAAUUUGCUGCAUGUAUAAUCCAACAGUAAUACUUAACAAUUAAUCAACCAGACCUCGCACUUGUUCGUAUUGUAGAUGAAAAUGGAAUCUGAGACAAAUUUAGUAACUUAAAGCAUAACACAUAACUUUUGGCAUACAAAUUACCAAAAACAACAUUUUAAGAUGCAAAAUAUCGGAGGAUAAUGCAACAAAGUAGGUCUGAGAUAGCUGAUGAGCAUAUAAGCAGCAUGGCAAGAAGUAGAGCAGAAUAAGCAGUGGGCUUCAGUUUGUCCACAACAAAGCAUCUUGAAGAACAUGAAAAUUUAUGUAGGACAUUCUAGGCUUCUGAAAUUAGCAGGUCAAUUUAUUCAAUUCUUUUCGUGGUGAUUUUGAGAAUGUCUGAGCAAUUGGCUAAUAAAAAUUUUACAUAAUUAUCAUAAUUUAAUAGCAGAAUAUGAAGAAAUGAAAACCACUUCCAUUUGUAGAGGUUAUGUGUUAAAAGCAUUUUUGAACUACUGAGAAUCCCAUUUAUUAGUUUUACAAGCUUUCACUAAAUAGAUUUGUUCUAGGAUAAAAUAUGAACCAAGCAACUAACAAGUAUAUCAACCUUUCAACGUCUAAGCUUCAAGAGUUCACAAUAUGAAGAAGUAACCAAAUUUCGUAAAAAAAGAAAACAACAUACCUCACAAAACCAUUGUUAUCAAUAUCAGCAGGAAGAAACUCCGAAAUGGUCAGAUCAUGGUCAAGCACCCAUUUUGUCAUCUUCCUGUGCCUCUUACCCACUCUAGCCUCAGCCAAAUAUAGAAACGCUCGAGCGACGGCCAGAGUUGAAACGAACAACCAAAUAGUAGCAAAAAGCCGACCAGGCAACGUCUUAAAUACCCGAUCACCGUACCCGACAGUCGUGACCGACAUAACAGAAAGGUAAAAAGAAUCCAACCAUCCAAGACUCUCAACAAAAUGCAUAGCGCCAACACCAAUUCCAAUACAAAGAACCACAACUCCUAAUGCCAAUCCCACCUUCAUUCUUAUCCUCAUUCUCCCCUUCUUCACAUCAAUUAUGUAAGACCUAGUAGAAUCCUUCUUUUGACCUCCAUGUUGAACGGUUCUCAACAAGUAAUUCUCUUGCAAAUCAAGCACAUAACUAAUCAUACCACUAAGCAACAUAUCGAUAAAACCAAAUCCAACCAGCACAAAUAGUAUUGAAAACAAUUUGGUAGUCACGCUAUUAGGAGUGAUAUCCCCAUAUCCGAUUGUGCAUAUUGUGACGAUACAAAAAUACAGCACAUCAACAAUCGGAUGAGUUUCAUGACCCACAAAAUUAGAACGAUUAAACCAAUAUAUGAUAACACCCAAUGACAAAUACAGUAGCACAAGCACAAAAGCUUGCCUUACAAUCGAUGGAGAACCAAAUUGAGGCUUGGGAAUUGUAGGGUGGAUGAUAUCGUUUAAAACUGCAAUGGCAGGUGCUGUUUUGGACCUGUGGAGAUUGGUUCCCAUAAAUUGGAAUAUUUACUGCCCGAUAAUUAGGGGUGUCGAAAAUUACAUUCCUGGAAUUUAGUUCCCAUAAAUUGGAAUAUUUACAAAGUGCAGUUAAUUAGGUUUCGGUUAAGCGAAUUUAUUAGAAUUAAAAGUAAUUAGAUAUAAGGACUAAAUUGUGUAUAGGGUAAAAGUUGAAUUAUAGAUUAAAAAUAAAUUAAAGGGCCAAUGUAGUAAUUAUACGUAUAUUAUAAAAAAAUGUUAAAAUAUGUUAUCUUAAUAAUUAAGUAAAUGUGUAUAUAUAUUAUAAUAAUAAUUUAAAGUAUAAUAAACAAAUAGAUAAAAAAAAAAAGCUAUACAAAUUAGAAAGAAAAGAAAGAAAAACAGAAAGAAGAUAGGAGAGAACAAACGGCUAAGGGUUCCAAUUUUUCAAAUUUCAAUUGGUUAAUUAAUUUGGUCUACUUUCUUGUAAUUUUUAUAUUUUUAGAAUCUUGAUAUUUAGGGUUACCCGACCCAUGUUGAAAUUUUAGCAAUUAUUAAGUUUUUAAGUGUUGUCAAUGUUGAAUAAUUUUAGUAUUAGGGAUUAAAUUGAUAAAUUUUUAAGCUAGAAAUGGAAAAGGAUUAAAUUGUAGAAUAAAUUGUAAAUUUUGAGUAAUAGGGACUAAAUUGUGAAAAAAUCAAAAUUUAGGAGUUUAAGUGGAAAUUGGGAGUUAAAUUUAGUUUAAAGUGGAUUUGUAUGAAAAUAUAGAAUUAAAUGCGAAGAAUAAAAAAUUAGCCUCAGUUUAGGGACUAAAAUUGGAAUUUAGACAAAUAUUGAGUAAAAUUUUAAAUAUUCAAUAUUCAAUAUGAAAUUGAAAUUUUAUUGUAUUGAUGAAUUUUAAUUGUUUUAGUUUCGUAGCUAACGUCGUACCGGAAUCCUCGACUAAAAAUGGGAAAGAUAAAAUCGACGUCGAAUAGCUCGGAAUUCCCGAUUUGUAUUUCUAUAAUCCGAACUUAGUUGUUAAUUAUUAUAAUUCAAUUUUAAUGCAUAUAGUAAGUGUUGAGGUGAGUAAUUGACAUUUUGAUAAUUGAUUGAAAUGGAUUGAAUUGAUAGAUACAUAUUGAAUGUAUUGAUUAUUGAAUUGAAAUGAAUAUAUGUGUUAAUGUGAAAGUUGGAUAUUUAUUAUUAUAGAUUGAAUUUAAUUCAUGUGUAUAUAUGUGAUUAGAAAAAUUAGUAUUGGAUAUUGGUUUUAUCUGAAAUGUGAAAUUAAACCCUAUUAACUGUAUUGGGCUGAGUCGGAUAUAGAUGGCAUGCCAUAGGAUAGGAAGAG